CAUUUUGCCCCUUUCGAUAUUUUUUAUUUGCAUCCAUGUAGGAAACAUCCAAACAUGAUAAAAUUAAGGGUUAGAUUAGGAAAAUUUUAACUAAAUCUCGCAACUAGCUUAGACUAGGUUGAAAGGGUGCCUUAGGUUUGAGUUAAUCGAACCUUUGCCUUCCCUUUCUUCAACCGUGACUCCCGAACCCAUUUUCUUUUGUUUUUCAAAGACCUGGAGUUGUCAAAAAGGGGUUUUAUUUGAUUUUAUUUUUGUCAAAAAAUAUUUUUGGGUGACUUGGUACACCAAAACUCAAUACCAAAUGGCGACUCCUAUUUUUUCUUAAAAAUCCUUUUAGACUAAAUUUUGGACCCAAAUUGUCGCAUUUUUUUUAAGUCCCAUUCUAGGUCCUUUUCAUUUAUUUUAAAAAUAAAACCACAUCCCUUGUAAACACCAUCUUUUAUAAACACCUUAUUUCUUUUUCAUCGCAAAAAAUGGGGCGCGACAAUUGUGACAUAAGCAAAAGAAGCAAAAGUGAGAACUGCAAGUAUCCAGGCUUACUAUAGCCUCUACCAAUCCCAUAACAGGCUUGACAACAUAUGUCAUUGGACUUUAUAGAAGGGUUACCUAAAUCUACUGGUUCAGAUGUUAUUUUGGUUGUAGUGGACAGGUUCACAAAAUAUGCACACUUCAUGGCUAUAACCUCAUAGUAUUUAGCUAGAUCAGUGGCUCAACUCUAAUUUGAUAAUGUGUAUAAUUUGCAUGGCCUUCCCUCAAGUAUUGUUUCUCAUAGCAACAAGGUUUUCACUCGCAAUUUCUGACAAGAAUUAUUUGAGAAGUUGGGCACUCAGCUACACCUUUCCACUGCUUAUAUCACCCACAAACUGAUGGACAAACAGAGAGGCUCAAUAGAUGCCUGGAAACCUAUCUCAGAGAUGAAUAACUUUUUGUAAGUAGUAUAGACACCAUGCAUAGUACCUGAUGUAAUCAAUCUUGCCCUUUGUACAGCUUACUGUUCUACUUAAAGUUAGCCUUUUGCUAAGAAAAAUUUGCUUAACCACUCCAAUAAUUAGGCCUAAUUUAACACCACGAUCAUGACCACCUUUCCAAAAAAACAAUAAUGAUGAUAUAUAACAAAGUAUUUUCCUAACGAGAAUAGUCACUCGUUAACACGCUUAAGUGAGACUCAACAUAUAAUGUGAAUAUACAUACUAUUAUCUUUCCUUAAAUUUGAACGCUGUAUCUAUUCAAUUUUACUUUUUUUUUAAAAAAAAUUUAACACAUAAACUAUAUUUUAUGAGUAUCCAUUGAACACUUGUUAGAUAAUAAUGGCGUGUAUAUGACAUUUAUUUCAUUGAGUAGCAUCAUCCCAUGCUCAAGAUUUAGAGAUCUUGAAUUCAAAUCUCCCUUUUUCUCCACGCUUUUUUAAAGUCCGCCUCUUCCAUAUUAGGGGAAAAAACAGUAACUUCAUCCCAAAGAGCCAAUUUCUGAGACAAAAUUUUGUUAUUUCUCCCUAAUUCUUUGAUCAUUAAUGAACCAGUUAAUAUACAUCCACAAUUACCUUAUAGGAAAGCUUUCAAAAAGAACUUUUCUUUUGAAAAAACUAAUUAAGAAAAUACUUCCUUGCAGACGAACUACAUAAUACUGCAUUCUACCCAGCCUAGUAGGAAAGUUUAAUGUAUAUAGCCCAAGUUUGAAUUUCAGCGAGUUCAUGGAGUGCUAGUAUGGACUCGACGACCUUUUACAUACUAACGUUGUCUAAAUGGUACUGAAACGUACGGUGUGCAUAUACAACCAAUAAUAUUCACUCUUGAAUGUGUCAAUGCUCAAGAGAGGUGUUGCCUACAGAAGAAAAUGCCUAAAUUUAGACUUCAGAAAAAAAUAAUCCAAAUCAAGUCACGCCUUAAUAUGAUGCCUAUGUAUGAGUUUGACUAGGGUAUGAUUUCAACUUCUCGUGUUUUUUAUUAAAACCUUUUUCAAAUGCUAUUAAGGUUUUGUUUUUGGAUUAACAAUUAUUUACCGGAAACAAAUAUUUACUUUGGUUAGAUUUUUGUUUGCAUUAACAAUUAUGAAAAUUACACAAGGGUUUUUUUUUUUUUUUACUAUACCAUGCCUUCUUCUUAUUCUUCUUAAUUUGCACUUUUAUUGUUUGUUUAUAGAUGCUACCAUAAUUAUUCAGCUAUGUAUGUUCUUUUUUUUUUUUUUUUGUCAAAAGGUAUGUAUGUUCUUUUAAUUGCGACCAAUCUGACCAAAUGAAUCAUAUUGUCCCAAGGACAACGUCAAACUUAGGGGAUUUGAUCUGAUUAAAGGGGAAUCAAGAAACACAGUACCAAAUUUGUUUUUGUGGAAGUGAUAUUCUAUGGGUAAAUUGAUAGAAACAAAGAAACAAGUUCUUCCAUCCGUGCUUGCUUCCAAAUUUAGGUUGGGGCCACCAGCCGGCCUAGCAAUUGCAACCGAAUAAGCCGAACAACUUGAAAACAAAACAAACAAAAAAACCAAUGAAACUAACCUUGAAGAACUCGACCCAAAUGAGAAAAGCCCUUCACUUGCCUACAUCUUAAUUGUACUAUUACGUAAGUUUCAAUUGCCAAAUUUGCGCAUGCAAAAAUUUUCAAUCUUGUUCUCUAAUUUUUUGGGGUACUAGAGUCUUAUGUACUAGAAAAAGGAAUGAAAGAUGAAGGCAUUGGGAAUCUUAUGAGAGAUUGAUGUUUCCAGUUUUCUGGACUGCAAAGAGUAUUAAAAUUUUGAAGUUUUUGACAUUAUAUAUAUUGUGCUGCCAAAAUGUUCGUGCACAUUUAAUACCUUGUGAUGCGCUAAUUAGAGUUUUGCUUGGUAAACGAGAGCGUUAAUGGUAUUCAAACUGUCUCAAAUUUUAAAAGAAUUGAUCUUCUAUACAUUGAUAGUGUAUAUAUUGUCAGUACUGAAUGAAUAUAAGAUUUACUAACACUGACUAUAUAUACAUUCACAGUAUAUAUAAGAUUUACUCAUUUUAAAAUAUGGCAUCAUACUCUUUUUAACUAACUUUAGUUUAAGUUUAAUUAAUUUAGGUUCCGACAAAAAUAACCUUUUUUUAGUGCAUUUGGAACAUUAACAUAGGCAAUGUAACAGGCAAUUCCUCUUGCAGCAUGACGAGUAAGAAAGUUCAGAAAAAAGAAACAAAAUUAUCAUAGUACCUUUGCUGUAAAAACUACAAACAUUUGUAGAACAAAAGCCUUGCACCAGCAAAAUCAAGUACUUCAUGAGUACCUUUUGUUUAUUGAAAGGCGUUGAUGGUAUUACAAUGAAUUGGCAGACAAAGUAAACAAGAAUUGGUUUCAAAUCGUGAUUGUAUAUCACUUUUCUUUAAACUUUAUUUAUCCUGUAUAACGUGCAAUAAAUUUGGACAAAUAUCCUUUUACAUAACAUGAAAUUUGUUUGUCUUAAACUCUUGCACAAAAUAAGACAAACCCUUUUGAACUAAGAAGUGCUUUUGAGAGAAUUCAAAAUAGUAAGAAAGUGAUUUUUUUUUUUUUUGCAGUAAAGCACUCUCUACUUAACCUCUUUAUAUAGGAAAAAUUGUUUAAGAAACAAAUGAACAUAAUAAAUACUUGUAUGAAUAUAUUCAAGGUAUUGUGUACAAAUUCAUGUAUUUAAAUUCAUGCAUCACAUAAUUCUAUGAUCAAAUAUAUGAAUCUAUCCUUACAUUCAAGGAUCCCCACAUACAUGAAUAUAUUCAUGAAUAAAUAUACAUUUAUCACAAUAUAUGUACAUCUUAAAAUCAUUUGAUUCAUAAUACAAUACAUGUAUGUACAUCCUAGAAUCACUAAAUAAAAAUUUUGAAAAUUUCCAACAAAAGGAAAUUUUAGUUACAUAUCAUUUUAUUUAUUAUUUUUGGUCUAUUAUUUUAUCAUUUUUAAUUUCCAAAAUCAAGUACUUCAUGAGUACCUUUUGUUUAUUGAAAGGCGUUGAUGGUAUUACAAUGAAUUGGCAGACAAAGUAAACAAGAAUUGGUUUCAAAUCGUGAUUGUAUAUCACUUUUCUUUAAACUUUAUUUAUCCUGUAUAACGUGCAAUAAAUUUGGACAAAUAUCCUUUUAGAUAACAUGAAAUUUGUUUGUCUUAAAAUCUUGCACAAAAUAAGACAAACCCUUUUGAACUAAGAAGUGCUUUUGAGAGAAUUCAAAAUAGUAAGAAAGUGAUUUUUUUUUUUUUUUUUGCAGUAAAGCACUCUCUACUUAAUCUCUUUAUAUAGGAGAAAUUGUUUAAGAAACAAAUGAACAUAAUAAAUACUUGUAUGAAUAUAUUCAAGGUAUUGUGUACAAAUUCAUGUACUUAAAUUCAUGCAUCACAUAAUUCUAUGAUCAAAUAUAUGAAUCUAUCCUUACAUUCAAGGAUCCCCACAUACAUGAAUAUAUUCAUGAAUAAAUAUACAUUUAUCACAAUAUAUGUACAUCUUAAAAUCAUUUGAUUCAUAAUACAAUACAUGUAUGUACAUCCUAGAAUCACUAAAUAAAAAUUUUGAAAAUUUCCAACAAAAGGAAAUUUUAGUUACAUAUCAUUUUAUUUAUUAUUUUUGGUCUAUUGAAAGAAAGUUUGGCAUAUUUUUUUUGUUACUUUUACUUCAAAAUAUUCGUGGCAUUACACUUUAUUGAGUUUGUAUCAUUUAAACUUGUUUCACAUUGCACAUAUAGCAGAUUAGGCUUGAGUAGUUGUAAUUUUGAUUUGUCAGACAAUUGCCCAACUCUAUUUACUCCUUUUACAUUUCCCCUAACCAAAUAUUAUUUUCCAUCCUAAUUCCUGCUUAAUUAUGUGUUUUAUGUCAUAUUUAGGACAAUGAAAUCAACAUACUAAAUUUUUCAUUCCAUUUUGCCUUCUCAAUAAGAUUAUACCAAGCAUUGGAAAAGAAAUAUACAUUUCAUUCUGAUUUCGGUUACCUAAGUAUAGAAUGAUAAAUAAUUUUUUGCCCAUUCUGACAAGAAAAAAAAAAUCUUAAGUGGAAAGAACUUUCCAUUCUGGACCAUUCCUAUGUAGUAUCAAACAGAGGUAAGUGAUUUGUAGUGAUUCUAACAAAUCGCAUGCACUUUAACGGGUGCAAGACUCAAACUCGAACAAGUCAAUACACGAAUAUGUACAACAGUCUAUUUAUCGUCUCAUAUUAAUAUUAAGUAAAAUAUAUUUGUUUUCCUAAAGCAUCGUAAGUUCUUCAAAUAACAUUUAUUGUUAGAAAAAUAUAUUUUCAAUUAACACUUAAACACAUUUCGUAUUUCUUACCCUUUUUAUACGACUUAUAUCACAUCCAAAAAAAUGCUUCAAUAAAUUUUAUCUAAUUGAUUGAAUUUCCAAAUAAUUUCCAAGAAAAAAAAAGAUAUGCAUAAACCCAAGAAGAUACAAAGAAAGAUGGAACUAGACCUAGUAAUCAUCAAACAAAUGGUCUAGUUGACUCUAUGCUCCGUAAUCUGCCAUUUGCACUAAAGGCAACUCAUCUCUGUCCUCGAAUCCAGAGGACAACUAAUUAACUUCCAAGUUUCAACAGAUUAAAAUUCCCAUUUGCUCAAAUCAGGCGUGGAGUUUCCAAGAAACGCGGUUGGGCGAGUGAAUGUAGACGUAUCCAAUUAUAUUUAAGCAGUGACGACAGCCUUUACCUCAUUUGUUAGUGACGUCUGAUUAAUCCAUUGACUACUAAUUUUCGUAAAAUUUUAGUUCAGUUGGAGCACUUAAAUUAUAGUAAUACCUUGUGAAACUUUGGACUUGUCAAUGGUGUUCGAUUUUUAAAAGAUGGAACACAUUUUAGGCAAACAAGAAAGGCCUGCACUGAUUCAAGAAAUUCUUUGUUUAAUUAAAUUUUCUUGUUUCACUUGGGAAUUGCAGAUGGUGAACGGCCAGCCAACUACUUAGACACAUCAAAUUUAUCAAGCAUGCAUACAAGAAAGAAAAACAUAUGUAGGAGAAAAUUUCAGUUUGAGUAGUUCUAUGAAUCUUUGAGAGUGGCGAUUGAGGUCCCCAACUAAAACAAAAAGCUCGAGUGAGAAUAUUCAUGUUUUCAGUUAAAACCAUCUACAGGCAACAAAUGAAACGGGGAGCACUUAUGUUGUUAUUGUUGAGUGAAUAAAUAUUACAGAAUUUUGUCUGAUCGCAUGUUUUAGUAUAAAAGAUGUAAAGGGCUGUGAAGGAGUGGUGAGAAACGGGGAAAGCUUGACAGUUAGGCACUGAAGAAGAUGGUGAAGGCAUCAGGGAAGAGGAAGCAGAGGAUAAAAUGGAGCAAACUGUAUACGUUUUCGUGUUUGAAUCCUCGCACUACAGAUAAUGAUGCACCAAAUCAACAGCUUCUUGGGCAGCCGGGGUUUUCGCGAGUGGUGUUCUGUAAUCAGCCUGAGCUGCAUAAGAUCAAGCCACAAAAGUAUCCCAGCAAUUACGUGUCGACUACUAAGUACAAUUUCAUGACAUUCCUUCCUAGAGCACUUUUCGAGCAAUUUCGCAGGGUUGCCAAUCUGUAUUUUCUGUUAGGAGCAGCAUUAUCUAUUCCCAAGUUGGCUCCUUUUAGUCCUGCAAGUAUGAUUACACCCCUUGUCUUCGUUGUGGGAAUCAGUAUGCUCAAAGAAGCUAUAGAAGAUUGGAGUAGAUUUUUGCAGGUAGCUACUCUUGCAUCUUUUUGGAUUCUUUUAAUUAUGCAACCAUAAUUUGCUUUCUGUUUUUUCCACUUUACUUGCUCAAAAUAUCCUAAAAGUUUGACACGUUUCACUUCUGUCUUCGUGCUUCAUCGGAAUUGCUUUCUUUUAAUCAAUUUCAUGGCCUACUUUUUAAGAAGUGAGUGAACUAGUUGAACAUUUGUUACCUAAUUGCCAAAUGUUUAUCCGAUAUUGUUUUUCUUGUUAAAAGCAAUUAAAGAAGCAUCUUCUUAUUCCCUUAGAAACCAAGAUCUCUAAUCUGCAUUUCAUAAAGCUUUGCUGAGUAGUAUUUUCUUGAAGUUGGAUGCAUGUCUUCAUACUGCCUUAAAUCAAAUUUCCAGGACAUGGAUGUGAACUCCCGGAAAGUGAAGGUUCACUCAAGGAAUGGUUCUUUUGUUGAAAAGACCUGGAAAGAACUUUCUGUGGGGGAUGUUGUGAAAGUAAACAAGAACGAAAACUUUCCAAGUGAUCUCCUCUUGUUGUCUUCUAGCUAUGAGGAUGGUGUUUGCUAUGUUGAGACCAUGAACCUUGAUGGAGAAACCAAUCUGAAACUGAAAAGAAGCUUAGAAGCAACACUUAGUCUGGAUGAUGAUGUGGAAUAUACAAAGUUCCAAGCCACGAUACAUUGUGAGGAUCCAAAUCCAAACCUCUACAGUUUUGUAGGAAAUUUGGAGUUUAAUAAUGGAACAUAUCCCCUGUCCCCAACCCAAAUUCUAUUAAGAGACUCAAAACUUCGGAAUACAGAAUACGUGUAUGGAGUAGUGAUAUUUAGUGGACCAGAUGCAAAAGCAGUGAGAAAUUCCACCAGAUCACCAUCGAAAAGGAGCCGCGUAGAGAGAAGGCUAGACUAUCUUAUAUAUGUUCUUUUUCUGUUAUUGGUUAUGAUAUCAGUAGUAAACUCAAUUGGCUCUGCAUUGGUCUUAAAAUCUGAAGCAGCUAUGUGGUGGUACCUUCGCUUGCAAGAAAAUGCUGAUUCACCACUCAAUCCAUCAAAGCCUGUCACGUCGUUUUUCUUGCAAUUUGUAAGGUCCCUCAUUUUGUAUGGUUACCUGAUUCCCAUAUCACUGUAUGUCUCAAUUGAAGUUGUCAAAGUUCUACAAGCCAUGCUUAUCAAUAAGGAUAUGAGGAUGUAUGAUGAAUUAUCAGGUAAGGCAGUGGAAGCCCGAACAUCAAAUAUAAAUGAGGAACUUGGACAGGUUGAGAUGAUCCUCUCAGACAAAACAGGAACCUUGACUUGUAAUCAAAUGGAAUUUAGGAAGUGUUCCAUAGAAGGAAUAUCUUAUGGUGGUGAAAUAAAUGAAGUUGAUCUUGCAGCUUCCAGAAGAAUGAAUGUUGAUGUAGAAAGGUAUAGGAUCAGCAUAGAUGGAUCAGAUUCCACAGGGGAAAGCAUUGAGAUGUUUGAGUACUCUGUAGCUGAAGCUGAUGCAAAGCAAGCUGUUUUAGGUUGUGAUCAUGCCAUAGAGAAUUCAGAUAUUGAACAUAGAAGAAUUCCUGCAUCAGGGAAAGAACCUAAUAUUAAGGGUUUCAAUUUCAGAGAUGAUCGCCUUAUGGACAAAAUGUGGAUCCACGGGUCAAAUGUACAUGACAUGAUAAUGUUUUUCAGAGUUAUGGCUCUGUGCCAUACAGGCAUUCCGGUUGAAGAUGGUAACAGCAAGAGACUGAAGUAUGAAGCAGAGUCCCCUGAAGAAGUUACAUUUCUAAUAGCAGCGCAAGAGUUUGGAUUUAAGUUCUGUCAAAGAACUCAGUCUGUGAUGUUUCUUCAAGAGCUCGAACCUUCUUCAGGAAUUGAAGUAAAGAGGUGAAAUUAUGCCUGACAUUAAUUUUGUCUAAUCUUUUCCAUUCAUAUUUGUCUUUUAUUGACAAUGUUACUUAUUUUGCAACGUCUGAUUCUUCUUAACAACAUGUAUAUGAAACUCUUAGGGAGUACAAGCUUUUGAAUCUUUUAGAGUUCAACAGUGCAAGGAAAAGAAUGUCUGUGAUAGUAAGCAACGAGGCUGGGGAGAUCUUUCUAUUUUGCAAAGGAGCUGACAAGUAAGUGUUGGCUUGAAAAGCAAUUAAGGCCAAGAAAUCUAUGCCACUAGAAUUAGUUUUUUCUGGAGAUAGUUAAGUUGGUAAUCAUGUCAUUGUGAACUUUCUGCUUAGUCCACUAAAUAUAUCCUUCUGCAUUUUGGAUGAGGUCCGACAGUUACUGCAGUGUCUUAGAUGUAAAUUUUUUUUAUGUAAUCCAAUCAUAGACUUGCAGGGUUUCUAUCAUCUAAUUGAGCUGCUUUCUGUGGUUGUCAGUAUCAUCUUUGACAGACUAGCAGACAAUGGUAGGAUAUAUCAGCAGGCUACAACGGCUCAUCUAUCAAAUUAUGCAGAAGAUGGUCUACGCACAAUGUUGUUUGCAUACAAGAAGAUUGAAGUGGUAGAAUAUGAGAGUUGGAAUACAUUGUUUACAAAAGCCAAGGCAACAGUAGGUACUGAAAGAGAAGAGCUACUUGAGCAUGCCUCUGAAAUGAUUGAAAAAUAUUUGUUUCUGCUGGGGGCAGUAGCAGUUGAGGAUAAGCUACAGAAGGGGGUAAAGCUCACUUCCUACCUUUCUCUGUCGUUCCUUUUCUGUAUUCCCCUUUAUUCAGCGUUAUAGGAAUUCAGCAUGUGCAAUUUAUCAGUUACGUUUCCUAAAUUACAUGAAAUGGGAUUUAAAUUACAUGAAAUAUGCAGGUUUUCAACUUAAAUGCCAGAUUUUGCUAAGUGAACGCGAUCAAGUCCAUUUCUUUUCCCUCAGGAUUUGAAUAAGUGACAUAGGAAUUUGGGUAUUGUGAUUGACAAUUGUUUUGAGUAUCUAACUCCCCAUAUUGGCCUUAUAUUGGAAUAUUUUCUCUUCAUAGUCUUAACUAGUACACAAAUUUUUAAAUCAACAUGCUUUUUUCUGGCAACAUUUCACACGGAGUCAAUUUUAUACUUUCAGAAUCUUUUGGUGGAUAACAUGAAGGAGAUUGGAACUAGUAUUAUUAACUUUGUAGAUACAAGUACAAUUUUAAGAUCAGCUAUCCUUGGACUUCACUGCUUGACAUGGUAUUGGUAUAUUCCUGCCAGUGUUUAGAUACUCAAAAAUCAACAUAAUAUAUCUCUGAGAUUUGAUAACAGGUUCCUGAGUGCAUUGAUAAACUUGCACAAGCUGGGCUGAAAAUCUGGCUGCUAACUGGUGAUAAAAGAGAAACGGCAAUGAAUAUUGGGUAAGACUGUGAUCACUCCAUCCUUCUAGCUGAUGCGACUGUAGUAAUGCUAUGACAUACGUUGGUAUCAUGUCAUUGUAGUUCUUAGUUUCCAUACUAACUUGUAAGGUGUAAUUUGGCAGAUUUGCUUGCAGUUUACUUCGCCAUGACAUGAAACAAUUCCAUUUGGUUUUGAGCAAAGAAGCUGAAUCCAGUCAUCAGUUAAAGGUGAAAACAAUUUUCUUUAACUUCCAUGAUAGAUAAUAUCUGCUAGAGAUGAUCAACAGCAUGAACAUAAAUAAUUCACUGGAAUUAAGUUGUUUGUCUAUGUCUAGCUUUUCAGGCUGUGGAAGAAGACAUUUUAUCCCAAAUCAGGAAUUCAUAUCAGGAAAUUGUUAAAGGCAACAAGAAGGAUGUCCCUUCUGCUUUGAUAGUGGAUGGAAAAGCCAUGGAAGUUGCUCUAAGAAGUGAGAUCAGCAACCAGUUCUUACAGUUAGCAGUAAUGUGUGAUUCAGUGAUAUGCUGCCGUGUUUCUCCCAAGCAAAAAGCUUUGGUAGAAUCUGUCCUGUUCUUCUUCCUUUACACCUUCUUUGAGUGCUGUCUCUUUUUCUCCUGUCAGUCUCCAAGAUCUGUGGCCAUUACUUCCCCAAGAAAUGUCUAGGAGUAACUAAAUAUCUCCAUUGAACUGAAAUUUUAUGCUGUUAGUGAAAUUGACAUGCGGAACAUCUAAUUGAAUGUAGAGGUUAAGCGAAUUAAUCAAUUGGGACAUAUGUAGCCGACUUUGUAAACAUAGGUCUUAGAAUUUUCUUCCAGCAUGUACCUUCUGUCUUUUGCACGGCAUUUUUCAAGCUAGGUUUCUCUUUGUCCCUUCUUAAAGUUGCUUCACUCUAUUGCAUUUUCUUUUAUGAAUAUUCUGACUGCUAUAACCUUUUUUUAAUGCAUGAUAAAAUAUAAAACGUUUCAAUGAAAUAUAAGCACACUUAUUAGACGUGACAUCUGUAAAUCUCUUUCACAAGUCUACUAAUAACUUUGUUUGCCUACUAAUCAUGCCUAAUACAAGCUUUUAUGGACAUACAUGUUUGUUUUAUACCUUGCCAUGUUGUGGCACUUCAGAUCGCUCGCCUUGUAAAAGAAUACACAGGUAAGACAACCUUAGCAAUUGGAGAUGGAGCAAAUGAUGUUGGUAUGAUUCAAGAAGCUGAUAUUGGAGUCGGAAUCAGUGGCAUGGAAGGAAUGCAGGUAAAUAUUUGGCUGGCUUCUUUUUUUUUCAUUACUAUUAAUUUCGCGAAUAAGGUUUGAUAAAUUGAAUCCAAGCAUACACAGCAAUUAACUGAGGGAUUCCACAUUGAAAAACAGCAUUUUAUCUACAAGAAUGGAUGACAGCUACUUGCUACUUGUUUAUCAAUUACUAACUAAUAUGGAAUGAGUUUCUGAAACCUUGUGUCAAUGCAACAUGCAGGCGGUCAUGGCAAGUGACUUUUCUUUGCCUCAGUUCUAUUUCUUGGAACGUUUACUAAUAGUUCAUGGGCAUUGGUGUUACAAGAGAAUCUCCAAGAUGGUAAUACUCCAUCCUAUCUUGUGUUGCGUGUAUGCAAGUGCCCAGAAAAGAAAGAUAAUCGACUUUAUUAAGGUUCACUGACACAAAUUUUGUUCUGCUGCAGAUUCUCUACUUCAUGUACAAAAAUGUUGCAUUUGGCUUGACAUUAUUCUACAAUGAAAUUUACAGCAAUUUCUCCGGUGAUGAUCUGUAUGACGAUUGGUAUAUGGUCCUAUUCAAUGUUCUGUUGACAUCUUUGCCUGUGAUUGCACUAGGUGUUCUAGAGCAGGAUGUUUCAGCUGAUGUCUGUCUGCAGGUGAGAAGAAACAAGUUCUACGAUUUCAUAACACUAGCCUUCAUUGUUUGAAACCUCAGAUAAACAUGCAAUUCUCACGCGUCCCCAUCCCUACUGUCCCCUGAAAAAGCUAAUCUUCUUGCAAGAUUUUAACUUGAUUAACCAUUUUACCGUCACUGGAAUAGUUUCCAGCACUUUAUCAACAGGGACAAAGAAACAUAUGUUUCAGCUGGAAACGUAUCUUUGGCUGGAUAUUGAAUGCCACUCUUUCUUCUGUAGCUAUCUUCACAGUCACCAUAUACAUAUUUUCUCCAGCUGCACUCAGACAAGAUGGAAAGGUGGCAGAUCUAGCACACAUCGGUACCAUCAUGUAUACAUGUGUAAUCUGGACAGUAAACUGCCAGAUUGCACUCAUAGUCACACACUUCACUUGGAUUACCCAUGUUCUGAUCUGGGGAAGCAUCUUGUGCUGGUAUAUCUUCUUAGUCUUGUAUGGUAUGCUUCCUCCUGAGCAUUCUCAAGGUGGUUUUCACAUCCUUAUUGAGGCCAUUGGGACUGCACCAAUGUAUUGGAUUGUAACAUUUCUUGUAGUAGUUGUUACACUCCUUCCAUACUUCAUUUUCAGUAUAAUCCAAAGAUCAUUCUACCCCAUGGAUGAUCAAGUGAUCCAAGAGAUCAAGUACGGUAGAACUGAUGUAAGCAACAAACCAAUGUGGUUGAGGGAGCAGCAGAACUCCAGGAAGAGGACUCAAAUUGGAUUUUCUGCAAGAGUUGAUGCAAAAAUUCGUCACUUGAAGGAAAGAUUGCACCGAACGAAAAAAUGAAUAUACGAAUUUGUCACAAAUAACUAGUUUAACAAUCAGCUGGAACCAGUCAAGUGACUAAAUGAUUAUUUAGUGUAUCACUUCCUCAUUAUCAUCGAAGUAUAUUGUAAUUAUUUAGCAAGUUAGAAAAUAAAGCAUGGCUAGCAGCUUUAGCAAGGCUUAGAGUUAUGCAGGUGAAGUCCUCUAAUCUGCAUUUCUUGCGAACUUAAUUUGUCUUGGCUGUGAUAUCUGGUUCUUUUUGGAAGGAAAUUAAACCGAACUGUAUUUAGUUUCCUAAUCUUUUAGUCUAUUGUUUGGUGUGUUGUUUGUCUAGUUUCCAUAUUAGAUUAGGGAAUCUCAAUCAGUUUCUAAUUAGGUUUUGAUUUACAUUUGUAUUUGUUUUAGGAAGUUUUAGAGUUUAUAAAUACUACUAGUUUAGUAGGUUAUUAAUUAAAGAGUAGAGUUAGGUUGAAUUGAGUCUUUAAAGAUAGAUUUGAGAGAAAGUCUCAUAAUUGAAUUUGUAAGUUGUCAUUAGUGAAAGGCUAUGACUUGAUAUUUGUUUUUGUUGAGUUUUGAAUUAAAUAAAUUAUUGACUAUUUGUUCUGCUUCUCUUCCCACAUAUUUAUAUGAGUCAAAAUUGCUUCCGCUAUACACGUGAUUUUUUAUGCCAACAAGUGGUAUCAGAGUUCUAGAUUCAAAAGUUUGAUUUUCGGGUAUCUAUGGUGGUCGGAAAGGGUGAAAAAAUUUUUGAUAGAGAAACCUAUACCAUAAAAAGGUAUAAAAGUUGUGAUACGUAUAUUAAAAAAUUGAAUCACAAGAGUUGGUUUUGAGGUACUAGUUCGUUGAUUGGAAUUAGAAAAAAGACCCUAAUUGGACAGAGGUCUAAAAAGAAGGAUUCUGUCAUGAUUAUUGAUGUUAUGCAGUGAUCAAAACAAAACAGAUAUUGUCAGAUUGUUGAUUGUUACAAUAAAAUUUGAUCAAAUCUGAAGCCAGGGAAGUCAAGAAAUUCAAGAAGGGAAGAAAAAAAAUAUUUGUCAAGAUAAAUAAAUUAUUUUGAGUUGUCAUGGACAAAGAAUUUGUAAGUGACGAAAAAUUUAAAGUUUUAUGCACAUUUAGUGGUGAUAAAGAAAAAUCUGAAUGGUCAAGAAUAAUGCACAAAUAUCUUAAAAAGUGUGGUUUGGGUGAAUUUUUUAAGAUCAAUCAAAAGAAAUUAAGAGAAGGAAGGUCAGAUUAUUUUUCAAAAUAAUGCGAAAAUUAAUGGUUGAAAAGUAUUAUAAAAGACUUAUCAUCUCUAAUCAAUUGGCUUAGUGGUUUUGGUUAGACCUCUUUUAUAUUUUGAUGAUAGAAUUUUCAUAUGAAUAUAAUUCUAAGUCAAAAAUUGGUUUGGAAUGCAAAGUUAAUUUAAAGAAGAUGUGUUUGUUGAUGAUAAAGAGACUUUUGAAAUUUUUGUUAUGGUUGAAAUUAUAAUUUGCAUAUUUUGUUUGGGAUGAUUGAUGAAGAAGAAAUUUGUGAUGGAAAAAGAAGAAAAAGAAGUUUUUGAUGAGGCAAAUAAAGAAGAAAUUUUGGGUGCACAUGAAAAUAAAGAAUUUGUGACUCAAGAAAAAAUUUUACAAGUAGUUGAGAAAGAAAGUGAAAUCAUUGGUCAAAGUAAAGAGGUGAUUAAAGAUCGUGACAAUAUAGAAAUUGUUAAUUUUGUUGAGAUUGAUAAAUUUUUUGAAGAGAAAAUUCAUGUGAUGGAAUUGGUUGAUCUCAAUUAUGAAGUGGAUGAUUUAGUUGAAAAGUGUGACACUAUCAAGGUUGAUGCAGUUGUCAAUGUGAAUCAAUCAACAGAAAAAUAUGGUGAGGUUAAAAAUCUUGGUGAAAAAAAUUAUGAUUUUUUGGUUUUGGGAGAUUUUAUUAGUAACAUGGAUGAAUUGAGUUAUGGAGUAUUAGAUGGAGAAUAGGUGGAUAUGUUUAAAUUUUUUGACAAGAGUGAUCAAUCGAAGAAAUUGCUCAAGAAGUAUAAGAUUCAUCCACUACUACGUGUAAAAAUGAAAUUGAAAACCAAUCAUAAGUUGAGAAUGAAUGUUAUGUCUAUCGCAAUCGAGUUUUUCAUGGAGAUUCAAACUCGUGAUAGCAUUGGAGAUGACAAUGAAGAGUUUGGUUUAAGAGAGACAAUGAAAGAAAUUAAACCAAACUGUAUUUAGUUUUCUAAUCCUUUUAGCUAAUUGUUUUAGUAUGCUGUUUGUCUACUUUUCAUAUUAAAUUAGGAAAUUUCAAAUCAAUUUUCAAAUAAGUUUUGGUUUACAGUUAUAUUUGUUUUAUGAAAUUUUAGAGUCUAUAAAUACUACCAGUCUAGUAGGUUAUUAAUUGAAGAGUUGACUUGAGUCUUGAAAGAUAGGUUUGAGAGAAAGUCUUUGUGAGUUAUUGUGAGCGAAAGGUUAUUGAUAUUUAUAAUUGAGACUUGAUAUUUGUUAUUGUUCGGUUUUGAAUUAAAUAAAUUAUUGACUAUUUUUUCUCCUCCUUUUCCAAUAUAUUUUUAUAUGUGAUAAAAUUGCUUUCCCUAUGCACGUGAUUUUUGUGUGCCAACAUUUUUUAACUUCAUUAAAAUGUAUAUCCAAACAUAAUUUGUUAACGAAGGAAAAGCAAGGAAAGAAAGUAGGAUCAAUGGUAAUUUUAUCUUACCCGUUUUGUUUUCAUGGGCAAAGAAUAUGGCAAAAAGUUACAAAGUUUUAGAUGGGUUUAAACAUGGGACGAUUUCAGAAACUUCUCCUCAGGUUUCUGAAACGUUUUUGACUAUUUUCACUGAUCCCCCUCCCGCUUUUAAAAAUUACAUUAAUCUUCCUUGAGGUUUACUAUCUUAUAAUAGGGAUAAUUUCAGAAACCUCCCUUGAAAUUUCUAAUAAUUUCACUGAAAUCCCUUAAAGUUUAAAACAUUGCACUUACCUCCCUUAAUUUGAUAGUUUUAAUAACAAAACAUUAACAUAAUAUUGACUUGGUCAAAUUUUAUGUGAAUACCCAACAAUGUCCCUGUGUAAUGGGUUUUAAUUUACUUUUUCAUACAAUUAUAAGAUUAUCUUGUAUAAUUAUAAGGAAAAAAUACCAAAAUUUUCAUGUUCAUAACUUCUAUUUGAUAAACAACUAUAAUAAUAGUAAUAAUAAUAAUUUUAUUACUAUGAUAUAAUACUUUUGAUGGUAUUUUAUUAUGGAUUUAGAUUUAUAAGAUAGAAAAUAAAAUGUUGAAAUAAUUCAUUUAGUAUUUAUAAAUUUUUGAGGAGUGAGAUCAUCAUAAUUUAGUAGUGAUUUUUGGGCCAUUUCUUUUUGAUGUGUUGUUAAUUUUAAUGCCAAAAAAAUAGAAAACAAAGAUCAACAAAAACAUUGGAUUGCAUAGAAAGUUAACUGAUAAAAAAUUUACUAGUUUGACAUUUGGUUACAAUAGAAACUAUAAGUAAUAGUAGUGUUAAUUCUACAGUUUUAUUGGAAAAAAUGUUUUAAAAAUGAAUAAGAAGGAAAAAGUAUGAAAAAUAUAAUUUUUAAAAGUCAUUUUAAAUAUAAACAUACCAAACAAGGGAAUUUCAUUAAAAUAUUUAAGGGUAGUAUUGUCAUUUUAAAUGAUGAGAGAGAUAUGUAUAAUUUUUAAAACCCCGAGAGAGCUAAAUGAAAUUGUCAAAAACCUCAACGGAGGUUUUUGAAAUUAUCCCCUUAGAAUAUUUAGGUCCAAUUAACAAUUAAAAAAUGAUAUUAGAACAGAGAAGAUAAUAUGAUUUCACCAUUAUCACUCAUUUACUAAAUUGUUUAAUUAAUCUAAUAUUUGCCCAAAUACUAAAGAAAAUAUUAGAAUUUGUUGUUAUCAUCAGUAAUUAAAUCACAUAUGGUAUCAAAAAUAGUGUAUCAUUUUAUAUAUUUUACUUAUUGUAAGAUCUCAAUUGCACAUUUCAGUUAUAAAAUCCAUUAUCAUACAUGAUUAACAACAAAUAAUGAAAAAAAAAUUUGCAACCAAAAUAUUAUAAAGUGCAAGUUUUAAUACCAUAAAAAUAUCAGCAACUAACUUUAAUAUGUUGACAAGAAUAUUUAUGAUGUUAAAGUUUGUUCUCUAUAAUAUUUUAGUUGCAAAUUUUUUUAUUAUUUAUUAUUGAUCAUAUGUAACAAUUGGUAUGUAAUUAAAAAGAGUAAUUUGGAUCUUGUAUUAAGUGAAAAAUAUAAAAUGAUAUACUAUUUUUUGAUGUUAUAUGUGAUUUGAUCCUUAAUGAUAAACAUCAAAUUUUAGUAUUUUUCUUUAAUGUGUGGGUUGGUAUUAAAUUAAUUAAAUGAUGUAGUAGAUGAGGGGCAAGAAUAGAAUCAUAUUAUUUUCGCUAUUUUAAUAUCACUUUUUAAUUAUUGAUUGGUGCUAAAUGCUACAAUAUAAUUAAUCUCAACAAAUGUUAUUGUAAUUUUUGAAACUCAGAGGUUUCUGAAAUUAUUCCUAAAAACCUCGGGGGAGGUAUCUGAAAUUAUCCCUAAAAACAAACAUUACAGAGGAAAUUACAAAUUGCACCAAACUUUGAGGGCCUUAAAGUAAUUGACCCCAUUUCUGAAGUAAUCUGCCUUCUCUGCUCAUUAAUUUGCAGGUGUUCUCCGGCUCCAUCGGUCUCUCUCUAAUACACGUCACUAACUAUUUUCAGCGAGAGGUUAAAAAUGGUAAUUAAUUGUAGUUAAAUUAAGCAAUCCAAAAUUAGAGCCGGAUUCUAUUUCUACGGAAUGUUAGAUAGAAUAGGGAAAGAAUUGCCGUGCAAACUUGAGAGUGCCAUUUAUCACCUGAGGAUUAAAGGGUUCCGCUGCAAACUAGAAAGUUAGUAAAAUUUUGAUCACCUGAAGAUUAACAGAUCAUUGAUUUUAUUUCAAGAUUUUUUGACCCUUUUCAGUUUAUUCAUUUUUCUGAUCAGUUUUAACUUGUGUUUUGCAGCCCAGCUGAAUAUUGAAAGAUGUCCAUCAAUGCAGAUACAGAUUCACCAGGUAAUCUCUACUAAAUGCAAGAUUGAUUGUAUUCUCGAUUCAGUUUCUUUAGAAUUUUUAACAGGGAAGUUAUAAACCAAGUGAAAUGGUAUAACUUGUACGUUUAAGGUAUUUUGUUAUCUUAAAAUGUACCGCAUUAGGCUUAAAUCUUGCUUCAGGUGACACAUGUCUCUUAUUUUAAUUGUCUACGGAACAUAGCUGUUAAGAGUUAAAGAUGCUAGAAGUAUUUCUUUUCCUUGCUAAAUAUGCUAGGAAGCCAGUUCAUGUUGUUCCGCAGACAAAAGUUUGAAAAGAGGAAAUGCUGUUUUUAAAGUUGAAACCAGACCUAAGUUUCGGAGGAGAUCUAAGAUGUCCAGGCCCAUAGCAGGAUAUAAGUGAUAAGCCUGCCUUUUAAGUAUGCAACAGAGGCCGUAUCUUAUAAUCUUACUGUAAUGAUGCUGACUUGAAUAAUUUGCAACAUAUCAGAAAGAAAUGAAGAAUAAUCUAAUUCCAGAAGCCUAGGUGCAGAGUUUCUUUUUUUUUUUUUUUGGGUUGUCUCAAAUGUGGUUAUAAUGCCUCAAGCUACAGUAAGAAGAUUUAGUGAUGCAGAUGUUACUGCUCUAGCAGUUUGGAAGUAUGUAACUAGCUUUUCUUGUCAGCUGUAUCAAGCUUUUGUCUGGAUUAGAUGUAUAGGAUUUCAGAGUGUUGCAUUGUUUUCUUUUUAUUUUCUGUGGGAAGAGAGACUUGGAGAAAAGUUUUAUAUCUAAGCCUGUAAUUAUUCUCCCUGCAGGUAUAUUGAAACAUCAGACUGGCAAUGUUAAACAUCAGAUGAAGGGUGCAGCUACUACAUUCCGUAAUGAACAUGAUCCAUUUGAUUUUAUGAGAUUUUUAUAUGGUAGGUUUAUGCUUUCUAUGUUAUUCUUGAAUAUCAUUGUUGGGUGAAAAGAAAUGUUAACAUAGCAUGGUUAACAUAAGUUUUGUACCGAUGAGCUUUACAUCUUCAGACAAAAAUUGCUAGAACCUUGUGCAUUAUGUUGCAAAGACAUAUUACUACAAAAUCUGUUGCUAUUUUCAUUUAUUAAUAGCAAGUAGCUACAUGCUUUGUAUGUCCAUAUAGUUUUUCAAUUCUUUAAUUUUGUGGUUGGAAUUCUUUUCUUUAGUUUUGGGAAGCAAGUUUUCGGUGGGAAUAUAAAGGACAACUCAACAAUGGAAAGCUUGAAAUGAGAUUUGACAAUAAUAUUAUAUAGCAUAAAAGUGGCUUUUAAUUGGUCUGGAUUAUGAUUUUUGUGGGUUUAUCAGCCCUAUCUGUCUCCAUGUAACCAGAUAAUUGUCUAAUGGAUGGUGUAAGUCCUUUUUUUUGGGGGGGUAAAAUAGUGCAUGCAUUAGUCUCACAAUCCAAGCCGCAGGGAAUGGUUGUUUUAGAUUACAUAUACUGAAAUGUCUUGUAUAUUGGUUUGUGAACAACAAAACGACCUCUAAACAAAAGUAUGUUGAAGUGAGUGCAUGAAAUUUGAAAGUAGUGUAGUCUGACUGAAGCUUAUAGAUGAGAUGGCUGUGUGGAAAUGUCUAAAAUUGGGGUUCUUGCUUUGAAUAAUUGAAUUACUACCACAUGUUUUAACUUUAGGUCGAUGCUACAAGCAUUAACAAAGUUCACGAACUCGACAAAUUGAACUUUUAGUUCUGCUUGUAUUGCUUGGCAUCAUACUAAAAUAUUGGUAACUGACAGUCCUAUCAUAUAGCACUACAAUUUAUCUGUAUAAAUGACUGGCAUGUUCUAGAUAGAAAUGUGUUACCCUUUCAUUGGAAAAGUUGUUUUAUAUAUAUUGGUAGUUUUGUCCAAUCUACAACCCUUUGCAGUAUUCCAUCGUAUGGUUUUGCAGAGGGUGCUGUAGCUGGAGCCACAGCUGGUGUUGUCGUUGAAUCUGUUCUGUACCCAAUUGACACCAUCAAAACAAGACUUCAAGCAGGUUUAUUUUGUUAACACAUUUUGUUGUAGUCUUGUAGAUUAAAAAGUAGCUGAUUAAAAAGAUCAGAUGACAGUUCCACCUGUUGUUUGGUGAAGCUUUACAUUGACGUAUUUCUUCUUGUGAGCUGAGGUGAUCUGUUUUGCUUUUCAUUGUUUUAUGGUAGGCAGUUCAUGGUGGAGGAAAGAUCAUAUUAAGGGGUCUUUACUCCGGAUUGGCUGGAAAUCUUGUUGGGGUCUUACCGUAAGUACUUAUAACUGCAACUGCUGUUUUUCUUGUGCUCUACGAGAAACAGAUAGAUGAUAAUGUCAUACAAAUGCAGUCUAAAGUUGAUUUGAGCAACCUUGAUUAUGUAGAUUGGGUAUAGAGGCUGCAAUUAUAUUGAAGAUAACUUCUUCCUGUAGAUAUGGCCAUAAUUUGAUUUACUAGUUUUCUAUGUGUUCUGGGAGAAGUGAUGGGACAUUUAUAUUCUUUUCCUAAGAGAUAUAUUAUGACCUACACCUAUUGUAGCUGGAGAGAGACAAAGAGCCCAAACCAGUGGCAGCAUGUUCUUAAUCAGAGAGUCUUCAACUUGGCCUUUAAACAAGAAAAACUUCUUUGUUGUGAUCCAUUAAAUAGUUGUCUUAAUUGACUGGAUCACUUCAAGAAUUGGCGCCACUUAGAAAUUAGAUAGUCAUGGCUUUAUGCACAGCAGGACAUUAAGGGCGCAUCUUAAGUGUUUCUUGUGGUACUUCUACAUGAGCUUCUCCGGGAAUGUAUUUUUGAAUACAAUUGCUUAUCAUGAGACUAAGUCAGAUAAUAGGAAACCCAUUUGCAGAGUGAUGUAGAUGGUUUCUUCUGGAAUCUCUCGAGUCUUUUUAAGAUAACAAGAAGCUUAUACAUAAGGGAAACUAGUGAAGCUUGUAAGGUUAAUGGGUAAGCUUAAGGUAUCAUGCAGGCUGGAUGUGUUUAUGUGUAAUCAUUUAAGCAGUCUGCCUCUUUGAAUACUGUGAAGCUCUUAUGACAUGCAUUAAAAACUGUUCACCUGGUUUGGUAUGAUAAGACAUACUAAAUUUUGAAAAUAAUGUAUGUGCUUCGUUACUCUCCAUGAUUUACAUGUUUGGAGGAAGCAAAAUUAAUAUGUUAUUUUUGUUGUCUUUAAUUUUUGAGUCUGUGUUUUCUCCUUCUUUAGGUGCCUUUGCAAGUAAUAUGUGACCACAGAGGCAUGAGAAAGUGGUAAAUUGAGCCACAGGUUCCUUGGAAGGAGUCUAGAAGGAAGAAAUAUAUAAAGUGGUUCUUAAUGAUAAUUAAGAAACAUUGCCUAUGGUAGUCUGAAAAUGGUUAACUGUGGUGCUUUCUGUUUAAUAUAGCCAAAUUGAAUUCUUGAAUCCUGACAUGGGAAUCACUAACAUUAGUUGCACAAAAAAUUUAAUAACUUGUUUAUCUAUUUAUGGUGGCAUUAUCUGCAUCUGCAAGGAAACCUGCAUAAUUUCUGAUACCUGUGUUGUACUUUUACUUCUUGCAUGAAGAAAUUUGUUGAAGCUUUUUGGAGUUAUAGUCUUUAUGGGAAUAACUUUAACUGCUUUUCAUUGUUCUUAGCGAGAGUGCAGGACAAGUCUUGACAAAUUUUCUAACAUUUUGCAGGGCAUCAGCAAUAUUUGUUGGUGUAUAUGAACCCACAAAGCAAAUGCUUUUGAAGAGCUUCCCUGAAAGUCUCAGCGCCUUGGCUCAUUUGGUUAGUUUUGAAACUAUACAAUAUAAAAGUGCCAUCUCUUUAAUGGCGUAUUACAGUUGCUGCUUCUUUCUAAAUUGAUUUAACUGCAAAUUGUUACAUUGAUACAACAAUGAAGAAAUUAAGGAGUUAUCUUCCAGUAGCAGAUUCUACUCUUUGAUUUAAAUGCCUCCUGUAGUUCCUAUUGGGAUGGCUAAUUUGUAAUUCGAACUAAUCAUCUUCAAGAUCAUAAUUAACUCCUGUCUCUUUACUUUUCUGCUAACUCCAUUUUUUUUUUCCUGAUCCAGGAAAUCUAAUUAUAUCUGCUCAAACUUUUUCAUUAUUGUUUAAAUACCUUUUCAUUUGGGGCAAAACUAAGUGUAGAUAGCUGAUAGGAGUUGUCUAAUAGCUUUAAUUGUAUUUCUAUAGUGAUGAAAUGAGCUAAAUCAAAACUUUCCUAUGUCUUAUUGACUGAGACAAAAAAGAAAUAAUUGUCUUCCAUGUUUUAAUUUGCAAUGUUUAAAGAUUUUGAAUGCUUUUUCAGACAGCAGGUGCUGUGGGUGGGGUGGCAUCUUCUAUUGUUCGUGUUCCAACUGAGGUAUUCAAAGUUGGUUAUUCUGUUUUAUUUAUGGGUGUUGUAUGAAAUCCUUAUCUUUUAUAACUACUUAGGUUGUUAAGCAAAGGAUGCAGACUGGACAAUUUUCAUCUGCCCCCAAUGCUGUGCACUGUAUUGUAGCAAAGGAGGGCUUUAGAGGCCUCUAUGCUGUACGCCAUGCUCUUAUCUUUCAGGGUCUAAAUCUUUGUUUAAGGUGCUAUAGGUUUUCCAUCUUUUGAAAGUCUUUUACUGCACGUUUGCCUUCACCUUUAUCUUUACUAUUGCAGGGAUUUGGAUCCUUUCUGUUGCGAGACUUGCCUUUUGAUGCUGUACAGUUCUGUAUCUAUGAGCAGCUUAGAAUAGGUUAUAAAUUAGCGGUAAGAGAUCCAAAUAAUUAUUCUUUCAUUUACUAAAGAGGCCUAAUAUUUUCCCGUGGAAAUGAGAUUUUAUUUCCUACUUUGAUGUAGCAGGCUUAGAAGCAUCUCACAAAGUUAUAAAAUAGCCAAACUAGUCAACCUCUAACAAGAUAAACUGAGCACAUUCCCAUAUCUUUUGAAAAAAUGAACACUAUUGUUGUUCAACUGUGCCACCUGAUAUUUCCAUCUUCUUUUUUUUGGUAAUUGGUUGAUCUCUGGAAAGAUGGCUUGUGUAGUGUCACUUGAGUAGAAAUCUAUGGCUUAUUUUGAUAAUGGAUCAUUAACAAGGACUAAAUUUGUCAUGACCAUAUAAAAGAUUUAUUGCCUUUGUUCUACAGCUUCUCAGCAUCCACUCUACUUUUGAAGUAUGGUUAUUUAUUGUUUUGCUAACUUUUUUGCAGGCUAGAAGGGAUCUGAAUGAUCCUGAAACUGCAAUGAUUGGUGCUUUUGCUGGUAACUACAAUCUUGUAGGAUUUUGUUUUUGAAAUGCAUAAGGGUUUCAUCAAUUAAUAUUUUCUAGUCUUCUGCAACGCUCAAUAGUGGUCAGGUUGUGAAAUUUUCCUGAUUAGUAUGGUUACAUAUAUUAGCUGUAGAGUUUGACUUUGUUAUGUUUGUCACCGGUUGCUUUUCCGUUUAAUCAAUGCUUAAGAAAUUGUAAGAUACUGCAAAAGCAAGGUUUGAAUGCUUAUGAAUGCUUAAGAGAGUUGACAAGACAAUGCGAAAUGAGAGGUCAAUGCUGUUCUAUCCCUUCCACAUUGACAAGACGGUGAAUUGACUUUCUUGGAAAAGGUAUUGUAAUGCUCAAACAUAGCAACUGGAAUGCACCUGCUAGUUGUCUCGUACCCGAAGCUGACUUAACAUGGUAAAUGUCGUUGAAGUUACCUUGAGAUUUGUCCUAAAACAAAACUAUUCUGUCUAAGUAAGAUGACUACAACUUCUACAUCUAUGAGUAUUAGUCUCUUCAUAUUACCAGUAAGGGACUGAAUUUCAUGUUUAUACCUUCCUGAAAAAUUAAAUAAAAAUUUAGGAAUUAUUCUGACAACUGCCCUUGGAUUUAAACACUGUCCGCAACACAACAUUAAAGACUGAGUCAGACAGCAGAAAUAAUGUGACAUAUUCAAAUUGAAAUGGUUUGUACACCAGUGAAGUACAAACCACAAUUAAUUCUUUUGUAGUAAAUGGCAAGUUGAUGCACCUGCUCCUGUCUUAGAUCUAUCAUGUCUUUGCUUGCACUUUUUAAACAUCUCCUGAUUAACCUUUCUAAUGAAAAUGAAUUCAUUAAUAAUAGACAAUACCAUGAUCAAUUUUUUUUUUCCCGAUACGAAUUCCAUGGUCACUAUAUUAUUGUUUGUGGUUGUGAUUCCUACUUCUACUCAGAGUGCUUUGAUUCCAAGCUCCUGUUAAUGUGGUGGUCUCCAUUGCUUUUCACAACUUCAAUCCCUGCUUCCUGGUCUCCUUUUUUUUUUUUUAUAAUCCACUCCAUGUAUGUCCAUAGGUUCAUCUUUAUGAAAGCAGAUGCACUCCAUUUCACUAGCAGAACUGUCUAAUUGCCUUUUCUGCAACUCUAGUUCUAGAACGGUGGGUGCAUCAUCAGAGGCAUGUGGUUACAUAGUUGAAAUACAAGAGACGUUCAUAAGAACCCUUGAGAACUUUCCCCAUUAACCUUUUUAGCAUAACGCUUAUUAUACUUUUACCAAAAUAAAAAGCUCAAGGAUCCUUUUGUUAAUCUAGUUGCUGAUGCUGCAAUACUGCACAGGAAAUCUUGCCUAAUUUGCACACCAUGCUGAUCCAGGUAUUAUGCAGUCUGCAUCUGACUGCAAAAUUGUGAUCCUUUGGUGACUAGCAGUGAAUUCAUUUUUAGUCAUCUUACUAAUACCUUUCUCAAUGUAUUUGAAUUUGUGAAUUCUACUCUUGUGGCUCACUCAAUAUUAAAGAAUGAUUAACCAUGGUUCCACCUCUUCCGCAUGCAUAUCAGUGAAACUGAACAUCCAAUCUUAUAUGGGAAUCUCUUGGAUUUCUUUCUUGUUAAUCAACAGGUGCAAUAACUGGAGCUAUAACAACUCCAUUGGAUGUCAUAAAGACUAGGUUGAUGGUUCAGGUGUGCUUUAAUGAUUGAUGCUUAUGCGUUAAUCCUUCAUUCUUUCUUAAAUACAUACACAUGCUUGACCUUCAGUUGUUUACCAUUUUGUUAAUUCUUCAGGGAUCUGAAAAGCAGUAUGAAGGCAUCCUCCACUGUGUUGGUACUAUUGUCAGAGAAGAAGGCACCUCCACUCUUUUUAAGGUGUGUCUAUAUGUUACACAUAAUAUACCCUCUAUCCUUGAUUCACAAAGACUUUAGAUAUUGUUAGCCAAUUUUAUGUCUUUUACGUUUUCAGGAUUUCUAUUGAUAACUCAAAAGGAUAUAUUGAUACUUUUUUGAACUGUUAUUAUACCUGAUUAGUUUAAUAUGUUGAUAGCCAUAGAGGAAAUACCAUUUUCUUUCUUCUUCUCCUUCCAGUUAUCUAAAUUGAAUUCAUUUCGAACUCAAAUGAAACCUUGUUCCUUACCAUUUGAGUCAUGGAAUGAAUCCGCUUCUCUAAUUUUCAAUCACUUGGAACUAAAGAUGAUGUACUAAUGGAAAUUUAUUGGACUUGUUAGUUAUAGUCACCACUAUUUUGUAGGAAAGUGGAUGAUUCUGGUCUCAUCAGCUUAAAUGACGUGAGACCAUUGUUUUGACUGUUAUCUUGCAGGGCAUAGGGCCGCGGGUGCUGUGGAUAGGGAUAGGCGGUUCAAUAUUCUUUGGUGUUCUUGAGAGGACGAAAAAGCUGCUCUCUAACAGUGGCCCAAUUCACCCCAGUCCAGAUUCUUUGAAGCAGGACUAACAUAAUACUAUCAGGUUUAAUUAGUUCAUGAAAUUUACUUCCAAAAUGAGAUUCGUGGCAUCAUGUAAUAGAUUUGUAGGAAUUUGGUGAAUUUGGUGGAUUUUAGUGCAAUAUGAGUUCUGCCUCCUUUGGACCAUGUUUCUAUCAAGUAGCAGAGAACUGAGGGCCUUGUGUCUCUUUAUGGAAAUUUUACAUAAUUUUAUGAACUCGAUGUAUAUUAAGGGAGUACAGAGAACAUUAGUUGAAUCUUUUAGAUAGAGUAUUAUUUGAAAUAAUAUUUUUUGUUAUUGAUACGAUAGAUUAUCCUACACUAAGGGGGCGGAGAAGGAUCUAAAGAGAUCUAAAGGUAAUCCGGAGAGGAUUGAACUACCACCGGAUCAGCGCAUCCGUCUGGAUUUUUUAAGCAGAGUCACUUUUUAAAUGUGGCAAAUUGGUUGCCUCCCAUCCCACCAAGCUUUAAUGCAUUGGUGGUGGUCACCGAUCCAAAGACUGGUGGUUGUAUUAUUUGAAAUAAUUAUUGUAGCACUUUUUGUGAUGUGAUAUAUAUGAGAUAAACAAAAAUGAUUGAAAAUAUAAAAAGAUAGAUUGAAAAAUACGUGUAUAAUAUAAGUGAAAUAUUAUUUGAAAAAAUGUAAUUAUCCAAACAAUACUUCAGGAAAAAAAGGUGUUUGGAUAGGAGAUUAUUUGGGAUAAUUUUUUUUUAAGAAAAAUACUGUAGUGUUUUUUUGAUUUGAUGUAUGUAAGAUAAAAAAAUUGAUUGAAAAAUAUAUUGAUAAUACAAGUAGGUUAGUGUGUGUAAAUAAUGUGAAAAUAAGGUGCAAUCCAAAUGCACCAUGGAAGUGUGCAGAGGGAGAGAGAUAUAAGAUUUAAAGAGGAGGAAAACAUUGGCAGCGUACGAAGAGGCCGAGAAUAUAAUGAGUAUCAUCCACGUCCCAGCCAACACAAGAAAGGUUUUGACCAAUAAUUUUAUGAUUUAUUCGUUUUACGAAUUAUAUAAACCUAGACACUCAAUUAGUGAUUCUAAUAGAACUAUGCCGAGAUGCUUGGUCGCCAUUAAGGUCUUCCAUUCAUAGAUUAGUAUAUUCUAACGAGUUGUGAGUACUGAUAUACGUCACAUGUUACUAGAUGAGGAUAUAUGAAACUUCUAUAAUUGUUAUUUUUAUCAAAAUUGCACUGCGAACCUUAGAGUUUUUCGUUCGAAAAAUUAGAGCAUAAGAGUUGUUGUUAUUUAGUGAGUUAAUCGAGUAAGGCCACAAGAUCGAUCAAAAGUAUUCAAUUAGUGCAAAUUAGGCCAUAAAUAUGGUCCUAAUUUGUCAAAUUGAUUGUGUUGAAAACGAGAUCAAAAAAGGAUUAGAGAGAACUGUUGGUCGCUGCAAGUUAUCAAGUUGAAGGAUUUGAUUUGUUUAGCAGUCAUAGACCGGAAAUUUGACAAAGGGAGAGAGGAACAACUGAUGGAGGUAAUUAAAAUUUUCCAGCAAUGAUAAUGGUGCAAAAAGAAUUUACUAAUGGUAAAAAGUUCAAAAUUUUGCACACAUUUAGCGGUGGCGAUGAAAUAUUCAAAUGAUCGAGAAUAACGAAAACAUAUCUCAAAAAGUGUGGUUUAAGUGAUGUUUUUGGAUUAAGUUUUAAAAUCGUUUGCCCAAAGAAGUUUGGAAAAGGAAGUUAAGGUUAUUUUUUAAAAUUAUGUGAAAAUCAAUAAUUGAAGAGCUUUACAAAAGACUUUUGCUCUGUUUGGAUUAACUGUAUUUGGAGGUGUUUUUAAAAAAUUUUAUUAUAGCAGAGUUUUUAUAGUAUAUGUUGAGAUAUUUUUAGAAUAUAUUUUGGGAUAUUUAAGAGUAACAGAGUUUUUAGAAUAUUUUUUAAACAUUAAAAAAAAAUUGGACUACUUUUUAAAGUACAUUUUAGAGUACUUUGUAAAAAAUUUUAUAGGAUUUGAAAAAUUGAUGAAUCCAAACAAAGCAAAAUUGUCAUUUAUAUAAUGAUGGAAUUUUCACAUGAGUAUGCUUACAAGUCAAAAAUUGGUUUAGAGUGGAAGUUGGCAGGGAGAGAGAAGAAAAAACAUUUGUAUUAGUCUUUUUUGUCCUUGUUUUUCUUUCACAAUCACAAAUUCUUCAUAAUGUAGAUCAAAAUUGUCAUUCUUAUCAAUAUCUUCGUAAAUGACUUCAUCAUCGAUAUACAUGUCUGCAUUGAGAUUAAUUUUCGAAUUUUAAAACCAAUUUUAGACCUGUAACCAGGCCUAUACGGAAAUUCCAUCGUGAUAUAAAUGACAUUUGAUCUGAAAAUUUGAGGUGCUCGAGAUCAAGAAAAAGUAUUUUGUAAAGCUCUUCAAUUAUUGGUUAUCGCAUGAUUUUGAAAAAUAAUUUUGCCCUCCUUUUCCAAACUUCUUUGGACAAACAAUUGUUGAAAUUUAUUUCAAGAAUAUCACCUAAACCACACUUGUUUAGAUAUCUUUUCAGUAUUCUUGACCAUUUGAAUUUUUCACCACCACUAGAGGUCGUGGAAAAUUAGUGACUUUUAGAGUGGGAAAAAUCCACUUUUCCUCCGUAAACUUUGAAUUAGGAACACAUUUCAUCCCCAAACUUUUAGAAGCAGCACAUUUAAUACAUGAAUUAACAAAUUCUGACCACAUUUAGUCCAAAAAUAGUAAAUUGUUCAAUUUGGACGAAGAAGGCUAGCAUGUCUAGCACACGGCCAUUAAGUAAAAACAAUUUUUUAGUCAAAAUCAACGAUCAUGUGCCAAACAUGUGAUCUUUUUUAUCCAAAUUGAACAAUUUAUCGUUUUUGGACUAAAUGUGACCAGAAAUUAUUAAUUUAUAUACUAAAUAUGUUGUACCUAAAAGUUUGUAGAUGAAAUGUGUCUCUAGUCAAAGUUUAGGAAUGAAAAAUGGAUUUUUUCCCUUUUAGAGUGGAAGGCAAUGUGGCAAUAAUUCGUAACAUAAGGAUGUAAAAUGUCAAAGAUGACAAGUGUGAAUGUAGAGAAGGCCUUAAAGUGGAAAGUGAAAUUUGUCUAAAAUCUUGUAGUAAUUGACAAUUGUAACAUUUAUAUUCCCAUUUCUUUUACUUUAUUUUGCUCAACCUAGAUACUUUCCACCGGUGGUCUGGCUCCUGUGGAGGAGGAGAAUCUCCAAUACCCACAAAAACCCAAAUUUUGACCAAUCAAGACUAUCCAUCUCAGCUACAUUUACACUCAUAUCUCCACCUUAUCCACUCUCUACCACUAGUCUCCUUGCUCCAAAAUCUAAAAACCAUCCCUCUCCACACGCCUUCUUCUCAAUCUCCUAUACUCUCAUUCCUACCAUACUCUUCUUCUCUUGCAAAUCUUAUUUUCAUCCCACAAAAACUUAACAAAAAAUCCAGCAAAAUGUCUCUCACAAUUCCCACAAAUCUUUCUACAGCCAUUGCUACACCAAAGCUGAAUUCCCAGUUCAGCACAAAGCCCAGAGCUGCAACAAUUGUAUGCUCUGCUAAUUCUCCCAACCAAAGCACAUCAACCUCAGAGCAACCUUCACCACCAUCACUCAAGGCAUUUUCUGCAGCUCUUGCACUUUCUUCCAUUCUUUUAUCGGCCCCGGUGAUGCCCGCCUCGGCCGACAUCGCUGGCCUCACACCAUGCAAGGAGUCCAAGCAAUUUGCCAAGCGCGAGAAGCAAGAAAUCAAGAAACUUGAGUCAUCCCUGAAGCUUUAUGCCCCUGAUAGUGCUCCUGCUCUUGCUAUUAAGGCCACUAUCGAGAAGACCAAGCGCAGGUUAGUAUUGCCUGCAAUUUUUUUUCAUUUCUUUUCACCCGUGAGCAGACCUGCAGGAAGAGUUGAAAACUGUGUUCUGAAAUGUUGAUUGGGUUUGCAGGUUUGAUAAUUAUGGAAAGCAAGGGCUGUUGUGCGGAUCGGAUGGAUUGCCUCACUUGAUUGUGAGUGGAGACCAAAGACACUGGGGUGAAUUUAUCACCCCAGGGAUUUUGUUCCUGUACAUUGCUGGAUGGAUUGGGUGGGUAGGCAGGAGCUACUUGAUUGCCAUCAGGGAUGAAAAGAAACCAACAGAGAAGGAGAUCAUCAUUGAUGUCCCCUUGGCCUCGAGACUCGUGUGGAGAGGAUUCAUCUGGCCCGUCGCCGCCUACAGAGCGUUCGUGACUGGAGAUCUCAUUGACCCUACUGUCUAAAUCCAUUAUCAGGUUAUUAAUCUACCCUUUUCUUUUAACCAUUUUUACUAUAAAAGACAGAAAUUACUCAGCCCUUUGUGGAAAUUUGACUAGCGGUAUCAACAAGAAGUUUGAAAUCACAAUGUUUCAACCAUGAACAAGUUCACAGGAUCUUGAUGAUGUUGGUUGCUAAGCUUGCUACUAGAAAUGAGUUUCUUAGUUAUCAAUCCUUCUGUAAGAAUAACUAAGCUUACUACUAGAAAUGCAAUGCAAAAAAUGUCACUCAUUUUUGUGGUUAUGACUUUUAUCAAGUGCGUUAUUUGGCUGUUCUUGUAUAGUUUAGGCACAGACAUGGAACCCCAGCGACCGAAGAUGAAGUGAAAGGCUUGAAUUUUGGAUCUUGCUCGGGAAAAAAAAACAGAUGAUGGAAAAAUUCUUGUAUCUGGAAGUUGUAAACUCAAAUGUAUCUAUUCGUUUCUUUGGAGUGACACCAACCAAUAGAAGAUGCUUAAUUUUCUUUUGGGUGAUCAAUCAAUUCUGAGUAAUGCAUGUCCAGUAUUUCAUUUUUUUCACUUUUUUGUUUCAUUUUGUUUCCCUUUUAACUCCUUUUCCCUGAUUGUGAUGUGAUGAUGAAGACAUCAGAGACUAAUGGGGGGAAAUUUAUGUCGGAUUCUCAACUAAACUGAAGCAAUUAACCAACAGAUAUCUAGAAAUUGUACAUAGAAGAAGAACAUAUUCUAUAAUGCAAGAUAUACAUGCCAGUAAAAUGGAUCAGUAGUAUUCAUUGCUGUACAUAUAAGGCAUAUGGGAUUCACUGGGAUGAAUAUAAGCCAUCCCUUCAGCAACAUCAUCAGCAAAAUUUCCCAUCAAUUUAGACAGUGAACUGAAUCUUUAGACACUCGCAGCAGCACUAACCAGCAUAACUUUGAAUGUUUUCCUCCUCUAUAUGUGUGUUUGUCAUGUGUCAGAUGGUGGGAAAAAAAAUAAUGUCAGAAGAUACUAUCCACUUCUUCCUCUAAUAACUCCACUUCUGAAAUUAACUCAUCAGCCAAUUGAAAGCAAUCUGCUAUAGACAAGAUGCAACUAAAAACAUGUAUUUUUUUUAAAAAUAUAUAUUUCUAUUGCAAAUCUUCCUAUCCAAACAAACUCAUAUAUCUCUUCAAAAGAUAAAUGCAUUUAAUUACCGUUUGGAUUGGUCAUUUUUUCAAAAACAAGUUUUUCAAAUACAAUGCUACAGUAAUACACAAUAACUCAAAAAAACAUCUCAUCUAUAUAAUAUAUCAAAUAUUUCAAAAAAAAUUUAUAGUAAAAAUUUUUCAUAUACAUUGUUACAGUAAAAUUUUUCAAAAACACUUUAAAAAACAGAUAAUCCAAACGGAAACACCUUGACCUAGGUCUCUAAGGGCCAGUACAUCAAUCGCUAACAUGUCCGGCUCUAAUUUAUUUUGGUCCUUGCAACGCUCGUACAAGUUAAAGGUUGUUUGUGCAACUUUUUAGACUUAUUUGUGCAAGUUUAAGAUACUUUGUGCAAUGCUAGUGGUGGCAAAUAAUUGAUUGAAAAGUUAACCAGACACUACUAGAAAUUGUAUAAAAUUUGAAAAAUUAAUUGCUAUGUCAUUAUACUCAGGAAAAACAGGGCAACACAAAUUAAGGAAUCAUAAUAAAACUAACAGAAAAUCAUAUGUAUGAAUAUAUUCAUAAGAGAGAACAAAUGCUCUUGCAGAUUUUGGUCAAUCUUUACCAGAUAAACUCUUGCAGUUUAGGUAGGAUCAAGACUCAGCAUUGUUUAAACUAUCAUCUUCAAUAUCACAAAUAGGAAGGUCAUCCAAUUUGUUGAGUUCACUUUUAACCUAAUACCAUAAUGAUUGUCCACAAUUUGUUAACAAUACAAAUUUUUAGAAUCAACCAUUAUUCCUCCUGCAAAUUAAACUGGACAAACUGUCCCCUUUGGCAAAAUCAUUAUUGCCUUCAAAGUCCAGACUUUGCAAGAUGUUUUAGAUUUCAUUGCAAAAUAGACCUCUUAAUUAAAAAAAAAAAAAUUCUUCCUUGAUCCCAUCAUCCAAAUCAAGGGAUAAACAUUUUGGGUUUCUCUCAAAGUUUAUCAGCAGAUGACAAAUUAGCCAAGAAAACUGCCUAAUAAAUACCUAAAAUAUGAAAAAUGGGUGCUAACAUGGUAGCAAAUGAACGGCCAAAAUUUCACUAGGAAAGUCCUUCAAUUUUGUUUUCUUUCAUCCAAAAUUCUCUGCCUUACGUUUCUUGUCACAAAAGUUGCACAUACUCACAACCACAUAUAACAAGAAAAAGUUAGUAAGUAAGGUUGCUCAUUUACCAAAAAAGAAUAAAUAAAUAAGGUUGCUUGGCAAAUUAUCCUUCCUCCUCAUCAAUUUUCUUCCAAUACCACUUUCACUAGCCCUUCGUUAUCUUAAAAAAUACAUAGACAAUGCCUAAUCUUUAAACGUGAGAUGUAUAUUGUUGAAUUUGCAAAUAAAAAUUUAGUCUAGUGAUGUGCAUAAGUAUGCUUGUCCUUUUCGAUCCUUUUCUUUAGAAACAAAAUAAGUAUUUUAGACAAAGUCUACGGCAAUUUCUUUUUCUUUCUUUUUUUAAGCCAUAAAGAGUAGAGAUUCAAGAAAUGAGAAAGAAAAAAAAAACCUAUAAUAAGUUUAACAACAAAAAAAAAAAGGAAAGUAACAAAAACAUACGCCAUCAUUUAAUUAAAUUAUGAUCUGUUUUCCCUCCACCAUCACCCCCUUCUUGCACACCACCUUUUCCUCCUCCUCCUACCCUUUUCGCCAGUGCCCCUCUACCAUGCUUCACCCCUUUUUCCUCCUACAUUUCCCUUUUAAGUUCUAUCUUCCCACCUUGCAAUACGCCUCCCACCUCCUCUCCCCCUUCUUAAUGGAUGUAAGGGGAUCGAGUGAGAAGUGGGGAGAAAGAGUAGGAAAGAAGUGGGCGGAAUGCCAGGGAAAGGCAUUCAAUUUAUUUAGAUUGAAGAUUUUGUGCAUAAAAAAAUCAUUUACAAUAAUGCUUUUGUAAUAUAUUGUAUCUGAAGAAAAACAAUUUAAAAUAAUAAAAUGGUGAUGUAAUAAUAAUUUAGAAAAUCUCCAAAAAAAAAUUUCCGAAAAGGUUUUUGUCCAGACAUUAUUGUAUUAUGCUAUAGAAUGAACUGUAGAAUUCAUAAUGUACUUAAUUUUUGAAUUUUUAAAGUGAAAUCUCAACAAUGUAUGUAUUUUUUUUAUUACUAACUCCACAUGCUAAGAUUUAGUAAUUUUAUUUUGAAAGAUAAAUUAAAAGAUUUGUAAGUGUACUUAUUAAUGCAUUUAAAUUAUAUAUAACUUAUCAUGUUAUUACAUGUAUUCAAAUCUACCAUACUUUUUUUAUAAGAGAAUUAAUAAUAGUUCCCUAUUUAUUUCCUUUGAUUACUCGAACUGAUGUAAAAUGUUUUACCAAUUGGGUUACGUUUUCUUGUCAAUUAAUAAAAACAAAAAAAAAUUAUUGCACCCUUACAUCUGUGUUUGGAUUGUAAUUUUUCAAAAAAAAAUAUUAUAUUUUGCGUAGAUACAUUUUUUAAUUAUUUUUUUAUUUCACGUAUUUUAAAUUAUUAUAAUAAAUUUUUUAAUAAAAAAUUCAAAAAAAUGCAAUUCAUACAAACCAAUCACCAAUGCCUCCUUGGCCAAAUCCAACACAGUCAACUUUACGAUGUCAAAUCAGAUGAAUUAUUACUACUAUAGUUAGUAUUUUAAGUCCUAAUUUUAACAUCUAAAAAAAAUAGGUCCUAAUUUUAAAAUACUCCAAAUUACAACAGUCAAAUCAAAUCUUGUCCCAUUCAAAAUCUGCUAUCGUCAUGUCACUUCACUUCCAGUGAAUUAACAUCAAGGCCACAAGGAAUUCCCGCCAAUGCCCAUGGAUUAACAUCGGAUUUCAAACCCAAUAUCUAGCCAAAAUGCAUGUUUCACGCAGAAUCCGCAAGGCAUCAUACACAAAAUGCCGCCUUGUUUGGAUCAUGGGUCUUGGCGGAAAAAUUGUUACGUGUUUUUGUAAAUAAAAUUUUAAGUAUUUUUUAAUUUAUGUAUAUUAAAUUAUUAUAAUAUAUAUUUUUAAUAAAAUUUCUAAAAGUAUCAAUUCGAAGAAUAGGCUUAUUGUUUUUUAAGGAAAUUUAUUUUACGUUUUUUGUGAGUAUAUUCUUGUUUGAAUUGUACUUUUUCUUAUAAAAAAUUUCUAUAUUUUUCAUAAACAUAUUUUUUAAUCACUUUUUUACAUUGUAUAGAUCAAAUUAUUAUAAUACAUUUUCUAUAAAAAUUUUUAAAACUAACAAUUCAAAUAGGCUUGUAAUUUAGAUUAUUAUUUUAAUUAUUUUAAAAUUGUUUAUAAAUAUAUUUUAAAAUCACUUUUUUAAUUGAUGCAGUCCUUUUGAUAAAAACUCCAAAAGAUAGAUACAAAAAAUAUAUUAAUAUACAUAUUUAUAUAUAAAUAUUAUAUACAAAAAAAUAUAUUUUGUUUAAUAAAUAUAUAAAUGAAUACAUAAAUAUUAAUUCAAAAAUUAAUAUACAAAAAUAUUUAUAUAUAAAUAUUAUAUAUAAAAAAUUUAUUUUGUUUAAUAAAUAUAUAUUUAUAUAUAAAUAUUAAUACAAAAUAUAAAUAUAUAUAAUUAAAUAUAUUUAUUUUUAUUUAUGUAAUUAUAUAAUUAUAUUUAAUUAUAUAUAUUUAUAUAAAUAAUAUAUUUAUAUAUAUUUAUAAAUAUAUUUAUUUCAAUUUUUUUUAUUAUAUGUAAAUUAAUAUAUAUAUUAUGUAUAUUUUGAUAUUUAUAUUUCAAUUAUGAAUAUAAGAUAUAUAUAAAUUAUAGUAAUAUUAAUAUAUUUCAAUUAUGUAUAUUAAUAUGUAUAAUAUAUAUAUUAUAUCAAUUGAAAUAAAUAUUAUACUUUUAUAUAUUAAUAUAAAUAUUUUGUUUUAAAAUAUAUUUAUAUAUAUAUUUAUUUAAAUAUAAAUAUAUAUCUAUAUAUAUUUAUAUAACUAUAUAAAUAUAUUUAUUUAUAUAUUUAUAUAAAUGUGUAAAUAUAUUUAUUUCAACUUUGUUUUAUAAUAUGUAUAUUAAUAUAUAUUAAUAUGUAUAUUUCAAUUUGUAUAUUUCAAUUAUGUAUAUUUUAUUACAUAUAUAAAUUAUAUUAAUAUUAAUAUGUAAUUUAAAUUAUGCAUAUUAAUAUGUAUAUUAUAUAUAUUAUAUCAAUUGAAAUAAAUAUAUGUAUUUAUAUAUAAAUAUUAAUAUUUGUUUAAAAUAUAUUUAUAUAUAUAUAAAUAUAUACAUAUCAAUUUUAUUUUAUAAUAUGUAUAUUAAUAUAUAUUAAUAUAUAUUUGUAUAUGUAUAUUAAAUAUAUAAUAAUAUACAUAUUAAAAAACAAAAUUGAAAUAAAAAUAUUAUAUAUAUAAAUAAAUAAACAUUAAUAUAUAGAAACAGACCCAGUAUAUAUUUAAAAAGAAUCUCAACAAAAUUUUAAAUUAUAAAAAUAUUUAAAAAUAUCUCUAAAAAUAAUCUAAAAAUAUCUACAAUAAAAGUUAUUCAUAUACAAAGUUACAGUAAAAUAUUUGAAAAACUCCCUCCAAAAACAGCUAAUCCAAACGGGAGCCCGAUUCGACCAUUUUGUCUCUUCUUCCCCCAUGCAUGAAGUUUCCUGACGGCUAAGUCUACACGGAGGCAUAUGCACCGCCAAAAACCUCCCCAAAAUCCUAGUACUAUGCUAAUCCUCGUACGAUCUUUUUGUCUUCUACCUUUACCUUCUUCCUAGGCUGAUUUCCCUAGGACCCUUUACUAUAAAUCGUCCUUCCAGCUUGAUUUCAACUAUCAUGACAGAGAUAAUCAGUUUCUUGAUUUCGUGUUGGCAAAAAGGUUAGAUUUUCGUGUUGGUUGUUGCAUUUCUGGGAUAAUCGAGAAUUUUUCAAGGAGCUUGGCUGUGAAUUCGAGGAUGGAUUCGGAGAGGGAGCUUCAACACAAGCUGAUUAAUGCUGGGGUGAAGCUUCUGGUGCCAAUCUCUUCUACCGAUGAUCUCCUUGCCUCCCUCGAUGUAAAGAUCACUUUUUCAUGAGGCAUCUGGAAGAUUUAGAGAUUGGCUUGGCUUAUUUCCUUUUUUUUUUUGGGCUAUGUUGCAUGCAUGCGCAAAAUCAAAUAUAAAAGUUUUGGUUUUUGUCUCUUGAGUGCUUUUGUUGAUUUAGUCCUUGUUGAUUGAGAUUAUUAAAUCCUGUUUUGUUUGUAUCUUGGUGAUUUUGCUGCUUAAUAAUGUAAACUUUUGUUGGGUUUGCUUCUGUAAAGUUCAAAAUUAAUUGCACAUAGUAACAAUAAUUGAUAGAAAUAGGCUUGCACCAAGCACGCACGAGGCACAGAGUGUUUGAUCCUGUAGGUUCAAUGUUUAUUUGAUAGGUUACUUCUCCCUAAGAAAUGUUGUUAAUCGAGGCUUUCGUUUUCUCUGAUAAACGUUCUCUUUUCACGAUUCAAAACUGCUGGCUUACUUCUGCGUAUUAUUUUAUAUUCGAGAACUCUUUUCUGUCUGAUGUAAAUUAAUUAUUAUCUUCUUUUUCGUCCUGUUGUUUAGAAACUAGAGGGCCUUUUAUCGGUCCUAGGUCAAGAUCCUUUCAGUUCGAUACGAGAUGCACUGUUGCCUUCGAUGAAGGCUCUGAUCUCUGAUAGGCUGUUUAGACAUCCUACUACGGAGGUCAGGAUUUCGGUUAUGUCUUGCAUCUCUGAGGUGUUAAGAAUCACAGCUCCACAUCAACCUUACGAGGAUGAAAAAAUGAAAGUAAGCUGAAGAACCUAUGGUGGUAUUUAUUCUUGGUUUAGUUGCAUCUGCGCUUUGUAUUCUACACUUAUUUAGAACUCAGUUGUCAGCCUUUGCAUUUUGAUGGCGUGCAGGAAGUUUUUCAGCUAACUUUAGCUGCAUUUGAGAAGUUGUCUCUUUUAUCUGGUCGCUGUUAUUCUAAAGCUUUGCACAUUCUUGAAAUUGCUGCAACGUUCAGAUGCUGUGUUAUCUUGCUGGACCUAGGCUGCAAUGCAUUUGUCACUGAAAUCUUCGAACUCUUUCUAAGUACCAUUAAGUAAGUCUAAAAUCUUAUAUUUUAUUGACAAAAUCUUCUAAUUGACUGUUUGUCCUCUUUGGAUCAUUUAGUAAUUGCUAUCGUUCAGCUUUUUCAAAGUAACUCUAGUACUGGUAGUUACAAUACUCUUUAAUUUGAAGUUACUAGAUGUGUUACAUUACCUUCAACCUUCUUUCCUGAAUAUAUGAUCUGAUUUUCGCUUCAUGAAUUCCUCAGUGGCGGCAAAGGUUAAAAAAUUGAUGAGCUCAUGGGAAAACCUUUUUGAUGUGUUGUUGAGUGAUUAAAUCAUGGUCUCUAAUUCGAACAAUCAAAUUAUGAGUGUUCAUUUGUUUGUCUUCCACCUGUGUUGUACCUAUCAACAUAUUAAACUAUCAUGUGCUGAUAGAUACUCUUAUGUUUGAAUGUUAAAUACAAGGUUCAACCACCCGCAUGCUGUAUUCUCCAACAUGGCAGAAAUUAUGACUUGUCUUAUAGAUGCAAGUGAUGAAAUUUUAUUAGAUCUUCUAAAGCCUCUUCUGAAUAGUGUGAAAAAGGAAAAUCAGGUACUCUUCCUUGUAUAGAUCUCUGCGUCAUUUGUUCUCCAUUUUUUUUAAAAAAAUAAUCUGUACUCAACCACCUUUGUUGUUUGCCUCAGAUUACUUCACCAGCUUCCUCUUGGCUAGGAGAGAAAGUACUAAAGAACUGCUCAACUAAAGUCAAACCUUAUCUCAUGAAUGCAUUGAAGUCAAUGAGUCUAGAUAUUAAUGAUUAUGCCGAUAUAGUUGCUUUGUUAUGCCGAGAUAUGCCAGCUGGGGCCAAUGUGGUGCGACAUUUUUCUUUCGUUCAACUGGACCUUUUUUUUUUUUUGGCAAAAGGCAGAUAGGUUUAUGAUUUUAUACUGUCUCCAAAAUUUCAUACUUCUCUUGUAAUUUAUCUUGCUCCUUGUAUUUGUGAAUGAUGGAAAUAUGUUUGGACUUCCUUAAAGUUGUUGUUUCCCCCCACUGUCUAAUACGUGAGAUGUUAAGAAAUAGUCUAUAACUCUAUAUUCAUCUUCCUGUAACUCAUAGAAAAACCAGAAAUUGUUCAGGAAGAGAAUCAACAUCAGAAAAUGAUUGUUGCUAUAGAUUUUCAUUUAAAAUUAAGCUGUGCUUGAGAUGUCAGACUGAUUCUGUUGCUUCCAAUGCAUCAUAGGAUCGUUAGUUUUCAUAGUUGAAGUUCUGUAAAUCGAAUUAAUGAGUCUAAUUUUUCCUAAAGAUUAGGAAAAUGCUCUUUUAAGCAAAAUUAGUAGAUCAGGCAGCUGAAAUGGUUGAUAUUCUCCUGUUGGAAUUGCUCAGUCUAGUAAGACUAUUUAGAAUCUGGUUUUGUUCUUUGUUGCUUCUUCACUAUUCUUUCUGCUAUUUAAAUGUUUGUGUUGAAAUGAAGAGACUGGCUUUAAUUUGUCAAUCUUAAUUUAAUCAGGUGAUGGAGGAGUCAGGAAUGACUGCUGCUGACCUUGUGCAAGAUGAAGCUCAGCUUUGCAAGUCACUGCUAGAUGAUUGCACAGCUCAGGAGGCAUACAGUGAUGAUAAUGGAUCAAAUGAUAGGAAUUCUUCAAAGCUAUUGCAGAGCCAUGAACAAGUUGUUCAGCUGAAGAGCAUAGCUAAAAGAUCUGUUGCCCCUGGAGCUUUAGACGGUGGAGGAGAAAUGCAAGCAAGAGCAAGAGUACGAGUCAUGCCAAAUAGAAGGGGAAGAAAACCCAAUUCUCUGAUAAAACCGGAGGAAGGUUAUGAAUAUUCUGGGAUAACUGGACACCGAGAUUCUCACAGAAUACCUUGUAAGAAAAAGAAUCUUGGGAAAGUUAGCAGCUUACCGAGUAAUUCAUCUGCAACGGAGUCUGUUUUGCAGCCUGAAGCAGAAAAGGAUGACAAGCCAAGUUCUUUUCCGCCAAGAACGUUACAUUUUGACAGCAGAUGUGCUCCCAUUUCCCUAGAUCCAACUGAAGGAGGUAAAAGUCUUCAGAGAAAGAGUAGGCCAAGGAAGAAAGAGAGCAUGUUUAGUCAUGAUGUUAACAUUGCCAUGUUUGACAAGGAAGGUGUUUUACUGGAAGAUCAACUUAAGAAGAAAAGCUUGCCAGGUUCUGAUGGUUGCUUAAGAACAGGAUCAGACAAAACAGAAAAUGCUGACAAAAAACCUGGGAGAUAUUCAAGGAGGAAGAAAUCUGCUGUCUGUAACAACAUAGAGACAACCUUUGGCAUGAAGAAUGUAUUUGUAACAAAGGAAAAAGACAUGCAGAGUGAUUUGGAUGGAAAACCACUGCUUUUGUUUAGAAGGAAGGAUGGACAAAAAGGAAUGAAAGACAAAGAAAUUGAAAAAUCUGAGGUAUUAUGUUUGUUUAGUGAUGUUUGAUUUGAAUUUUGCGAUAGAGAAAAGUGGACAUAGUUUUGCAGCGACCAAAUAGGAAAUUAGGAUGUUUAAUUUGAUAUGGAGGGAGUUAUUUUUCAUGUAAAGGUGAAGCAAUUCUGUUUUCACAGUAGAAACCACCUCUGGUGUGAAAAGAGUACUUGUAAAGAAGGAAAAAGAUAUCCAGAGCGAUCAGAAGGAAAACCACUGGUUUUAUUAAGAAUGAAGGAUGGACAAAAAGGAAUGGAAUGCAAAGAAGCUGAAAAUUUUGAAAUAUCAUGUUUGUUCAUUAAUAAGUCAAUUAAUGUCUGAGGUAUUAUGUUUCUUUAUUGAUGUUUCUGUGCUUUUACCUACAAUUAAAACUGUCAAAUUAAGCAAAGUGGACAAGUUCUCCGCCCGCCACCCAUAUAGGAAAUGAGGAUGUUCAAUUUGAUAUGAGGUAGUACAAAAUCUUAUUUUUCAUGUAAAAGGUGAACCAAUUCUUGUAACUUCUGUCUAAAACUUUCUACUACAGAAAGUAGAUAAUUAGAAUCUUGCUUAGCAUAUGCUGAGAGCUUGAGCAAGCACCCCGGUCUCUCGAUAUGUUUGUAAGCAAUGACUGGCUAAAUUUCGUGCCUGUCUGAUAUGCCUUGUUUAGAUGCUUUGUGUUUGUUCCAUAUAUUCUGACAUGAUUUUCAUAUCUGAUUUCUAAUGUGCGAAGACAUCUUUUUGUAUUCAGGGUUGCAGGAAGCCUAGAAUUGUGAAAGAGUAUGGUGAAGAAUUAAUUGGUUCAAGGAUAAGGGUCUGGUGGCCCAUUGACCGGCAGUAAGUGACUCAAAUUGUUAAAUGAUCAAAAUUAAUGACAAUAUGUUGAUCCUUUUUGCUAUUUUUGUAAGUUUGAAUCUCUGAAUGUUGCUAUCAUCUUGACUUUGGUCCAGGUGGUUCUGCUUCUUUGAAACAGUUUACAAGUAAUAGGACAAUCUUCUGGGUGGCUUUGUUGAUAUGGGUGUUAAAUAGCUGAAGCUAUUGCCAUCUAAUUCCCCCAAGCUGUCCCCCAUUCCCCCAACUUUCUGCUUGAUUUUGGUGUGUCCUUCCACCUAAAAUGCAUGAACUACAACCCUUUUUUUUUUGUCUCAGUUUAAAUUCCAUCAGCUUUUCUUUUUCUAUGAUAUAACACCACUUAUUAGCUCCUACCUUACCCCUUAAAUGUCAGUAGUGGAAACUUCCUUAGCUGAUAAGUACAAAUUCUUUUAAAGGAGAUUUUGGCUUCAAAAGCCAAUUUUAUGAAGUUGGUUCAACCAAGGCUGGAGACUAUUUCACCACUAUUGCCUCCAACCAAAUAAUUCUAUGAUUUUUCAAAAACCAUGCAUGAUCUCAGCCUGAAAAACUGGGAAUCUUGUUCACUUAAGUGUCUUCUUUUCUCCGUUCCAGCAUACCUUUCUUUGACUGAGCGUAUCUGUGAAUUUUUCCUCUCCCCACUUCUGGGCAUUGCUGCCCCUGUCCUUUCCCUCUUUUACUAAAGGAAUUUCAUAGUGCAUGAUGAUUUAGUGCCCUUAAAACUUAUAUUUAUGCUAGAUGAACCCAAUAUUUCAUUCUAAAGUUAUUCUUUUCUGAUUUUCAGUUUUGCUAUGGAAAACCAUGGCCUGCUAUGUGUUGAUUUUUUUUAAUGUUAAUGUAGUAGUUUGAUAUAUUUUUUGUGCUAAUAUUUCAUUUUUCUGUGGUUGGAAAUAUUUCUGCUCAGUUGGGUGUCAAUGGUGCUUUUUGGAUCAAUCUUUGACUGGUAAUGUAAUGUAUUUGAGCAUGUUAAAUAUGUACAUAUGUGCAUCUGCGUGUGCAUGUGUGUGGUAACUUGUUUGAAUCAACUUGGAUUCCAGAGUUGAUUAUUUCCAGUUGUAAGAAACUGAUGAUAUUAAUGCGGGCUGUUGGAAAAGAAAACCUUCCUAUUAUUAUGUUUGAACAGAACUGAAAACACAUGCUUAGAACUGGGGAAGUAAACAGUACUUUAAUUGCAUGACCAGAUAAAAAAUUAACAUGGGAUGCACAUCGAGGAGAAAAAUUGAUGUCAAUGGCCAUCAGAUUCCUCAAGAGAGAUGAAGUAAUGAAUCUAUGAAUCUAAGUGUCUGUUAUUAAAUCUAAGCAUGACAGGAUGAGGGCAGUAGUGAAGCUUUGCUGUUCAACAAUGUACUUGAAUACCAUUAAAGCACGAAAGCUGAACUUGAUUGAAGGCGACUAAUAUUGUGGAAGUUGGUAGAUUUCAAUUGCGUCGGAAAUAGCUUUGUUGAGUUGACUCAGCAAAAAGGUAAAGAAAUUGGGACGUCCUCAAGAGCUUUCUAGCUAUGGUUGUGAGUGAAACUUGGACCUCAAUGACAUGUAAUUUUUCCUCUUGGGAUAAGUAAUUUCCUUUUCAUAUGUAUGUUUGACUUCGAUAGUUGAUAUAUUGAUUAAGUACAUAAUUGUUAACUGUAUUAUGUGCAUGAACAUCGUAGUGGCUAGACACCUGGUGCAGAAUUUGCCAAAUAACAAAAUCAACUAAUUUUUGUGUUUAUUUUGGGUGGCAUUGUUUGAGUAGUCACUCUCUUCAUUAAUAAGUACAAAAUUGAAAUCACUACAGCUGAAAAUGAGAUAAUCUGUCGACCUUAAUGUUUGAAAUCGACCAAACUUGAGCCAUAUGUGUCAGGGAACAAGCAGAAUAUUAUGUUCUAUCUUAUUAAUUUUUUUUUUUUGCGCAGGUUUUACGAAGGCGCUAUUGAUUCUUUUGAUCCCUUGAGGAAGAAACAUAAGGUGAAAAUAUUGACAAUGACAGCCUAAACCUUUACGUUUGCUAUUAUUUAACUCUUUCAAAUUCAUCCUUGGUUUGCUUCAUCCUUUAUUAUACCUCCAUUUUCUUGCUUUUAGGCUCUGUUUUUUAUCCUUACCUCAACAUGAGAUAAGAAUACUUUGUAAACCUUCACCCUAUUCUUUUGGAUUAAAACAUUUUGCUGGUGCAUUUGUGACAUAUUAAUUCAUCUUAACUGCAUGAAUAAGCAGUCAUCUUAGUUUCUAUACUGUAAUUUUACAUGCUCAGGACCACAGUUUUCUCUCACUGGUUUGAAAUUUUGUGGUGAUCGAGAAUGUGCUGAUGUUAAAUGGUUAAGUUUGUUUUACGAGUGAUCACAUGCUUACUGUCCUUGUUUCAGGUUUUUUAUGUUGAUGGUGAUGAGGAGAAUUUGAAUCUAAAAAGGGAACGUUGGAUUUUGCUUGGCGGCAGUUCUUGUCAUCAAGUUAGUCACUGAUUUUCUAUCUGUCACCUUUCAAUUUUUUUUUUUUUUGGGCUGCUGCUCUCAAGUACUGUUUGAGACAGAUGAGUUUAUUCUUUUAGAUCCUCAAAACGUGUUUCUGUUGAAAACUUGUCUUUACUUUGUUAUUACCAAGUUUUUUCAAGUCGUCAGUCAAGCUUUUCUUGGUGUUGUUCUUCACUUCCCUUAUAUCAGAAUAUGCAUAACUAGUUUAAUUCUCAUGUUCACCUUACCGAAAAUUCAGUUUUCUUUUGUGGAUUUUAGAUGUCAUGACAUUCCCUCUGAACAUCUGUACAGUAUGCUUUGCUGGCUUGCUUGUUAUCCAUGGAUGAUGAUUGUUUUUUUGAUCAAUUUAGUCACUUAACUGGUUAGGGAUUUUUAAGAUUCCCUUUUUUUUUCCAAUUUCAAGAGUCAAUACAGUUGGAAGGGAAAAAAAAAAGAAAAGGAAAAAUACAAAAUAAUUAAAAUGAAAAAGAGAGAAGCUGUCGUAAUAGAUACAAUCUGAAUAUUGACCUUGAAAACAGAUUAAAUCCUUUGAAGUAUCUUUUUCUAGGAUAGAAGGUUUAUCUAUCAGUAUGUGUCUUGGUCAUCACUUCUGGUAUAGGAUGUUUUUCUAUGAUGGAAGUUUUAUCUAAUUCUUUAUAUCUUGGCCAUUACUUCUGGUAUAGGAUGUAUGUGCAAGUGACUCUCACAUUUAACUUCUAGAACGUUACUCCACUGAAACAAUAAUGUCUUUUCUCCAGUCAACUUUUGGUGUUCUUUAAGUUGGAGGGGCAGGCAUUGGAAGCAUGAACACUUAAUCGAAAUUUCAACCAAAAGCUUCUUCUUUUUAGAUGUGCUUAUAUUUCUUUUCUUACUGAGGCUUAUAUUCACUUUGGCUGAUUUAGCAGAUGAAAACGAACACAAAGAAUAUGUACAAAGAUAAAACAGCAAGAUCUUUCUGUUUUUUCAACAUCAAAAUAUAAUUGUUAUUAAUAGUUUUUCCUUCAAAAUUAAGCUAUAUAUUCCAGACAUGAGACUGUAUCUGUUGUCUCUGAUUCAUCAGAGGGUUGUUUGAUUCCAUGUCUGGAGUUCUGUAUAAGAAUUGACGAGUUGAACUUUUUCUGAAGACAAGAUAAUUUGUUUUUUGUUAAGCAAAAUUAGCAGAUCAGGCAUGUCAAAUGGUUGGCAUUCUCCUGUUUGACUUGCUAAUGUCUUUGGUCAGUCUAGUUUAGAUCGUAUAGAAUCCCAUUGUAUAUUUUGCUGCUUUGUCACUAAUCUUUCUUCUGUUUGAAUAUUUACAUUAAAAUGUAGGGAUUGGCCGUAGUUUAUGUAUCUUGAAUUAAUCCUUGAAUUAAUCAGGUGAUGGUGGAGGGGGAAACAACUGCCUCUCAUCUUGUGGAAACUGAAGCUCAGCUUUGCAAGUCACUUAUAGAUGAUUGCAAAGCUGAGGAGGCAGACACUAAUGACCAUGGAUUAGAUGAUAGGAGUUCAUCGAAGAUAUUGCAGUUUGAUGAAAAAAUUGAGCAGCUGAAGAGCAUGGCUGAAAUAUCUUUCGCCUCUGGAGCUUUAGAAAGUGGAGGGGAAAUGCAACCAAGAGCAAGAGUAGGAGUUACGCCAAAUAGAAGGAAAAGAAAACCCAAUUCUCUUAUAAAACCAGUUGAAGUUUAUACUGAGGUAUUAUGUUUCCUUAUUGAUGUGUCGGUGCAUUUCUACCUGUAAUUAAAUUUUCAGAGUAAGCAAAGUGGACAUAGUUUUGUCACCACGCAAAUAAGAAUUUAGGAUGUUCAAUUUGAUACGAGGGAGUACAAAUCUUAUUUUUCGUGUAAAAGGUGAAUCAAUUCUUGUAGCUUCAGUCUAAAGAUUUCUACUAUAGAAAAUAGAUCAAUGGAAUCUUAGUUGGCAUCUGCUGAGAACUUGAGGAAGCACCCUGUUCUCUUCACAUGCUUGUUAGCAAUGAUCAACUAAAUUUCUUGCCUGUCUGAUAUGCCUCGUUUUGAAGCUUUGUGUUUGUUGCAAUAUCCUGACGUGAUUUUCAUAUCUGCUUUCUAACGUCCAAAUAUAUCAUUUUAUACUACUUCAGGGUUGCAAGAAGCCUAGAAUUGUCAAAGAAUAUGGUGAAGAGUUAGUCGGUUCAAGGAUAAAGGUCUGGUGGUCCAUGGACAGUGAGUAAGUGACUUAAAUUGUUGAUAAUGCUCGAGAGACAAUAUAUUGAUCCUCUGUACUUUUUUUGUAAGUUGAAUCUCUGAAUGUUGCUAUUAUCUUGACUUUGGUCCAGGUGGUUCUGUUUCUUUAAAACAGUUAAAGAGUGCUAGGAGAGUCAUCUGGGUAGCAUUGUUGUAUGGGUGUUGGAUAUCUGUAACUAUACUCAUCUUAUUUCCCCACCUCCCCCCCCGCCUUCUUUCUGCUUGAUUUUGACAUGUCGUUCCACCUAAACUACAUCAACUACAAUCCUCCCCACUCUGUCUCAGUUUAAACUCCCAUCUUUUUAUUUUUUUUGUUUUCUAUAAUAUGGUACGAUUUAUAAUCUCCUGCCUUACCAAUUAAACACCAUCAGUGGAAGCUUCCUUAACUGAGAAGUAGAACUUGUCUUAAAGGAUGUUUUGGCCAAAAAGCCAAUUUUGUGAAGUUGGUUUGGCCAAGUUAGGAGACUGUUUCACCACUAUUGCCUCCAAUCCAGCAAGACUAUGGUUUUUCAAAACCCAUGCAUAAUCUCAACUGGUAAAACUAGAAUCUUGUUGGCUUAUUGACUUCUUUUCUGUAGUUCUAGCAAACCUUUAAUUGACCGACAUCUGUGAAUCUUUUCCUAUCCCAAAUUCUGGGCAUUUGCUGCCCCUAUCCAUUUUCCUUUUACUAAAGAAUUUCAUAGUACAUGAUGAUUUAGUCCCUCAAAACUCAGGUAUUUGUUGCUACAUAAAGUUGCUGUUUUCAUCCUGAAGUCAUCCUUUUCUGAUUUUCAAUUUUGUGAUUGAAGGUUGUGGCCUGUGUUAACUGUUAGAUUUAUUUAUUUAUUUUGUUUGUAGUUUUAGUGGUUAGGAAUAUUUCUGGCCAGUUGGGUGUCAAUGGUGAUUUCUGCUUUAAUCUUUCAUUGAUAAUGUAAUGUAUGUGAGCAUGUUAUAUAUGAACAUAUGUGUCUCUGUGCAGUGUGUAUGUGGGUGGUAAUUUAUUUGUUUGAAUCAACUCAGCAGCUGUAAUUGAUUAUUUCCAUUUGUAGGAAGCUCAUGAUAUGAUGCAGGCCAUUGUAAAAGAAAAUUUUCCUAUUGUUAUCUUGAAACAGAAUAGGGAAAAAGAUGAGAUAUCAUGAACAGAUAGUGAAAAUUCUCCCGGAGGGAUGAAAAAAAAAAAGCUUAGAACUGGGGUAGUAAACAGUACGCUAACUGCUAUUACCAGAUAAAAGACUAACAGGGAUGCAUGUCGAGGAGGCAUAGUGAUGUUGAUGGACGUCAGAUUCCUCAAGAGGUGAAGUAAUGAAUCUAAGUGUUUCUUAUAACAUUAAUAAAUCUCCAAUGCUACUUGGGAUUACUUUUGACUUUGGUAGUUGAUAUAUUGAUUAGAUACAUAAGCAUAGAUACACUAUGUGCAUGAACAUCCUACUGGAAAGACACCUGGUGCAGAAUUUCCCAACAUGACAUCCUAGUUUUCAUGUUUACUUUGGAGGGCAUUGUUCGAGGAAUGCUCCUCCAUUUCAUUGAUAAAUGCAAAGUUGAAAUUUCUGCAAUUGAAUAUGGGAUAAUUUGUCAAACUUAAUAUUUAUGUCAGAGAACAGGCAGAAAGUUGUGUUCUAUCUUAUCCAGUUCCUUUUGUGCAGGUUUUAUGAAGGUGUUAUUGAUGCUUUUGAUCCUUUGACGAAGAAACAUAAGGUGAUAAUAUUCACAUUCAUAGCCUAAACCUUUACUUUUGCUAUCAUUUACUCUUCUAAAAUCCAUCCUUGGUUUUGCUUCAUCCUUUAUUAUGCCUCCAUUUUUUGCUUUUAGUCUCUGAUCUCUGUCCUUUCCUCAUAAUGAGAUAAGAACACUUUGUAAACCCUCCUCAUAUUCUUUAAGAAUAAAACAUUUUUUUGGAAGAUCCAUUUGCUGGUGUAUUUGUUACAUAUUGAUCCAUCUUAGCUACUUUAAUCAGCGGUUGUCUAAGUUUUUUUUAUUGUAUUGUUACAAGCUUAGGAGCACAGUUUUCUCUCACUCGUUUGACAUUUUUUGGUGAUUGAGAAUGUGCUGAUGUUGAAUGGAAGUAAGUUUUUUUUAUGAGUCAUCACAUGCUUCUUGUCUUUGUGUCAGGUUUUAUAUGUUGAUGGGAACGAGGAGAAUUUGAAUCUGGAAAAAGAAAGUUGGUUUUUGGUUGGCAACACUUCUUGUCAUCAAGUUAGUUGCCUGAUUUCCUACUUUUUCUUCAUUAUGCUAUUUGUGGUGUUUCUGUUAUCGCCUCCCCCCCCCCCCCCCCCACCCAAAAAAAAAAAAAAUUCUCUCCCUCUCAUAUAUUGAUGAGAUCUCUGUGAUGUGAUAUUGAUAGAAUAAACAAUCAAACCUUUCAAUUUCUGCUGCUGUGGCUUUGAAGUACUGUUUGAGACAGCUGUCAUUAUCCUUUAUUAAGGAUUUUCAAGUUGUCAUUAAGCUUUUCUUGAUGUUGUACUUGCCUUCCCCAUAUCCGAAUUUGUAUAGGUAGUUAAUUCUCAUGUUCACCACACUAAGAGUUAAGUUCCCUUUUGCAGAUUUAUGUUGCCAUGACAUGCUCCCAGAACUUCUGUACAGUAUUCUUUUGCUGGCUUGCUUGUUAUCUACAGAAGAUUAUUUUCUUGUUUGAUCAUUUUAAUCACUUAGCUGGUUAGGGUUUUCAAACAUUCAUUUGUUUCAAAUCCAAGGAUCAAUCCAGUUGUCAAAAAAAAGAUAAAAUUAUUGAAACGAAAGGAGAGAAACUAUUGUAAUAGAUAGAAUCCUAAUAUUGACCUUGAAAACAAACUCAAAUCCUUUAACAUAUCUGUUUAGAGAAGUUUUUUCUUUAUUUGUAUGUCUUAGCCAUAAUUUCCUGUAUAGGAUGUUUUGUCUAAAAUAGAUGUUUCAUCAAUGCUUUAUCUCUUGGCCAUUACUUUUGGCAUAGGAUGUAUGUGGACUGCACUUUCAAAUUUAACUUUUAGAACAUUCCUCCACUUGAACAAUAAUCAUGGGCAUUUCCUCCAGUCAACUUUUGAUAUCUUUAAACAAGAGGAGCAGGUAUUGGGAGCAUUAACACUUGAUCCAAAUUAGAAUUAGAGGUUUUUUUCCCCCGCUUUUUAGUGCUUAGAUUUCUUUUCUUACUGAGGCUUAUGUUUGCCGUUGCUGGUUUUGCAGAAGAAGAAAGCAAGCACGGAGAACAUUUAUAAGAGAAAACAAGAAGAUGAUUCUGUUUCUUCAGAGAAAAGGUUUGUCGUUUGAUAACGUUGUCUUUUCUUCAGAGUUUGAGUUUUUGGAAUUUUUAUGGCAUUCACGUCAUCUUCACUACUUUUUUUGUUGUUAUCAAAUGAAUUGCCAAGGGCUUUAUAACAGCCAGAGAGUUUCUGCUUUUAGGUACCCAACUCGAGCCCGAAAAGCAUCAAGUCUUCUGCUGUAGGUGAUCUGACAAAGGAUGAUAAGGAAACAAAGGAUGAGGACGAGAAUCUCAGAAGCAAAGCUCUCAAGGAUGCAAGUAAAUCUAGCAUGUAGCAGCUUAGCUACACAACCAAGAAGAUUAUUUCAGCAAGAACUCCAUGGAUAUGCAUGGAAAAUCGCGAUGCUGCGUCUUGAAAAUGGGCACAACUAAAUGGCCUGAAAACACAGACAAUGUCAUUAGGCUGAUGACAUGGUACUUAAAUUAAGAGUGGAUGAUUUGAAUUUUUGUAGAACUGGAUUUUGUUUUUAUUAUUACUGCCAAAACAUCCCAGUUUUGUGACUAUUAAGCUGAAUUAAAGUCAUCAAGCUGAAUUAAAGUUUCACGAAGUUUCACAAGUUCAUAGCUGAUUCCUGUACUUGUUAGGCUGGUCGACUGAGCUUUGUUGGUGCCUUCGCAGCUAUCGUGCUAUGUCUUGUGAAUUGUGGCUUGUACUCUCUGUUUACUUCGGGAUUCUACAUAAGUCCUUAAGAUGGUUAGGCUAACAGGAAGUUGAGAUGAUGGGAGGGAGGAUUGGUCAAAGGUCGUUUUGCAUUUCUUUUGUUUAUUUGUUAAAUUAGCAUUCUUUCAGCUUGUUGAAUGCUAACUCGGACAUAGGUAAAGACAAUGAUCAAUAAAAGUUCAUAUGGUACAUAAAAAUUGCUAGGCGUGAAGUGAAAAUGCAAUUACAAGAUUAUGUGCACAAAACAGAAGUUGUACAUGCCACAAAUAUUCAUUAACUCCAAACAUUGAUAUCAUUCAUCCAAAUAAUAAAAUUAGCAAUUUGACAAUAUGCAAAUGCAUUGAAGGCAUGUAUAAUUUUUAAAACGAAUAGGGUAUUUCUUGUAAUCAUGUUCGGGACAAUGAUUAACAGGAACAUUAGGAAGAUUAGUUUGGAGGAAAAAAGAAACGAAAAGAGUGGUAAUUAUUGAUAAAAAAAAAAAAGAAAAAUGAUCAUUUUGUUAGGAAGUACAAAUAAGAAUUCUGCCAACUCGCUGGUGUAGAGUUGAUUAAUUUAUUUUUCCUAAUAUAAAUAAUACACAAAUUUAAAAUCUCUCUUUCUUGGCAUUUUACUAUUUGAAGUCAAUGUUUAACAGCAUAUAGGACAUCAUUAGAAAGUUUUACUAACCAGACAACAUUUUCCUUUAUGAAAUAAAAACACUCUAGAAAUUACAUGGGUUGGUGGUGAAUGGUUAAUUCUUUUCACACGAGUGAUUGUAACAAAAGCAAAUGAAGUCCUUGAUCAUUAUAUGAAUAGUCUUCGUGACCAAUCAGUGACAAGUUUGACUUUUACUACUCUAUUAAUUUUCUACACAAUAGUUAGCAUCCAAAACAAAAAAAGUUGUCUUGCUUUUGUGCUCCUUUAUGCUUGAUGAAUCAUCACAACUAACUUUUUUUUUUUUUUUUGUCAAAAAAAAGAACCUGGCCCCACUUCAGGCCCCAACCCUUAUUCGAGUUGUUGGGUUAUUCCCCAUUUUUGUGACAAGACUCGAACACUGGAUCUCGAGUGUACUAACCCUUAGUGAGACCAGCUCGGCUGCCUUGGAGGGUCAUAUCAUCACAGCUAACUCGGUGGUAUGAUUUUGAUAAGGUCUUGAACAGCUACUUAAUAUUCAUACAUCUUAAGAAAAACAGAAUAACCUAAGGCUUUCUUUGAGGGGAGGAGAUGGGUUGGGGGAGGAGGGAAUAUCUAAUUUAGGCCCUUUUAUUCUAAUUCCUAUGUUUUAACACACUUUACCUAGAGACUGGUUUGUGGUGCCAAAGCUAAAGCUGCCAUUGCCAUUGGGUUUGAAUGUUUUCUUGCCCAGUAAUGCAUCCCGUAAUGCAGAGCAAAUCUUCAAAAAAAUGAAGGCCAAAUAUCCCGUCUAUUGAGGAAAAUGUUGAAAUCUCUGAUCCCUGAUAUAGAUGCUUUGAAAUGAUUCACAUUUGCUCAUAACGUCGUUUCUAGCCUUCAUUGUUUCAAUGAUCUCUGUAUUGUUGAAUAUUUCAAUGAAGUAGUGGUAUUUUGACUAUUUUCUAAAGAACAAAGAUAUUUUGGUUUUUUUUUUUAAAGUUCCAAUAGUUGUAUAGAAAAGUCGGAUGUAUGGUUAACUAACUGAUUGAGAAUUGGGUACAAGAAGUUCUGCUUUCAUUUUGGCAUUUCUUCAAAUUGAGUUACCUAGGAAAUUGGUUCUUGGUUGUGUUUGGUAGCUACUAUUUUGCUCGAUUGAAAUCAUGACGAAAUAUUGAAAAGUACAUGUCAAAUUUUCAUUUUGCCAAUUGACAUACUUUAACAAAUAGAAGUUUUUACAAACUCUAGAAUAUUGACUAAGAGAAUAGGGUGGGAUAAGUAUUUGGAUUAAGUUUUUAUUUUAACUUUCAUAUUAUUUAGUUUAAAGUUUUAUAUUCUUAUUGUUCAAUUGUUAAAUAGUAAGUACUUUUGCGGCAUAGUGCACAGAUGAGAAAAAAAAUUAGUAAUUAGGCUUAUUAGACAUUAUAAAUAAAUAUUUAAAAUUAAUGAUGGGGUGCAAAGGGUGGAGUGGGAUAAGUUUUUGGAUUAUGUUUUUAUGUUAACUUUCAUAUUAUUUGGUUCAAAUUUUUAUAUUCUCAUUGUUCAAUUAUUAAAUAGUAUGCAAUUUUGCGACAUGGCGCACGAUGGGAAAAAAUUGGUAAUUAGACUUAUUGGCAUUAUAAGUAAAUAUUUAAUAUUAAUGAUGGGUGCAAAGAGUGGUAUAAAUUGAUAAUUUAGUUUACAAAAUAUAUUUAGAUAGGUUUGUAAAAAGUGAAAAUAAAUUGGUUGUAGAUGGAUAAUUGGAUUACCCCACCCAUUUUUUGACUUACUUAUUUAUACCCAUCUAAUUAUAUAUAUAUAUAUAUAUAUAUAUAUAUAUAAUAAAGUCGUAUUCUCAUUCUUAUCCCUUUAUGUUUUCUCUUUCUUACGUGGCUUAACGAGAUGGCAAGUAGUUUCCUACGUGGCUUGCUCCUUUUUUGUUUAUAUAUAUAUCAAUUCUUAUUCCCUAUAAGAAUUCUUAAUAUUAUAUGAUUCUUAUUUCCUAUCCAAAAAAAGAAUUGGAAAGUAAUGCGAUAUAAAUAAAAGAGAAAUAAAUAUCUCUAUUAGAUAUAUCUCCAAAUUCAUGCCAAUAAUUUGUGUACUGCAUAGGGAGCCGAAGUAAAUAAGAAUUGUUAUCACUAAAAGAAGUAGAAAAGUAACUAAUUUCAAAAGGAACCAUUAAUAACAGAAGUCAAUAUCUGAUGUUGGAAAUAAGAUUCUUAAUAAAUUUUAUUAUUAAGUACGUUAUCAAGACAUAGUGCAUAGCACGAAAUUUAUGGAAAAGAAAAAGUUAAUUGAAUCCAAUUAACUAUAUGUAUUUGACCCGUAUGGUUAAAUAUAAAUUUCUAUUUGAGCACGGGUUUGUAAAUUUCUAUAAACCCGUUCAUUGUUAAUCAAAAUAUGCAGGUUAUACUCAUGACUAGGUUAUAAGAUUCACAAUACAUCUCUGCUCAGAUGGUGGGGAGUAUUUAGUGUGUGGACCCACACCAUAGGAGUCCAUGCACUAAAAGGACUCGAUAUAGUUGAGGUGGUCUUUCAAGGUAGGUAAAGUUUGUCUUGAGAACGCAUUUUUAUUUCCUAUAAGAAUUCUUAAUAUUAUAAGAUUUUUAUUUCAUACCCAAAGUUACGUACUUUAAACAAUUUAAAUCAAGAUAAACCUACUUUUAAUGUUCUCAUCAAUAUCUUUUUAUAUUCUUAUCAAUUAUUUCUUAUGCCUACACUACAUAUAGCCUCUAAUAUAUUGAUUUCAAACAUCAAAUUCAUGGUUAGGUAUUUUCAGUGCAAGCGGUUGGCACAUUAAAGCAUCGAUUUUUGGUUUCCACUCCUCUUGAUUAUCAGGUACAUUUUCUUUCAAUACAUAUUUUUUUAAAAAAAAGGCAUGUUGAUCUUCAAUUGUAAAAGUUUAGUAACAUAUCUUGAAUUUUGUUUUUAUUUUCUGUUUGUUUUUUUAUGAACACAUAGGAUUAGUAAUAUAUCUUGAAUUAGUAAUAAAAAUUUCUCUUAUAUUUCACAUAUUAUAUCUCACAUAAUAUUUUUGCCUUUAAUUUUGAUAAAUCAUUAUCAGAUUGGUGGAACCGACAACCAAUACCAACCUGAAGCAUCUUCUUCCUAGAUCCCAAUUAGUAUAAUAGAUUAUUCUAAUCAACAACAUUUCAAUACACUUCAUAUGAAUUAUUCAUCAGAGGGUUCAACAAAAACCACAGAGGAAGGGAAUCCUCAUAAAAAGAUUUGCAUGAGAAGGUAGAUUUAAUAUAUUAUUUUACUUUCUUAAAUUAUAAUCUUUACGUAUUGUUAUACACAAUCUUGAAUGCGAUAAAUCAUUUUUUUUUUUUAUACUUAGUUAUCCUGCUUUGCUAUCAUGCAGUGAUAAUGGAAAAUCAAUAAAUGCUGAUUUGCACGGACAAAUCGAGGAAAUGUUCAAACAGAAGAAAAAGAAAAACGAGUUUCUGAAGAGUAGAAUAUUAUUUGAUACUAUUUACUGCACUUUUUAUUUAUUUUCAAGUUUUUGAAUGUUAUGGUAUUGUCGAAUGUUAUUUUUUUCAUUUUUGAAUUAUUGUUUACUGAAUUAGAUGUUCAAAUUUAUAUUAUAAGAAUACUUUAUAUUACAAUGCGCAUAUAGUAAUAUACUUAAGAAAGGUUAUAAUAAAAUAUACAUUAAGUUUGUAUUUCAUAUCGACAUUUUUAUAAAAUUGACUAAAUAGAUUAUUAUUUUUCGAAGAUUCCCGUUCAACGAACGGGUACAAAACUAGUUAAAUGAAUAUAAAUAGAUUGACUCACUUAUACCUAUGACCCAUUUUAACCCACCCAAAUCAACCAUUUAACACCUCUAAUUUUAGCCUCCAAUGUGAUUUGAUUGAGCAUUUUAUACAUGCAACAACAGUAACUCUGUUCUUGAGCUAGAUUUUGAAUCAUUUAUUACAUCAAUUCCCAAGCCAACUCUAAUGAAGUCUAUUGGCAAUGAAGCAGAGUUUCUUAACAAAUAUAUUUCUACCCCCAUGUUCCAUGACAAAGAGAGUAUGGCCUAUCUUCUUCUUGAGUUUCUUCAAUCCCACCAUUACAAGGGUAAGGUAAACUAUCACCGUCCAAUCACAUGUGCAAUCUAAUAGCAAUACAAAAUGCUACAAUCUUAUUCACUAUCUCUUAUUCUAAGCAAAAUAUUGAAUUUUCUUGUGCUUAGAUUGAUAAUAAACAAUAGUUAACAUGAAAGUCAGAGAAUUUUAGUACUAUUCUUGAAAAUACCCAUGCAUAUGUAAUUCAUGUGAAAUUAUAUUAUCAAGUGCUUCAGAAGUGUCCUCCUCACAAUGAAGUAGAUGUAACAUGUGUUCUAAAUUUACUUACUGCUACAUUCUUUAAUCUUGUUUAAUGCUAAAUUAGAUGCAGGCAAAGACAACGAUCAUCAAAGAUUCAUAUAGUACAUAAAAAUUGCUAUGCUUGAAGUGAAAAUGCAAUUACAAGAUUAUGUGCACAAAACAAAAGUUGUACAUGCCACAAAUAUUCAUCACUCCAAAAAUUGAUAUAACUCGUUCCAAAAAUUAAUAUAGGUAUUUGACAAUAUGCAAAUGCAUUUAGGGCAUAUAUAAUUUUCAAGAUGAGUAGGGUAUUUCUUGUAAUUAUACUCUGGACAAUGACUAACGGCUAAAUUAGGAAGAAUAGUUUGGAGAAAAAAAAGAAAAAGAAAAGAGAGUAUUGAUCAAAAAAAUUAUCAUUUUAUUAGAAAGUAACGUGAGUGCUAUGCGUGCUUUCUCAGAAAUAGAAUGCUGUCAAGUUUCUUGUGUGGAAUUGAUUAAUUUAACUUUCCCAAUAUAGAUAAUAUGCAAAUUUAAAAUCUCUCUUUCUUGGCAUUUUACUACUUGAAGUCAACAUAUAAUGGCACAUAGGACAUCAUUAGGAAAUUUUACCAAGCAAACAACAUUUUUCUUUACGAGACAAAAACAUUCUAGAAAUUAUUUUCAAAUGAGUGAUUGUAACAAAAGCAAAUUAAGUCCUUGAUCAUUGACUAAAUGACUUCAUGACGAAUUAGUGACAAGUUUGAUUCUAAUCGAUGCAAAUUGAGUGCUCAUUUUGAUUCUAAUGGACUAAAUGUCAUAUUAGUAAUAUGUGAGAGACAGUUAGUGUACUUUUUCCAAAUAAAAAAGUGAAAUUCCAGUUUCCCCUAUGAACUCUAAUUCAUGCUUUGAGAGAUGUGCUACUUCCAUUUAAAUGUAAUCCUAGAUGCCUUACAACAAGUAAUUGAUCCAUUAGAUUGUCUUUGUAGUUAAACGUUGGUGAUUUUGGCUCUAGUUACUAUCAUUAUGCAAAGUAAAUCAUGAGACCAUAGGUCGAGGAAGUGGUUCAAUCACAGUAGAGCUAGAACCUUGUGGUAAGGAGAUACAAUAGUCAACUUUAGCAUAAAUCAUGCUCUUAGAUUGAUAUAAGAAAUAGGAUAUUUACUUUGAUUUAGAAUGCCAAAUCCUUUUUUUUUUUAAUUAGAGUGUUGUUAAUGUUUAAUUUGGAAUAGAUCCAAAAUUUUUGUUAGAAAUAAUCAAUAAAAAAUCUUAUUUUUAAGGAAUAAAUGUAGAAUAAGGGAGGAAUAUAUAAAAUUUCAAAAGAUAAUCAAUAUAGAGAAAGGAAUUUUCUUAAAUUUAAGGGGGACAAUACAACUAAAAAGGAGAAUUUUAUGAAAUUCAAGGGUGCAAAUAUGAUGCAAACUUAAAACUCUUGAAAAAUUUCAAGACCAUUGUAUAAUUUUAUCAAAUUUGUGAGGGACAAUUGCCCAUCUACAAUCCUAUGUGACUUCACCGUUUUUCAGUCAUACCUAAUGAAUCAACAUGUGUUGGCUUAAGGAGCAUCCACUUCAUAGUGAAUUAUCUUAGUGCUAAAUUCUUCUCUCGUUUCUAGUACUAACUUAAGAUACAAGUACAACAAUAUGCCAUAUGGAUUGUUCUUUUUUUAAAAAAUUAUUUUUGUUUGUGAAGUUUACAAUAACUUCAAAAAUACAGACAAUCUCAAAUACACCUAAAAAAAAUAAAAAAAAAAAUUAAUUUCCACCCAACAGACAUACCACCACCACCCACUAUUACCACCACUUCCUUCCUCCUCCUCUCUCCUCCCUCUUCCCUCCCCUCUUCCUUUCUUUCCCUCCCUCCUGUGGCGGCAGUGGUGGGUGGUGUUAUUUUCAAAUUUUAAAAAAUAUUAAAAUUUUUUUAAUUCUAAAAAUAUUUUAAAAUACAUCCUCAAAAACACCCUAAAAAAAUACCUUCAAAAACACUUAUAAAAACACCUAACUAUCUGUAGUAAAAGUUUUUUUUUUACAAACACUGUUACAAUAAAAUUUUUAAAUAAGCACCCUAAAAAAUACCUAAUCCAUGCGAAGCCAUGAUUAGAAAAGGUUAGUAUGAUGCGUGAAAAUUGUUAUGCAUAAAUUUGCCGAACAAUCAACCUAUAUCUUUUCAAAAGAAAGUGAAUGUAAGAAAAUAUGACCUUAUUAUGUUUUUCAUGAAUAAUCAUGUUCUUCAAAAUAGUUAACAUCGAAUCUAGGAAGAAUAAUUUGAAGAGAAAAAUGACUGGUUUAUUAUAAAUAAAAGUAUAAAAAUAUACUAAGAAGGAGCACUAACUAUUUCACACUAACUAUAAUUUAUUAAACUCGUGGAGUUUACUAAUGGAGUUUGCAUGAUAUAGAUAACAUACACAUCCAAAAUCGCGCUCACUUGAUGGUGACUUUCUUCCAUUAUAUUGCUGGUGGUCUACAAUUGGAAGCAUAUUUUCUCGGAAUUGGAAGCACUUAAAAGUGUUUUACAAUGAAGACUUCUAUGGUUAGAUCUAUCAAAUUGUCAACUGUUUUAGAAGUAUCCACUUCAUAAUAACUAAAUAACAUACAUGCAUGUUUGUGUUUGGAUUGCUAUGUUUUAAAGUUUUAUAGAAAAAUUUGUUGUAACGAUUUCAUGUAUAUGAGGUAAAGGUGAUUGGAAAUUGUGAUCACAAAAAAUGUAAAAUUUUUCCUAGAAAAAACCUCAAUCCAAACAAGGAAGCGCUUCUCUGCAGAUUUCUCUCAGCUAAUUAUACUAAUUGAGAAACAGGCAAGACAUUAAUUAUUGCAAAUUAAGGUUGGUAGAUUAGUUGAAAAAUAUUUUGCUUUAACUUGCCAAACAAUCGACCAAUACUCUAUUUGCGCACAGGCAUUUAGGGCAUAUAAAUUUUAAGAUAAGAAAAAUUGAUUUCACUCCAUUUCUAAUGUAUAAUCAAAAUUUCCACACAAAGCUAAAAUCUAAUCCAGGAAGAAUAGAUUCGAGGGGAAAAUGGCUGAGAUGUUAACUGUCGAUCCAAAAAAAAAAAACAUAAACUUAAUUUAAAGUACAUUUCAAGAGCCAAAUUGCUUUAAAUCUUUUUCAAUACUAAAUAAUCCAAAUGUUAAAUCACAAAAUCACUCAAAUGCAUGCUCAUAAACAUAUAAACUGCAUUUGUAUUGUCCCGGCAUCUUUAUUAUUUAGAUAACAUAGGAAGCUUCUCUCCCUUUGACUGUUCUUGUAUUUAAUUUUAUUUACCUUUUUUGACAUCAUUCUUUUUCUUUAAUUCUGAAUGACUUCUUUUUCAAUACUAUUCUUCAUUACUAUAUAUGAUCAAUUUCAAAAGCAUCCCUAACAUAGUGAACUGACCUAUCAUCCUCUAAAUUACCCUUCUAUGUUUUGAUUUCAAUCUUUAGAUGGAAAUAUUGCUGCCUGCCUUUAAAUCAUCAAGUCAGACUUCGAUAGAGUUUGUUUUAUUAAAGACAAUUAAUUCACAGUUAUUGCUACAUGCACAAGAUAUGCACGAUAAAUUUGUAUCGAAAACAAUCUACUGAGCUUGAUUGUCUUCAGAGUGGAAUGUAGCAUUUUGAUCAUUCCACCAUAUGAUUCUGAGAAUGCUUUGGUUCUUCCCAAAUCUUGUUGCAAUCUUGAUUAUAUAGUCAAAAUGAGCCAAAUUCUUGGAUGGAUUCCAAAAAAUGGAGUUGUUAAAAGUUAUUGCUCUGAUUUUCAGUUCACUAUUUACUAUAGAUUGAUCCAACCCAAUUAAGACAAACUCAGCUAUGUAAAAGUUGAUGGUAAAUGGAACUUGAUUUUCUUUUUUGAAAAAUAGCUAGGUAAUGGGCAUGGUUCUCUCAAAUUUCGUUUCGUCCCACUAAAAUGCUUUCAAAGCAAACGUAAUAUAUCCUUUGCUCAUCUCUACAUCGUAAGUGCAUCAAAUUAUGCACAUUUGGAUUGGAGAAUUUGACGAAAGAUUUGAAAUCCACUCAAAUCGCUCUAGUUAUUUGGGUAACUUUAGAUGCAUUUAGAUUUGUAAUUUACCAAUUAUCAAAAUAUAUUUUAAAAUGACAAUAACCGGCGAUUUACAAAUUCAAAUACCUUCUGAAUAAUUUAAACAAUUAGAGGGAUUUGAGAGUAUCUUUCUUCAAAUCCUUGAAUCCAAACGUAGCCUGAAAUUAGAGGAGUAAUUAGAGGUCCUGAAGGAAUUGUUAUUGCUGGAACUAAAAUGACCAUAGGGCACAGCAAUCAAACGGCAGAAUUACGUGCACUUUUUUCUUCUUUUAACGAAAAAUUAUGCGCACUUAAUGUAGGACUUGCAAUUGGAUUGAACUAAUAUCUCACCUCUAAUUAUUCAGUCUGAUUCUUGGGUUAUUGUGAAAUACAUAUGUAGACCUCCACAUGCAAACAAACUUGAUCAUGGAACGCGGGAUUGUCAGGACAUGUACUAUUGGCAGAUCCUUAAAUAAACGACCUGUCUACUUAGCAUCCCCUCCGGCUUAAUAUUUUGGGCAUGCAAGUUAUGAUGUACUAAAACUAAUAACACCUAGAAUAGGUCUUGCACAUAACCGUGUUUUAGUAAUGGAAUCUUUGUUUAUCUCAAACAUGUAUAAUGGUGCCUUAAUAGUGCUGGUGGCAUUGGCGCCUACUAUAUAAACCAUUUAACUGUUACUCCUGGGCAGCUCGUUUGGUCACGACAACCCCUUGGAAGUCGUUGUCCAACUCUCCCACCAGGGAUCGAGUCUCAGGAUUACCGUGUUCGGGGGAAGGGCCUCUCCUCUCAGGUUGGAGUGGGAUUAGUCGGGUCCCGUAAAGAUUGACCCGGACACCCACCCCGUCAGCCAAAAAAAAAAAAUAUAUAUAUAUAUAUAUAUAUACACACACACACACACCAUUUAACCACUAUCCCUUCAAUUUUAUCUUCCUUUAUAUAGAUUGGUAAUAGUUCACGUGAUUUGCAUGUGAUCACAGUAUCAUGAUAUAUGAUAUUUCUUAUACACUAAUUUUUUGGCAAAAUUUUAUUGUUAACAUCAUAAUUUAAUAUGUGCAUAUUUUUCAUCUUUUUUGACCAAUUAUCUUUAAAACUUUAUUUUAAAUUAACUGGAGGUAUCACCCAUUUGUUAAAUUUUCUCUAGAGAAUUUCUCUGAAUUUAUUGUGGACUUUUUUUUCUAGCUUGCUAAGCAAAAGAUAAUUGUUUGGACAAAUAAUGUUUGUUUGCUCUACCAUUAUUAUUUUUUAUGGUUUGCAAGUUGAAUAUGUUAGUACUUUGAUGUAAUUUUUCAAUAUGAAGUGAUAUGCAUUGUUUUUGAAAAAUGAAGGGAUGUACGCACAUUCUUUAAAAUUGAACUCUUUUGCAUUCUUUUGUAUGAUAUUUUUGUUAUUAAUGGAGUGUAAAUGAUCAACCAGAUACAAAGAUUUUAUGUAUGACUGUUCAUUUUUACAAUUGAAAUUUCAUUUCUCCAGAAUAAUUGAGUUUUUCUUUUUCCUUUCCUUUCCUUUUCUUUUAUUUUUUUUUGUGGAUAGAAUUUGAUACAAAGCACAAAUGACAAAGACUCCAUUAUCCUAAGAGCACCCUAUUUUUGUACCAAGAGUAACAUUUAUGACGAUUUAGAAAUUGAAUUAGGCUGUAAUUAAUCAAGAAAUUUAGAUCGAAAUAAAAAGUGUUGCUUUGUUUAUUGUCUUCAUAGUUCAACGUCAAUUAAGUUUUUAGUUUUUGGCCUUCAUAAGUGAUACCAUUAUUGACUAUUAUUAGAACAUAAUAAAUCUAAUUAUUAGGAAGAAAAGGCAUUUUUGGCAUAAUGUAAAAUUAAGACAAAUCUUACUUAAGCUCUAUUCUUCCUAAUUAAACCUAUACCAUACUUAUAUAAACAGGAGUAUUUGGAAAAAGCUGCACAAAGUAAGGCUACUUGGAACUGUUUCGUACCCUCUUUUCUUGUUCUCUUCUACCACAUAACUACAUAUUCAACAUAUGGCGGAGGACAGACAAAGCUUCAUCUUUGGAUCUGAGAUUUAUAUUCACUAAAGAUACGCCAUUAGAUUUACAUGGUGAAAAUGAAACUUAGUCGAAUGACGUGUCAAAUGUGGUUUUGGCAAGGUGACAUAUGAUUUGUCUUUCAUUAACUAUUGCUACCUCGGUAAAUUCAUUGCCCGUAUGUUGUUCGCUUGUCAUAGCAAAAAUCACAUUUUGCAUUUGAUUUAGCACAACGCAAAAUUUUUUAAGUAUCCAAAACGACAACCAUUUUCCCAACUAAGAAAAAAAAAAAGACAACCAUUUUCUUAAUGUAUACACUGUUUAUGUGGCAUUCCAUAAUUAACUUUCAGCAAAUGCCCAAUAUAACCAUUAUGGCAGCCAAUAAGGACUCAAGUGUCAACUAAUUUCCAACUUUUUUUUUUAACCUCUUAUAUCUUUUCACACCCUUCUCACUCCCAAUUAUCAGGAUUCGAAUUUUGAACUUAACAGUGAAAGGAGAUCUAAAUCAACUUCAACUUCAUUAAAGCAUAAUGAAAAAUUUUGAACAGCUAACACGAGUUAGUUCAAUUGGUAAGGACGGCCAAUUUUUUUUUUUUUUUUUUACAAAAACAGAUGUGUUUAAAUUCCAUUAUCAACAUUAGCACUGUGCUGUUGAACGACUUGUAAGUUUUAAAUGACUUAUGAUCCACCUGUGUUGAUGCUCGAAGCCAAAUCAAUUUUGAGCAAAUUGCAAUUCAGGAAAAGAAACCCUUGAGAAGGGCAUUAUGCUAUAAAAUGAAAUGAAUUGGUGAGUUCAAAGUGGACUUAUUUUGACUAAUAUAAGCAUGAAAAAGUUGAUUCAUCUCUCAUUAUAAGUAAAUAGAUUUUUGUUUAUAAACUCCCCGUGCAUUAUACGUGUUUUUUUUUUUUUUGAGGGCAAUACGUGCAUUAUACGUGUUUGGACUUGGUAAUCAAUUUUGAGGGUAAAAAACAAUAAUCGACAUUAGGAAGGGCCAACUAAAGACAAAAUAGAGCCUAAGAAAAUUAUGAAGUCAAAUUUUGUACUCACAUAUCAUUACAUCCCUUCAAGAUCUGCUCUUGUCAAGUCACUUCACUUCCCACAAUCCCACUUCAGUCAGCUGACUUCCCACUUAAAAGUGAAAAAUCCCACCAAAUUGUACGAACAAACACCGGAUUUCAAACUCAAAAUUUAGCUAAAAUGCAUAUACCACCCAGAAUCCGCGAGAAAUUCCAUCAGAAUUCGAAAAUUCCUCUGCAUGCAAAGCCAUUUCUUCUUGCAGAUGUCCUAGUACCUGUAACGGCUAUGUCUGAGAUUACCCAUUCAUGGCCAUAAUUUUAAAAAAUGCAGCUUAUUCUGUACUCUUAGUUAACUAGUUCUGCACUCAUCACUGCGUCAGCCCACAAAAACCUGCCUUUUCCUUUCAUCCGACGACGGAAGUUCCUAGGCUUAUUGAUAAAAUCUCCUUGAUUUCUUCAAUUUUCAACUCUUGGGGAGAAAUUUUGGUGCAGGGUCGACGAAUUAAGGGCCAAAUUCGAGUUGGGUUGGCAAAAAUAUAAGAUUUUGGAGGUGGGUUUUGGGAAUUAGGAGCUAGGUUGCCAGCAUUUCUUGGGUUGGGGUAAUUUUGCCUCGUGGCUCUGUGGGGAUUUAAGUUGGGCAAUGGAUGUUAACGGUUUGGGUGUUUUGGAUUCGGUGAAGGAGCUUCAACUUCAAAGCCAGCUGAUUGAAGCUGGGGUGAAGCUUCUGGUGCCAUCUUCUUCUGCCGAUGAUCUUCUUGCUGCCCUCGAUGUAAAGAUCAUUUCUUUUAUGCUACAUUUUCUGCAUUCUUUUGAUGUUGGCUUGAUUUAUAAUUUUGUUUUUAGCUAUUUUGCAUGCAUGUGAGAAAUCGUGUAAAAAUGUUUUUGAUUUGGUCUUAUUGGGGGUCCUAUAAUUCGUGCUAAAAGGUUAUUUCUUGAGCGUUUUUGUUGAUUUAGUUCUUUGGUUUUGGGUGGUUGAGAUUGUAAAUUGGCGCUUUAUUUAUUUGGUCAUGAAUUUGCUGGAAAAAUGUGAAUUCUUUCCCUAAUAUUGGGUUUGAUUUUGUAAACCACAAAAAAUAAUUGCAUACGUUUACACCAGUUGGUAAGAAAUAGGCUAGCACCAAGCACGCACGAGGCACUAAGAGUUGUUCCUAGUACAUUAUUGUUUCAUAAUCAUUUUGAAUAAGGCAAAAUAUUUAUCGCAUUUUUGUUGAUUUUCGUGAUCUUUAUUUCUCAGUCCGUAGGUUCAUGAUUGUUUGAUGGCUUACUUCUGCCUGAUAAAUAUUGUGAAUGAGGCUGUCCUUUUUCCUUGAUGAAUUUGUUAUUUGUUCAAAUUUGUCGGCUUACUUCUACAUACCAUUUUGCGUUCCACCUCUCAUAGUGUAAAUUAACCAUCAUCCUCUUUUUCAUUCUGUUGUUUAGAAAGUAGAGGACCUUUUAUCCAUUGUGGGUCAAGAUCCUUCCAGUUUGAUUCAAGAUGGGCUCUUGCCUUCGAUGAUGGCUUUGAUCUCUGAUAGGCUGCUUAGACAUCCUAAUACAGAUGUCAGGAUUUCAGUUAUGUCUUGCAUCUGUGAGGUGUUAAGGAUAAGUGCUCCGCAUCAACCUUAUGAGAAUGAAAGAAUGAAGGUAAGCUGAACACCUACAACAGUAUCUACUCUUUUCUGUAUUUGUUUGUCUGCUUCCUAUUGUAUACUUGUUUAGAGCCAGUUCUCAGCCUUUUCAUUUGCAUGCUGUACAGGAUAUUUUUCGGUUGACUUUAGCUGCAUUUGAGAAGUUGUCGCUUUUCUCUGGUCGCUGUUAUGCUAAAGCUUUGCACAUUCUUGAAAUCGUUGCAAAGGUCAGAUGCUGCAUCAUCUUGCUGGACAUAGGCUGCGACUCAUUGGUCACUAAAAUCUUUGAAGUCCUUCUAAGUACCAUUAAGUAAGGCUAAGAUGUUACAGCUAAUCUUUAAAAUGUAUUUUUAUUGUCAAGACAUUUUGAUUAACUGCCUUUUCUCUUUGGAUCUUGUAGUAAUUGAUAUUUGUUAGCUUCUUUAAAUUAACUCUAAUACUAACAAUUAAGGUUAUCUUGAAUUCGAACUUGUAAUAGCAUUCCCAUUAUGUCCUGCAAAUAUGAUCCGCUUUCAACUUCGUGAACUCCUCAUUUAGCAGCAAUGAAAUUGAAAAAUUUGCUGGACUCAUGGCAAACCUUUAUUAUUUGUUGUCGAGUGAUCAACUCAUGGUUUGCAAUGCAACUUGCAUAACGGAGUAAUUUAGAAAGUUGUACCAAAUUAAACAAAUUAGAGGUAUUCAUUUGCUAAUCUUGCACCUGUCUCAUGCAAGUCAACACAUUCAAUUGUGAUGUGCUGAUUGUUGUUGUGUUUGAAUGUCUAAUACAAGGUUCAACCACCCGCAAGCUGUAUUCUCAUACAUGGAAGAUAUUAUGACUUGGCUUUUAGAUGAGAGUGAUGACAUCCCAUUGGGUCUUUUAAAGCCGCUUCUAGCUAGUGUGAAAAAGGAAAACCAGGUACCCUUCCUUAUAUAGAUCUCUGUUUCAUUUAUUCUUGUUCUUGUUUUAUUAUUACUCAGUUACCUUUAUUGUUUGCCUCAGAUUACUUCACCCGUUUCCUCUUGGUUAGGAGAGAAAGUAUUAAAGAACUGCUCAACUAAAGUCAGACCUUAUCUUAUGAAUGCAGUGAAGUUAAUGAGGCUAGAUAUUAAUGAUUAUGCCGAUAUAGUUGCUUCGUUAUGCCGAGAUAUGCCAGCUGGGGACAAUGUGGUGCGAUAUCUUCUAUCCUUCAACUGACUUCUUUUUUGGCAAAAGGCAGAUGUAGUUAUGAUCUGUGCUCAUCUCCAAAUGUUCAUGCUUGCUUCUGAUAUAGUUUUUCGUUGCUCAUUGUAUUUGUGAUGAUGGAGAUAUGUUUGGACUUCCUAAAAUUUCUUGUUCGUUCUCCUUCACUUUGUUUAUAACGAGACAUUAGAAAAUAUACUAACACUCAUCUUCCCUUAACUAAUAGCAAAAUUUGAAGUCAUUCAGUAAGUUAAUCAACUUUAAGGAGUAACUUAUGCUGUCAGUGGUUGUUCAUUCAAAUUAUGCUAUGUGUCCCAGAUGUGAGACUGAAUCUGUUGUCUCUCAUGCAUCAGGAAGCGUUUUUAGUCUUUAAGUUUGGAGUUCUUUAAAUUUAUUUGCGAAGUUGACUUUUUCCUAAAGAUGAGAAAAAGGUUCUUGUAAGCAAAAUUAGCAGACCAGGCAUAUCAAAUGGUUGGUAUUCCCCUGCUAAUUUCUGGUCGCUCUAGUGUAGAUGGUACGGAGUCCAUUGUGUUUGUUUCUGGUUUAUCGUUCUUCUUUCUGCUGUUGGAGUAGUUGAAAUAAAGAUAUGAGAUUGGCUUUGAUUUAUUUAUUUUGAAUUAAUCAGGUGAUGGUGGAAGCAGAAGCAUAUGCAUCUUUUGUUGUGCCAGCAGAGGCUGAGCUUUGUGGUUCACUGCUGCAUGCUGGCACAUCUCUACAGAUUGAUGAUGAUGACAGCAGAUCAAAGGAUGAAAUUGAGCAGACGAAGAGCAUGGCUAAAGAAUCUGUUGCCGCUGAAACUUUAGAAAGUGGAGGAGAAAUUCAAGCAAGAACAGGUGUUGGAAUAGUACCAAGUAGCAUGGGAAGAGAAUCUAAAUCUCUGGUAGAACGAGAGAAAGAUUAUGAACAUUCUGGGAUGACUGGCAGCCCAAAUUCUCUUGAAAUGCCUUAUAAGAGGAAGAAUCAUGGAAAAGUCAGUAGCUUGCCACAUAGUUUGUCUGCAGAAGAGUCAUCUUUUCAUCUAGAACCAGAGAAGGAGAGCGAACCAAGUUAUUUUCAACCUAGAACAUCACACUUUAACAGCACACCUCCUCCCAUUUCCCCAGAUCCAAGUGAUGGAGGUAAAAGUCUUCAGAGAAGGGGUAGGUCAAAGAAGAAAGGGAACAUGGCUAAUCAUGAUAGUGAUCUUGAUGGUCACUUUCAGGGCUCUGAUGGUCACUUAAGAAUAGGAUCUUCCAGAACAAAACAUACUGAAGAAAACCCUGUGAGAUAUUCAAGGAGGAAGAAAUCCGCUGUUAAGAAUAAUAUGGAGAGAACUGCUGGUGUAAAGAAUGUAGUUAUUAAGACGGAAAAAGACUUCCAUAGUGAUUCAGAAGAACAACCACUUAUUUUAUAUAAGUUAAAGGAUGGAAGAAAAGGAGCAGAAGACAAAAAAGCUCUAAAAUCUGAGGUAUUAUGUUUGUUCAUCAAUAAGUCAAGUAGAGGAACUUUGUUUGUUUAAGUGAUGUUUGGAUGCAUUACUACCUAUGAUGAUUAAAACCUUCCAUAUAAGCAAAGUGGACAAAGCUUUUUCACCACCCAAAUAGGAAAGUAGGAUGUUCAAUUUGAUGGAGGGAGUAAAAAUUUGAUUUUCCAAGUAAAGGGAGAAGCAAUUCUUGUAGCUUCAGUCUAAAGCUUUCUACUAGAGAAUGUAGAUCAAUAGAAUCAUGCUUGGCCUCUGUUGAGAUCUUCGGCAAGCACUCCUGGUUUCUCUAAUGUGUCUCAGCAGUGAUUGCUAAAUCUUGUUUCUGUCUCAUAUGCCUUGUUCUAAUGCAUUUUUCCCCCCAUAUAAUCUGUGGUGGUUUUUGUAUCUUAUUUCUGAUGUUCCUGUAAAUAUUUCUUUAACCAAUUUAGGUAUCCAAGAAACCUAGAAUUGCCAAAGAGUAUGGUGAAGAAUUAGUUGGUUCAAGGAUAAAGGUCUGGUGGCCCAUGGACAGUCGGUAAGUAACUUAAAUUGUUGAUAAUUCUCUAGACUUUGUAUCCAUCCUCCAUAUAGACUUCUUAAUUCUUAAAUCUUAAUGUUACUGUCAUUUUGACUUUAGGCUAAGUUGUUCUGCUUCUUUGAAAUAGCUUAGAGUAAUGGGAGAAUCUUCUAAGCCGUGUUUGUUGAUCUGGAUGUUACUUGUUAGAUAUUUGAAGCUAUUUCGAUCUGGCUUUUUUUCCAUCCUCAGCAAAGCUUUAAUAUGAUUUUUUUGGGCUUCAUUUUGACAUGUCCUUCCACCUAAACUACAUCAACCCCAAUUCUCGAUGCUUUUUGGCUCAAUUUAAAGUCUCCCUGUUUUUAUUUUCUGUUGGACGACACCAUUUUAAGUCCUGCCUUAUCAGUUAAACACCAUCAGUGGAAACUAACUUAGCUGGAAAGUACAAAAUUCUCCAAAAAGGAUGUUUUGGCUUCAAAAGCAUAAUUUAUGAAGUUCGUUCAGCUAAGCUAGGGGUCCAUUUUACUACUAUUGCCUGCAAUCAGACAAGACCACGGGUUUCCAACAACUCUGCAUAAUCCCAAACUGAAAAACUAGGAACCUUAUUAACUGCCACAGUGAAAUCUUUUCAGAGUUCCAGCAAACCUUUCCUUGACCGAGCAUUUCUCUGUAUUUUUCCUCUCCACAGCUGGGCAAUUGCUGCCUGAAUCCUCUAAUCGUUUUAGUAAAAGGAAUUUGAUACCGGAUUAUGAGUAGUGCCCUUAAAAUUUCCGUUUGCUGCAUCAAGCCAAUACUUUCAUUCUUGAAUAAGCCUUUUCUGAUCUUGGAAUAUGUGAUGGAAUGACGUUGCCUUGUUGAUUUGUUCUGUUGAUAUACGAGUUUUACUGGUUGGGAGUUUUUCUGGCAACUUCGGUGUCAAUGGUGGUUUGGUAAAAAUCUUUGACUAUGCUGUAAUAUGUACAGCAUCUCGCGCGCGCGCACGUCUGUGCAUGUGUGUGUGUAUAUUUAGUAACUUUGUAUUUGAAUCAACUCGGGCAAUUUUCUGUUAUUUCCAUUUGUACGAAGCUGAUUGAUAGGAAUGCAUGCCAUUGUAAAAGAAUCUUCAGUCUGUUAGAUCUAAGCAUGACAAAGUGAGGUCAGUACUGAAGCUUUCCUGUUGGAUAAUGUACUUGAUUACCAUUAAAGCUUGGAAGUUUGAAGUUGAUUGAAAAGGGCAUAUAGUUUGAGUGUAGGCAGAUUAAAGAUGGAUCGGUAAUAGCUUUGUUGAUUUGAAUUAGCAGAAAAGGAAACAAAUUCGAACCUUCUCUGGAGAAAUCAACCUAUCGGUGAGUAAUACUUGGGUCUGAAUGAGAUUUUAUUUUUCCUCUAGGGAUAAGUAUGUCCUUUUGACUUUGAAAGUUGAUAUGUUCAACGAAUACAUGAUCAUGAAUGUAUUAUAUGUACAGACUCCUUGGUGGCAAGACACCUUGGUCCAGAUUUUGCCGAAUUGACAAUGAACUUAAUUUUAUGAUUAGCACAGGUAGUGUUAUUGUUGAAAUGGUAAACUGGUUCUUCCAUAAAUUCCAAAUGAAAAUUCUACCACUGGGAUUGAGAUAAUUCAUCAAACUUCACGUAUUACAUCGGCCAAACUUGAGCCAUUUAUGCCAUCUUCAGUGUUAGGAAAGAAAUGGAAUGACAUUUUAUCUUAUUCAUUUUCUUUUGUGCAGGUUUUAUGAAGGCGUUAUUGCUUCUUUUGAUCCUUCAAAGAAGAAACAUAAGGUGAUAAUUUUUGCAAAGAUGGCCUAUUUAUUUACUAUUGCUAUCAUCCAACUCUCCAAAUCCUCCUGCACCCUUGGUUUGCUUCAUCCUGUAUAUUAUACCUCCAUGUUGUGCUUUUAGGCUGUGAUCUUUAUCACAAACUUAUAAUAAGAGAAGAGCACUUGUAAACAUUCCCCUUUAUCCUUUAGGAAUAUGACCUUUUGUGGUAGAUCCAUUUGCUACUGUAUUUCUCCCUUUGAUACAUAAUAGUCUUAAUUACUUUAAUAUAUUUAAGUGGCUAUAUAAAAAUUUUUGCUCCAUAAUACAUUCCAAGGAGAGCUGCUGUAUCUCACUGGUUUAACAUUUUGUGGUGAUCAAGAAUGUGCUGAUAAAUGGUUGUUUGUCUUGUGAGCCAUCACAUGCUCAUUUGCUCUCACCUGUGUUUCAGGUUUUAUAUGUUGAUGGUGAUCAGGAGAUUUUGAAUCUGAAAAAAGAACGUUGGUUUCUGCUUGAUGACCAAGUCAGUUACCUGAUUUUAUGCUACUCUUCAUUGUACAUUUUUUAGUUUUCUGUCCCACCCCCAUUCCCCCCAACCCCCCCCCCCCCUCCUCAAAUGUUGAUGGGAUGUGAUAUUAUCAGGAGAAAAAGGGCAGCCUUACAAGUUCUGAUGCUGCUGCUGUUCGGUAAGCACUAUUUGAGAAGGCUGUGUGUAUUCCUUUAGAUCUUUAAAACUUCUUUCUGUUGAAAAUCUCUCUCUUUUAACUUAAUCCACAAGUUUUCUCAAGUAGUAAAUGAGGCACUUUUUGAGGUUGUACUCUGCCUUGCCCAUAUCUGGAUCUGCAUGAUAAGUUUUAUGCUCAUGUUCAACGUGAGAAAAGUUGAUGGUAGUCAUUUGCUCGUUCAUGUAGCCAUGACAUUGAUUGGGAACUUCUGUACAUGAAUUUCCUUUUGCUGGGUUGCUUGUUAUUGGUGCUAGAUGAUCGUCUUCUUGCUCAUUUUAAUGACUUAACUGGUUAGUGUUUUCUUAUGUCUAAUUGUUUCAAAUUGAAUAAUCAAUAAAAGUUGGCCGAAAACGAGGAAAAGGGAGCUAUUGUAAUCGAAACAACCCUAAUAUUAACUGUAAAAAAAAAAAAAAGACAAAAAUCCUACAAAACCAUGCUAUAUCAAACUCUUUUCUAUGGAAGACGUUUCAUGUAAUGCUUCAUAUCUUGGUCAUUAUUUUUGGUAUUUUAUGUUUGUUUACUGGACUCUUUAACUCUGCGACAUUGCUCUACUUUUGACUAUAAUAACAGGCAUUUCCUCUACUCUAACAUGGUGAUGUACUUUAAAUUAGAGCAGGCAUUGGGAGUAUAACCACUUAAUCCAAAUUAGAAUUGUAUGUUUCUUUUAUUUUGUCAAUGCUUUUAUUUCUUUUCUCAUCUGAGGUUAUUGUUUGCUUUGGCCGAUGAACAUCAUUGAUUCACAGAAGAAGAAAGCGAACACAAUAACAAGAUAAAACUAAGAUGAUUCUGUUUCUUCAGAUAAAAUGUGUCUAUUAAUUAUUGAGUUCUGGAAUUUUGUGAUGCAUUCACGGCAUUUUGAUAAUUUGUGUAUGAUUGCAAUGAAAUAAAUUGCCAAGGGUUUCAUAACAGCCUAGGAAUUUCUGCUUUUAGAUCCCGAACUCGAGGCCGAAAACGUGGUAGGAAGUCAGCAGCAAGAUCUGCUCUGGAUAUUCUUCACAUCAAAACCGAAAUCGAUGUUUUGGCAAAGGAUGAUGAAGAAUCAAAGGAUGAGGAGGAGAAUCUCAGAAGUGAAACUCUCACGGAUGCAAGUAAAUCUAGCAACUAGAAGCUUAGCUGCACAAUCUAAAAAAGCAUCUCAGCAAUAACUCAACUGAUAUGCAUGGCAAAUCGCUAUUAUCGCAUCUUGAGAGUGGCAGAUUAAACUGCUCAAAACAAUAUAUGAGAAUAUCAUAAAGCUAACAUCAUGGCACUCUUUGAAGAGCAGAUCUUCUGAAAUUUUGUGGAACUUGAUCUUGAUACAUGCUAUGCAGUCGAUUUCUGCAUUAUAUAUAACCUUGUGAAACUUGUGGGGAUAGUAGUUAGCUCUUAGGCAUAGACAGGGCAUGACUUGUUAUCUCAGCCAUAUGGAGCUCUGGCAUGACUUAUUAGCACAGCCUAUGUUGUAAUGUAUCUCUAGUUUAGGUACCUUUGCUCCUUGGAAUCGCUUUUGGUGCCAGCAUGCUGAUGCUGCAAAUACAUGCUUGGUGGAAGUAACAAGUGAAUAAGGCUACUAUAUAUAUAUUCUGGUGGUAUUCCUGUCUAAAUUGGAACAAGUUCUUGCUUUCAGAACAUUUCCAUGCGUAUAUUCUUUUUUUUUUUUUUUAACAUCUCUGUUUAGAAGUCAGAAAGAUCCAUGCAAUGACUUAAAUUCUUCCAUCCAGAUGAACUGGAAUAUCUUAAUUAAAACUGUGCUUUGCUGACUGAUGAGUGGUCAAAGAAAGAAAAUAUGUUUGUCUUUUGUGCUUUUAAAGUUUUGUGAGGGUUCAUUUGGAUUAGAUUGUGAAUGCAAGGGGUUUAUGGUUUUUUUUGGCACUAUGCAUAACAUAGUCGUUUACAUUUUGCCAUUUGUUCUUGACAAACAUACUAGCUUAAUUCUUUAAACAAUAUAAAAUACAACAGACUUAAAAAGCAAAAUGUCAAAUAAAAAUGGAAUUUUUAUGAAUUUUCUGUUGUUCUCUAGAAUUUUUUUUUUUUGGGAUCUCUCGCUUACAUCCCUUAUUUUUUUCUUGAUGUUGCUUGUCUAGUUUUGUGGUAGUAUAAAUUUGGGUACGAUUAAUUCUGAGUGUAAAAAGAACAAAAUAUUCAAAAUCCCUCCCACCCACCCCCCUUCCCCAAAAAAAAAAAAAAAAAAAAAAAUCCCUACUGGUUUUUUUUGCAUCGAAAUAUAUUUUUUUCACUUUUGGUGAUAUCAUACUCAACAUCCAUCCUAAAACUUUUAUCGUGGAAAAAAAAUUAAUACAGAAUGUGAUGUGAACAAUAUGAUGGCACAUUACACAUAUGCAUAUGAGAAAUUAUUUUCCCUGAAGUACAGUUACAAAGUCCAAAAGCAAAAUUUAGAGUUAGCAUAAUUAUACUUCUUCUGUCCUAUUGAAACUUAAAAUUGUCAGACUUUUCAUUUUUUGAUAUUUUAAAAUGUUUGUCAUGUUAAGAAAAUAAAAAAUUUAAAAUGUUUAUCAUGUUUUUGAGAUUUCCCUUUUUGUCUUUUCUUCUAAUAUAGUCUUUUUAUUUAAUCAUAUUCAUAUUAUCAUUUAAAUUUAAAUUUUAAAUUUGUUAGAAUAAAAUUUAAAAGAGAAAUACAAAUAUCACAAUCAAAAUAUUCUUAAAAAGUUGUAAUAUUGAAACAUGACAAACAAAUUGGGAUGGAGUAACUAAAUGAAAACAAACGUGAAUAAUUUUGGGAUAUUUUAAAAGCAUAAAAACGCAUGUUUAUUUACUACAUUUUUCUGAUCCUAUGAGAAAUAUUAAAUUUUAUUCCCUGGAAAUUUUAGCUAAAAGUCCAAAAUCGGAAGAAAAACAAAAUAGAAAAAUAAAUACAAAAGCCUACGUGAUUCUGCCUUCCAAAUUCUAGAGUAUAACGGAUAGACCAACUUGGCGCCAAGUCUCAAUUCUCGUCUCACACUUAGGCUAGCCUUUUCAUCUCUCUCGUUCGCUACAUCAGUGAUCAUAUUUCUUCGCUCAUCCAAGUUUUUCCUCAGGUGAAUACCAUAUCUCUAUAUUUCUCUGUGUAAUCUCCAGAUUGAGUUCAUUUCUUCCUUGAAUUCUAAGAGUUCAUGGUUUUGCGGUUGAUUAUCCUUUUUUUUGGGGCCAAAUGUCUAUGUGUUUCAUUUUGGUGAUCUUUUGAUUGCCGAACAAUGGUUUUGCGGAUGAUUAUCUUGGUUAAUGGGUUUAUUGUGAAUGAAAAUGCUUGCAACUUUGCAGAUGGUGACUUGUUUCAAAUUGGGAUUUCUGCAUUAUACAUGAAACGAAAUUGUAUGUUUGAAUACCAAUAAAAAGGCCAUGGAAUGAAAACAAAUAAAACAAUCAAACAGGGAACUAAAGAUAAGUUGAUUGAUCUUUUUAUACUGAUUGUUGAAAGACUUCUAUGAACUGAAGAUUUAUACAUUUUCUUUCUGGGUAAGUCUGAAGAUAUAUCUAUUGCUGCUAUUACAUGAUGAUUUGGGUGAAAAGCCACUGGUAUUUGUUGUAUGUUGUCAAAGAGUAUCAAGAACUAAUUAGUUACUUCUUGUUAUGUGUUUGUUGAGUAGUGAUGAAGAGGAAGAGAAACUCGAAUGCAGUUAGAACCCAAAAUGGGGAAAGAGAAGCAGAUGGAGAGAUUGAGAUAACGAGUACUUCCAUACUGGAUUUACCUGAUUUUAUCUUCACGAAUGUUGUGCUGUAGCUGCCAAUUAAGGCGAUCAUCAUGUGCAAGUGUGCUUGUAAACCUUAGCGCCGCAUCAUAUCAGAUCCCCAGAUGCAUUACUCUCGUGCACAGCCUUGUCCUCUGGUUUGGACUUUGGGUAACUCACGAGUUUCCAGAAUGCUUUACCUAAUUGACCAUCUGAGGUUAAUCUGAGCUACAAUUCAGAUUACUAUUCUCCUGAUGGGGUCAACUUGAAGCUGGAUACCAGGUUGAAGAUCCCGCUGCGUAAUGCUCAAAUGGUGCCUCAGAAUCCUAGUGAUGCCAACUUGAGUCUUAGCAGUAAGGGUGGCUCUAAGAAGCGUUGCAUGAAUGUGAGAACCAUUAAAGCGAGGACGAAAGAGCAGAAGUUUCAGAUUGUUAAUUCAUGCAAUGGGUUUCUUUGCUUGUCGGAUCCCUCAUGUAACAAUCCCUUGUGUGUAAUCCAGUAACAGGGGAGUAUUUAAACCUUCCAAAGAUAGAUGAAGUUGAUAACAGCCCGAAAGAUAUAGUAUCUUGUGGUUUGGCUUCAGUGAGGAGACUAACGAAUGUAAAGUUAUUAGAAUGUUUGGUCAAGGAAAUCUGGAUUUUUGUAGUUGCCCGAUUACUGGUAAAGAAAUCUUAGAUGAAAGAGUGGCUGAGGUACAUACACUUGGCUCAGGAUCUUGGAGACACAUUGGUCAUGCUCCACCUUAUAGCUGUGAACUAAAAUUUCCUUCUUAUCUAAAUGGAUCUCUUCAUUGGAUAUGUGUAGAUGACUGGAAGUUCGACUUCAUGUACUCUUUUGACCUUGGCCAAGAGCAAUUUAGAAGCAUUAAGCCAUCUUCUUUAAAGAAUGGCAUGAAGGGUUGGGAUAGUCUGCAUAAUAUGAGCAUGGGCGUCUUAAGAAGUAGCUUGUGUUUGUGUGUUGGCUCAGUCCAUGAUAAAAUCCACAUAUGGAUUAUGCGGAAAACCCAAAACUUGGAAAAAUUCAUUUCCAUUCAGUUGUCUUUUGAUGAUAGGUGGCCUGUUGGUGUGCAACAGCCCAUAAAUUUCUUGGAAAGUAAAGGGUUGUUGAUGUUUCGGAACCCUAAAAGUGCAUUCCUGUACUAACAUCAAAACUGAAUUUGAAGUAGUUGCUCAUACCCCAAGUUUCAUCUCGUUCAAGGAUGUAGUGAUGGGAGAUAAUGCUGAGAUACUGAAUAUCAAUUCCGGAUGAUGGUUUACUACAUCUUAUGGUGUUUAAAUAAAUUACUCUUUUUUGCUAUUCCUGCAUUUUGUCUGCUUCAUACUGUACUAGUUAUUAGGUAUUGAAAAUUCGUUAUGUCUGAUGAAACUGAGAAUGCUUUGACCUUUGCAAGCGAUAGACAUAUAAGUUCUACCUUAUAUUGCAUAUUUUUGGGUAAAAAAUUAAUUGUCACACACCAAGUCUUUUCUGCCAUGUUGAGAACUUAACUUCCUCUGUUACUUGCAUGAUGAGAUCAUGAAUACCACAGCAAACUCGUAUCUUCUGAUGAAUUGUGCUUACUUUGGUUACUGGCAUUCUCCAUUGCCAUCGAUUCACUGCCUUUCAUCUCCAUAUGAUCCUAAUUGUCGAGCUCAAACCUGCAUUGACAUGGAGAUGAAAGGAUCAUAUGGCAAAAGAGUUGCUGAAAUGCUGUCAGCUUUAUGGUCUGUGUUUGCUAAAUGUACUCCAAUUGAAUUAUUGCUGAGUGGGUUCAUUACUUUAAAGAGUUGUACCAAGAUAUACAGUAGUAAACAUGCUGGACUUUUCAUCCGUAAAAUGAACCUGGAUGCUAAUAUUCAGUGCAGUUAUGUGCAUUAACCAUAUCCAGUGGUAUCCAUCCACUGGCUAAAUUUCUUUUCGACAUUCUUUACAAAUUUUAGUACUUGCAGAAUCCAGUAGUGAUGCUUCAAAGGUUUGAUUUCUUUGAUAUGAUAUAGGUGCAAUGAGUCCAAGCUGCUGGGAGGAACCAAAGCUCUCUUCUUGGUAGAAGAACUCAGGGAUUUGGAGAUGGACACAGAUUCCUCUUAUUACAGCGACCAAGAAUGAUCUACUGCAGAUUAGCACACUUGGGAAAGCACUUGAAAUGUUUUGAGAACUUAGUGCCUGCAGUUGGAACUUGGAAGCUGUUUCCCCUUUGUUAUUGGCGAAUCUACAUGCUUUUGCUAAGUUAUAAUUUCAUGAUAACUAUUUUAAAACAAUGCCGAGCACCUCCUUUAGAUGUAUGACUGAUUUGAAGCUUGAUGUUUUAGUCAUCAGCAACCCAUGGAAAUGUUUACUCUCUUUCAAGUUACUCUGUCCACCUAUUAUGUAUGGUAGCAACAAUUAGACCUCUCUAAGAGAGGCUCUUAAAACACGCAUCCGAUUCUCGGGCACCUUAAGGGAAUCGGACACCUUAAGGAGUCCCUUAUCGAGUCUCAUUCUAAAAAUUUGACAUAUGUAACAAUUCAUGUGAUUUCUCUAAUUCAAUCCUGCCCCGAAACGUAUUUGGCUAUUCUUUUCGCUUGAAUAUUAUGAAAUCCAGUCAGUGCAUUAAUGAUCCAACCAAUGAGAAAUCAUAUCAAACAAAAAUCCAUAAACCCUAAAUCCAUAAUCAGAAUUAUUCUAAAUCCUCUUAGCAUCCGAUGUUUUCCGUCACUCUUUACACCUUUUUUUAUUUGAAUAUUUGUGGUUGAUUUGGAAUUCCAGAAAAUCACUAUCAAAUAUCUGUGAUUUACUUGACUUGGAAUUCUAAAAAAUUACUACUCCUUUUAUGAAAAAUAAAUUUGUUUGAAGAUGUUAAAUUUUUAGGAUGAGACCCAGUAGAAAGCUCCUUAAGGGAGCUGAGGAUCCGAAAUUAGUGCCAUUCUCAAAAGAUUAGUCCUACAGAAAUUUCAUGAAGUAUAGAAUACAUGAAAAGUUUCCUUUUCUCGUAAGUUGGAUUUGUUUUUGUUUCAAAACCCCUCUUUGCUUUCCGUAAUAGGUGGUUUCUUGCAAUUUUCCCAUCAACAUCAAUUUUCCAAGGGACAAUCUUUAACAUGCAUUUACCUUACAAAAAGUGCAAGUAUAUUGUGAGGUAUCAUGUGUUGGCAUAUUAUAAGAAUUUUUUCCGAAAGAAUAUGAGAAGUCCAAAAGAAAAAUCUAGAAUUGGAAAAAUUUUAAGAAUAAAAUCGAAUGUGAUUAAUUUUGAUUAUAGUUGAAAAUUACAAGGUAAAAUACAGGUUUAUAAACAUAAUUUUCUGAAUACCAUAUAUGAUCAACUCUAAAUUUUGUUUUCUGAAAAUGUAUCAAAAAGUUCAAAAAUGACAAAAGCAAGUACGUACAAAAUCCUAGCGACUCUGCUUUCUAUUUUCCCGCCAUUGAAGUAAACUGCAGGCCAAUUUGGCGCCAAGUCACAAUUCCGGAUACAUUUGGGCUUGCCCCUUCAUCUCUCUCUCUCUCUCUCCCAUUUUCAAACUUUUCUCUCAGGUACACAUUUCUCUAUCUGACUAUCAGUAAUCUCCAGAAAAAAUUAAUUUAUUUACUCCUUGCAAUCUAGGAGUUUGUGGAAAGUUUUUUUUGGCUAAAUGACUUUGAUCAAUGUAUAUGUAUGUUUUUCUUUUUUCUUUUGAUAUUGUGAUUGCAGAGCAAUAGUCUUGCAGAUGAUUAUCUUUAUUAAUGGGCUUCUUGUAAAUGAAAACUCUUGAAAUUUACAUCUGCGGACCGAUACUAACUUGUUUCGAAUUGGGAUUUCUGUAUUUUUGCAUGAAAUCAAGAAAUAUGUUUCGAAUACCAAUGAAGAAAAAAAGAGGAACUAAACAUAAUUUGUGGUCUUUUUAUAUGAUUUUUCCGACUUUACUUAUGAUUGUUCAGAUUUUAAAGGCUUCUAUAGAAUGAAGAUUUAUACAUUUCUCGUAUUGAAUGAUGAUGUGGCUAAAGUUUUUGCUCCUCAGAUGUCUGUUUCAUGUUGUCACACAAUAUCUUGAACUAAUUUGUUGCUGCCUGUUAAGUGUUGAUGUUGAUCGAUUUUUUGCUUUGGACUUUCUUGUAGAGUAAUGAUGAAGAGGAAGAGAAACUCAAAGGCAGUUGGAAGCCAACAUGUGGAAAGAGAUGCAGAUGAAGAGACUGAGACAAAGAGUACUUCUAUACUGGAUUUACCCGAUUUUAUCUUUAAAGAUGUUGUGCUGCGACUCCCACUCAAGGCAAUCAUCAUGUGCAAGUGUGUUUGUAAACCUUGGCGCCGUAUCAUAUCAGAUCCUCAGUUUGCUAAGAUGCAUUUUGCCAGUGCACAGCCUUGUCCUCUGGUUAGGACUUUGGGUAACUCAAGAGUUUCAAGAAUGCUUUACCUAAUUGAACCGUCCGAGAUUAAUGUGAGCUACAAUUCAGAUAACUAUUCUCCUGAUGGGGUUAAUUUGAAGCUAGAGACCAAGUUGAAGAUCCCGCUGCGCAAUGCUGAAAUGGUGCCUCAGAAUCCUAGUGGUGCCAAAUUGAGUCUUUGCAGUAAGGGUGGCUCUAAGAAGCGUUGCAUGAAUGUGAGAACCAUAAAAGUGAGGACGAAAGAGCAGAAGUUCCAAAUUGUCAAUUCAUGCAAUGGAAUUCUUUGCUUGUCAGAUCCCUCAUAUAACAAUCCUCUUGCCAUAUGUAACCCAGUAACAGGCGAGUAUUUAAACCUUCCAGCGAUAGAUGAAGUUGAUAACAGCUUGAAUGAUAUAGUAUCUUGUGGAUUUGGCUUCAGUGAGAAGACUAACGAAUAUAAAGUUAUUAGAUUGUUUGAUCAAGGACGUCCGGAGCUUAUUAGUUGCCCAAUUACAGGUAAAGAAGUUUUUGGUAAAAGAGUGGCUGAGGUACACACAGUUGGCUCAGGAUCUUGGAGACGCAUUGGUCAUGCUCCAUCUUAUGGUUGUGAACUGAGAUUUACUACCUGUCUGAAAGGAUCUCUUCAUUGGAUCCGUAAAGAUGACAGGAAAUUGGAUUUCAUAUACUCUUUUGAUCUCAGCCAAGAGCAAUUUAAAGCAAUUCAGCCACCUCCAUUAGAGCACCGGAUGAAGGAUUGGGAUAAUCUGCGUAAUCUGAGCCUGGGAGUGUUAAAUAAUAGCUUGUGUUUGUGUGUCGGCCCAGUCUUUGAUGACAUCGACAUAUGGGUUAUGCAGAAACAUGGUGAACCCAAAAGUUGGACAAAGUUCAUUUCAAUUAACUUGUCUGUUUAUGAUAGAUGGCCAGUCGGUGUCUACCACCCCAUAAAUUUCCUAGAAAGUAAAGGGCUGUUGAUGUUUCAGUGUCCUAAAAGUGCAUUCAUGUAUUAUGAACCUCAAUUUGAUCAAUGGAAGUACUUCAGAAUUCAAGACAUCAAAAUGAAAUUUGAAGCAGUUGCUCAUACUCCAAGUCUCAUCUUGCUCAAGGAUGUUGUGACUGGUGACAAUGCUGAGAUACUGAAUGUCAAUUCAAGGUGAUGUUUUACUGAGUCUUGAUUUGUCUUAAUUAAACUAUUGCUUUUGAUAUGUUAUUCUUUGUCUCUCCUUUAGGGUACUAGUUGAUGUUGCAUUGGAUCUUAGUCUUGUUCAAUUAAGCUGAGGAUUUAUUUUCCUUUGCAAGGGGUAGACUAAACAAUUACACCCGAUAUUAUAGACCUCUGGGGAAAAAUCUGAUCAUCACAGAUUUAGUUUGUGCAACCAGUUAGGAGCACAUGUAAAUUCCUAUGCUGUUUUGCAUGAAAACAUCACUACUAAAACUCUGCAUCUUCAAAUGAACCAUACUGACAUUUGUUGCUGACGUUCUCUAUAGCUCAAAAUCCAUUAUAUCCGAUAUUAUCAUGCUCAAAAUUGCAUAUCUCUUGUAUGAAUGAGCAAAUGAGAUGACUUGCACUUAUGCGUGUAUAUGCUUAUAAGGCAUUAUUUUUCAUACAUUUUUUACUCAUGUUUUAAAUUGAAGACUUGUAAUUGUGGGUCUAUUUUCUUGAGUUUUAUGUUGAUGCAACACCUGCUCGUGCUUUUCUAGUUGUUGAUUGAGCAUGAUGGUCUCAAAUGAAAUUAAGUGCUAUGCCUGGAUAGAUAGUUUAAUAUAUACUAUUAUAACAGUGUUCAAAGAGGUUUUAUGACUUCAGAAGCUGCAUUUCCUUGUCUAUUAUUUUGUAGUGUCUUUUUUAGAGUUCGCUGUUUUAGCUGUUAAGGACUAAGGACUUGUACAUUUCGUGGGAUCCUCGUGUAUGGCGCUUGCUUGAUGCCAUCAAUCUACUCCGUGUGAUAGAACUUAGUAACUAGGAUUAUAAGUAAUCUUAUCGGCCUGUUGAUCCUGCCAAGUGGUUCAUUUUCCAAAUAGUUUUGCUUUCAUUAAUUUUGAUAUUGUUGUGCAGUAGAAAUGUUUAACUAGAUUUUUUAAUGUGCAAUCAAUCAUUUAGUAUACAAUGACGUAAGGAAAUAAGACUACUAGUUUUGCAGUCCCAAAAUGCUGUCAUUCUUAUGGUAUGUGCUCUGUUUUUUGGUUUACGACUUUCCAUAAGUUUUUUUUAUCAAGUUGUACAGUAUUAGAUACUGUUUGUACACACAUACUGAUUGGCUGCUGUUAGUUUCGGCAAUUAUUAUUUCGUAAUACCCAUAAGGAAUAAUACACAGGUAAGACAACCUUAGCAAUUGGAGAUGGAGCAAAUGAUGUUGGUAUGAUUCAAGAAGCUGAUAUUGGAGUCGGAAUCAGUGGCAUGGAAGGAAUGCAGGUAAAUAUUUGGCUGGCUUCUUUUUUUUUCAUUACUAUUAAUUUCGCGAAUAAGGUUUGAUAAAUUGAAUCCAAGCAUACACAGCAAUUAACUGAGGGAUUCCACAUUGAAAAACAGCAUUUUAUCUACAAGAAUGGAUGACAGCUACUUGCUACUUGUUUAUCAAUUACUAACUAAUAUGGAAUGAGUUUCUGAAACCUUGUGUCAAUGCAACAUGCAGGCGGUCAUGGCAAGUGACUUUUCUUUGCCUCAGUUCUAUUUCUUGGAACGUUUACUAAUAGUUCAUGGGCAUUGGUGUUACAAGAGAAUCUCCAAGAUGGUAAUACUCCAUCCUAUCUUGUGUUGCGUGUAUGCAAGUGCCCAGAAAAGAAAGAUAAUCGACUUUAUUAAGGUUCACUGACACAAAUUUUGUUCUGCUGCAGAUUCUCUACUUCAUGUACAAAAAUGUUGCAUUUGGCUUGACAUUAUUCUACAAUGAAAUUUACAGCAAUUUCUCCGGUGAUGAUCUGUAUGACGAUUGGUAUAUGGUCCUAUUCAAUGUUCUGUUGACAUCUUUGCCUGUGAUUGCACUAGGUGUUCUAGAGCAGGAUGUUUCAGCUGAUGUCUGUCUGCAGGUGAGAAGAAACAAGUUCUACGAUUUCAUAACACUAGCCUUCAUUGUUUGAAACCUCAGAUAAACAUGCAAUUCUCACGCGUCCCCAUCCCUACUGUCCCCUGAAAAAGCUAAUCUUCUUGCAAGAUUUUAACUUGAUUAACCAUUUUACCGUCACUGGAAUAGUUUCCAGCACUUUAUCAACAGGGACAAAGAAACAUAUGUUUCAGCUGGAAACGUAUCUUUGGCUGGAUAUUGAAUGCCACUCUUUCUUCUGUAGCUAUCUUCACAGUCACCAUAUACAUAUUUUCUCCAGCUGCACUCAGACAAGAUGGAAAGGUGGCAGAUCUAGCACACAUCGGUACCAUCAUGUAUACAUGUGUAAUCUGGACAGUAAACUGCCAGAUUGCACUCAUAGUCACACACUUCACUUGGAUUACCCAUGUUCUGAUCUGGGGAAGCAUCUUGUGCUGGUAUAUCUUCUUAGUCUUGUAUGGUAUGCUUCCUCCUGAGCAUUCUCAAGGUGGUUUUCACAUCCUUAUUGAGGCCAUUGGGACUGCACCAAUGUAUUGGAUUGUAACAUUUCUUGUAGUAGUUGUUACACUCCUUCCAUACUUCAUUUUCAGUAUAAUCCAAAGAUCAUUCUACCCCAUGGAUGAUCAAGUGAUCCAAGAGAUCAAGUACGGUAGAACGGAUGUAAGCAACAAACCAAUGUGGUUGAGGGAGCAGCAGAACUCCAGGAAGAGGACUCAAAUUGGAUUUUCUGCAAGAGUUGAUGCAAAAAUUCGUCACUUGAAGGAAAGAUUGCGCCGAACGAAAAAAUGAAUAUACGAAUUUGUCACAAAUAGCUAGUUUAACAAUCAGCUGGAACCAGUCAAGUGACUAAAUGAUUAUUAAGUGUAUAACUUCCUCAUUAUCAUCGAAGUAUAUUGUAAUUAUUUAGCAAGUUAGAAAAUAAAGCAUGGCUAGCAGCUUUAGCAAGGCUUAGAGUUAUGCAGGUGAAGUCCCUAAUCUGCAUUUCUUGCGAACUUAACUUGUCUUGGCUGUGAUUUCUGGUUCUUUUUGGAAGGAAAUUAAACCGAACUGUAUUACCUAAUCUUUUAGUCUAUUGUUUGGUGUGUUGUUUGUCUAGUUUCCAUAUUAGAUUAGGGAAUCUCAAUCAGUUUCCAGUUAGGUUUUGAUUUACAUUUGUAUUUGUUUUAGGAAGUUUUAGAGUUUAUAAAUAUUACUAGUUUAGUAGGUUAUUAAUUAAAGAGUAGAGUUAGGUUGAAUUGAGUCUUUAAAGAUAGAUUUGAGAGAGUCUCAUAAUUGAAUUUGUAAGUUGUCAUUAGUGAAAGGCUAUGACUUGAUAUUUGUUUUUGUUGAGUUUUGAAUUAAAUAAAUUAUUGACUAUUUGUUCUCCUUCUCUUCCCACAUAUUUUUAUAUGUGUCAAAAUUGCUUCCGCUAUACACGUGAUUUUUUGUGCCAACAAGUGGUAUCAGAGUUCUAGAUUCAAGAGUUUGAUUUUGGGUGUCUUUGGUGGUUGGAAAGGUGCAAAAUUUUUUGAUAGAGAAACCUAUACCAUAAAAAGGUAUAAAGGUUGUUAUACGUAUAUUAAAAAAUUGAAUCACAAGAGUUGGUUUUGAAGUACUAGUUCAUUGAUUGGAAUUAGAAAAAAGACCCUAAUUGGACAAAGGUCUAAAAAGAAGGAUUCUGUCAUGAUUAUUGAUGUUAUGCAGUGAUCAAAACAAAAAAGAUCGUGUCAGAUUGUUGAUUGUCAGUUUGUCACAAUAAAAUUUGAUCAAAUCUGAAGCCAGGGAAGUCAAGAAAUUCAAGAAGGGAAGAAAAAAAAUAUUUGUCAAGAUAAGUAAAUUAUUUUGAGUUGUCAUGGAUAGAGAAUUUGUAAGUGAUGAAAAAUUUAAAGUUUUACGCACAUUUAGUGGUGAUAAAGAAAAAUCUGAAUGGUCAAGAAUAAUGCACAAAUAUCUUAAAAAGUGUGGUUUGGGUGAAUUUCUUAAGAUCAAUCAAAAGAAAUUAAGAGAAGGAAGGUCAGAUUAUUUUUCAAAAUAAUGCGAAAAUCAAUGGUUGAAAAGUAUUAUAAAAGGCUUAUCAUCUCUAAUCAAUUGGCUUAGUGGUUUUGGUUAGAUCUCUUUUAUAUUUUGAUGAUAGAAUUUUCAUAUGAAUAUAAUUCUAAGUCAAAAAUUGGUUUGGAACGCAAAGUUAAUUUAAAGAUGAUGUGUUUGUUGAUGAUAAAGAGACUUUUGAAAUUUUUGUUAUGGUUGAAAAUUAUAAUUUGCAUAUUUUGUUUGGGAUGAUUGAUGAAGAAGAAAUUUGUGAUGGAAAAAGAAGAAAAAGAAGUUUUUGAUGAGGCAAAUAAAGAAGAAAUUGUGGGUGCACAUGAAAAUAAAGAAUUUGUGACUCAAGAAAAAAUUUUACAAGUUAGUUGAGAAAGAAAGUGAAAUCAUUGGUCAAAGUAAAGAGGUGAUUAAAGAUCGUGACAAUGUAGAAAUUGUUAAUUUUGUUGAGAUUGAUAAAUUUUUUGAAGAGAAAAAUCAUGUGAUGGAAUUGGUUGAUAUCAAUUAUGAAGUGGAUGAUUUAGUUGAAAAUUGUGACACUAUCAAGGUUGAUGCAGUUGUCAAUGUGAAUCAAUCAACACAAAAAUAUGGUGAGGUUAAAAAUCUUGGUGAAAAAAAUUAUGAUUUUUUUGGUUUUGGGAGAUUUUAUUAGUGACAUGGAUGAAUUGAAUUAUGGAGUAUUAGAUGAAGAAUAGGUGGAUAUGUUUGAAUUUUUUGACAAGAGUGAUCAAUCGAAGAAAUUACUCAAGAAGUAUAAGAUUCAUCCACUACUACGUGUAAAAAUGAAAUUGAAAACCAAUCAUAAGUUGAGAUUGAAUGUUGUGUCUAUCGCAAUCGAGUUUUUCAUGGAGAGUCAAACUCGUGAUAGCAUUGGAGAUGACAAUGAAGAGUUUGGUUUAAGAGAGACAAUGAAAGAAAUUAAACCAAACUGUAUUUAGUUUUGCAAUCCAUUUAGUUAAUUGUUUUGGUGUGUUGUUUGUCUAGUUUUCAUAUUAAAUUAGGAAAUUUCAAAUCAGUUUUCAAGUAAGUUUUGGUUUACAAUUAUAUUUGUUUUAUGAAAUUUUAGAAUCUAUAAAUACUACCAGUCUAGUAGGUUAUUAAUUGAAGAGUUGACUUGAGUCUUGAAAGAUAGAUUUGAGAAAAAGUCUCAUAAUUGAGAUUUGUGAGUUGUUGUGGGCUAAAGGUUAUUGAUAUUUAUAAUUGAGACUUGAUAUUUGUUAUUGUUGAGUUUUGAAUUAAAUAAAUUAUUGAGUAUUUGUUCUCCUCCUUUUCCAAUAUAUUUUUAUAUGUGAUAAAAUUGCUUUCGCUAUGCACGUGAUUUUUGUGUGCCAACAUUUUUUAACUUCAUUAAAAUGUAUAUCCAAACAUAAUUUGUUAAUGAAGGAAAAGCAAGGAAAGAAAGUAGGAUCAAUGGUAAUUUUAUCUUACCCGUUUUGUUUUCAUGGGCAAAGAACAUGGCAAAAAGUUACAAAGUUUGAGAUGGAUUUAAACAUGGGAUAAUUUCAGAAACUUCUCCUCAGGUUUCUGAAAGGUUUUUGACUAUUUUCACUGAUCUCCCUCCAAAUUUUAAAAAUUACAUUAAUCUUCCUUGAGGUUUACUAUCUUAUAAUAGGGAUAAUUUCAGAAACCUCCCUUGAGGUUUCUAACAAUUUCACUGAGGUCCCUUAAAAUUUGAAAAAUUACACUUACCUCCCUUGAUUUGAUAGUUUUAGUAACAAAACCUUAAAAUAAUAUUGACUUGGUCAAAUUUUAAGUGAAUACCCAAAAAUGCCCUGUGUAAUGAGUUUUAAUUUACUUUUUCAUACAAUUAUAAGAUUAUCUUGUAUAAUUAUAAGGAAAAGAUACCAAAAUUUUCAUGUUCAUAACUUCUAUUUGAUAAACAACUAUAAUAAUAGUAAUAAUAAUAAUUUUAUCACUAUGAUAUGAUACUUUUGAUGGUAUUUUAUUAUGGAUUUAGAUUUAUAAGAUAGAAAAGAAAAUGAUUCAUUUAGAAUUUAUAAAUUUUUUGAGCAGUGAGAUUAUCAUAAUUUAGUACUGAUUUUGGGUUAUUUCUUUUUGAUGUGUUAUUAAUUUUAAUGCCAAAAAAUAGAAAACAAAGAUCAACAAAAACAUUGGAUUGCAUAGAAAGUUAACUGAUAAAAAAUUUACUAGUUUGACAUUUGGUUACAAUAGAAACUAGAAGUAAUAGUAGUGUUAAUUCUAUAGUUUUAUUGGAAAAAAUUUUUUAAAAAUGAAUAAGAAUGAAAGAAUGAAAAAAUAAUUUUUAAAAGUCAUUGUAAAUAUAAGCAUACCAAACAAGGGAAUUUCAUUAAAAUAUUUAAGGGUAGUAUUGUCAUUUUAAAUGACGAGUGAGGUAUGUAUAAUUUUUAAAACCUCGAGGAGCUAAAUGAAAUUGUAAAAAACCUCAACGGAGGUUUCUGAAAUUAUCCCCUUAGAAUAUUUAGGUCCAAUCAACAAUUAAAAAGUGAUAUUAGAACAGAGAAGAUAAUAUGAUUUCCCAUUAUCGCUCAUUUACUAAAUUGUUUGAUUAAUCUAAUAUUUGCCCAAAUACUAAAGAAAAUAUUAGAAUUUGUUGUUAUCAUCAGUAAUUAAAUCACAUAUAGUAUCAAAAAUAGUGCAUCAUUUUAUAUAUUUUACUUAUUGUAAGAUCUCAAUUGCACAUUUCAGUUAUAAAUCCAUUAUCAUACAUGAUUAACAACAAAUAAUGAAAAAAAAAAUUUGUAACCAAAAUAUUAUAAAGUGCAAGUUUUAAUACCAUAAAAAUAUCAGCAACUAACUUUAAUAUGUUGACAAGAAUAUUUAUGAUGUUAAAGUUUGUUCUCUAUAAUAUUUUAGUUGCAAAUUUUUUAUUAUUUAUUAUUGAUCAUAUUUAACAAUUGGUAUGUAAUUAAAAAGAGUAAUUUGGAUCUUAUAUUAAGUGAAAAAUAUAAAAUGAUAUACUAUUUUUUGAUGUUAUAUGUGAUUUGAUCCUUAAUGAUAAACAUCAAAUUUUAGUAUUUCUCUUUAAUGUGUGGGUUGGUAUUAAAUUAAUUAAAUGAUGUAGUAGAUGAGGGGCAAGAAUAGAAUCAUAUUAUUUUCGCUAUUUUAAUAUCACUUUUUAAUUAUUGAUUGGUGCUAAAUGUUACAAUAUAAUUAAUCUCAAUGAAUGUUAUUGUAAUUUUUGAAACUCAGAGGUUUCUGAAAUUAUUCCUAAAAACCUCGGGGAGGUUUCUGAAAUUAUCCCUAAAAACAAACAUUACAGAGGAAAUUACAAAUUGCACCAAACUUUGAGGGCCUCAAAGUACUUAACGCCAUUUCUGAAGUAAUCUGUCUUCUCUGCUCAUUAAUUUGCAGGUGUUCUCCGACUCCAUCGGUCUCUCUCUAAUACACGUCACUAACUAUUUUCAGCGAGAGGUUAAAAAUGGUAAUUAAUUGUAGUUAAAUUAAGCAAUCCAAAAUUAGAGCCGGAUUCUAUUUCUAUGGAAUGUUAGAUAGAAUAGGGAAAGAAUUGCCGUGCAAACUUGAGAGUGCCAUUUAUCACCUGAGGAUUAAAGGGUUCCACUGCAAACUAGAAAGUUAGUAAAAUUUUGAUCACCUGAAGAUUAAAAGAUCAUUGAUUUUAUUUCAAGAUUUUUUGACCCUUUUCAGUUUAUUCAUUUUUCUGAUCAGUUUUUACUUGUGUUUUGCAGCCCAGCUGAAUAUUGAAAGAUGUCCGUCAAUGCAGAUACAGAUUCACCAGGUAAUCUCUACUAAAUGCAAGAUUGAUUGUAUUCUUGAUUCAGUUUCUUUAGAACUUUUAACAGGGAAGUUAUAAACCAAGUGAAAUGGUAUAACUUGUACGUUUAAGGUAUUUUGUUAUCUUAAAAUGUACCGCAUUAGGCUUAAAUCUUGCUUCAGGUGACACAUGUAUCUAAUUUUAAUUGUCUACGGAACAUAGCUGUUAAGAGUUAAAGAUGCUAGAAGUAUUUCUUUUCCGUGCUAAAUAUGCUAGGAAGCCAGUUCAUGUUGUUCCGCAGACAAAAGUUUGAAAAGAGGAAAUGCUGUUUUUAAAGUUGAAACCAGACCUAAGUUUCGGAGGAGAUCUAAGAUGUCCAGGCCCAUAGCAGGAUAUAAGUGAUAAGCCUGCCUUUUAAGUAUGCAACAGAGGCCGUAUCUUAUAAUCUUACUGUAAUGAUGCUGACUUGAAUAAUUUGCAACAUAUCAGAAAGAAAUGAAGAAUAAUCUAAUUCCAGAAGCCUAGGUGCAGAGUUUCUUUUUUUUUUUUUUUGGGUUGUCUCAAAUGUGGUUAUAAUGCCUCAAGCUACAGUAAGAAGAUUUAGUGAUGCAGAUGUUACUGCUCUAGCUGUUUGGAAGUAUGUAACUAGCUUUUCUUGUCAGCUGUAUCAAGCUUUUGUCUGGAUUAGAUGUAUAGGAUUUCAGAGUGUUGCAUUGUUUUCCUUUUAUUUUCUGUGGGAAGAGAGACUUGGAGAAAAGUUUUAUAUCUAAGCCUGUAAUUAUUCUCCCUGCAGAAUAUUGAAACAUCAGACUGGCAAUUUUAAACAUCAGAUGAAGGGUGCAGCUACUACAUUCCGUAAUGAACAUGAUCCAUUUGAUUUUAUAAGAUUUUUAUAUGGUAGGUUUAUGCUUUCUAUGUUAUUCUUGAAUAUCAUUGUUGGGUCAAAAGAAAUGUUAACAUAGCAUGGUUAACAUAAGUUUUGUACCGAUGAGCUUUACAUCUACAGACAAAAAUUGCUAGACCUUGUGCAUUAUGUUGCAAAGACAUAUUACUACAAAAUCUGUUGCUAUUUUCAUUUAUUAAUAGCAAGUAGCUACAUGCUUUGUAUGUCCAUAUAGUUUUUCAAUUCUUUAAUUUUGUGGAUUGGAAUUCUUUUCUUUAGUUUUGGGAAGCAAGUUUUCGGUGGGAAUAUAAAGGACAACUCAACAAUGGAAAGCUUGAAAUGAGAUUUGACAAUAAUAUUAUAUAGCAUAAAAGUGGCUUUUAAUUGGUCUGGAUUAUGAUUUUUGUGGGUUUAUCAGCCCUAUCUGUCUCCAUGUAACCAGAUAAUUGUCUAAUGGAUGGUGUAAGUCCUUUUUUUUGGGGGGGGUAAAAUAGUGCAUGCAUUAGUCUCACAAUCCAAGCCGCAGGGAAUGGUUGUUUUAGAUUACAUAUACUGAAAUGUCUUGUAUAUUGGUUUGUGAACAACAAAACGACCUCUAAACAAAAGUAUGUUGAAGUGAGUGCAUGAAAUUUGAAAGUAGUGUAGUCUGACUGAAGCUUAUAGAUGAGAUGGCUGUGUGGAAAUGUCUAAAAUUGGGGUUCUUGCUUUGAAUAAUUGAAUUACUACCACAUGUUUUAACUUUAGGUCGAUGCUAAAGCAUUAACAAAGUUCAGGAACUUGACAAAUGAACUUUUAGUUCUGCUUGCAUUGCUUGGCAUCAUACUAAAAUAUUGGUAACUGACAGUCCUAUCAUAUAGCACUACAAUUUAUCUGUAUAAAUGACUGGCAUGUUCUAGAUAGAAAUGUGUUACCCUUUCAUUGGAAAAGUUGUUUUAUAUAUAUUGGUAGUUUUGUCCAAUCUACAACCCUUUGCAGUAUUCCAUUGUAUGGUUUUGCAGAGGGUGCUGUAGCUGGAGCCACAGCUGGUGUUGUCGUUGAAUCUGUUCUGUACCCAAUUGACACCAUCAAAACAAGACUUCAAGCAGGUUUAUUUUGUUAACACAUUUUGUUGUAGUCUUGUAGAUUAAAAAGUAGCUGAUUAAAAAGAUCAGAUGACAGUUCCACCUGUUGUUUGGUGAAGCUUUACAUUGACGUAUUUCUUCUUGUGAACUGAGGUGAUCUGUUUUGCUUUUCAUUGUUUUAUGGUAGGCAGUUCAUGGUGGAGGAAAGAUCAUAUUAAGGGGUCUUUACUCCGGAUUGGCUGGAAAUCUUGUUGGGGUCUUACCGUAAGUACUUAUAACUGCAACUGCUGUUUUUCUUGUGCUCUACGAGAAACAGAUAGAUGAUAAUGUCAUACAAUGCAGUCUAAAGUUGAUUUGAGCAACCUUGAUUAUGUAGAUUGGGUAUAGAGGCUGCAAUUAUAUUGAAGAUAACUUCUUCCUGUAGAUAUGGCCAUAAUUUGAUUUACUAGUUUUCUAUGUGUUCUGGGAGAAGUGAUGGGACAUUUAUAUUCUUUUCCUAAGAGAUAUAUUAUGACCUACACCUAUUGUAGCUGGAGAGAGACAAAGAGCCCAAACCAGUGGCAGCAUGUUCUUAAUCAGAGAGUCUUCAACUUGGCCUUUAAACAAGAAAAACUUCUUUGUUGUGAUCCAUUAAAUAGUUGUCUUAAUUGACUGGAUCACUUCAAGAAUUGGCGCCACUUAGAAAUUAGAUAGUCAUGGCUUUAUGCACAGCAGGACAUUAAGGGCGCAUCUUAAGUGUUUCUUGUGGUACUUCUACAUGAGCUUCUCCGGGAAUGUAUUUUUGAAUACAAUUGCUUAUCAUGAGACUAAGUCAGAUAAUAGGAAACCCAUUUGCAGAGUGAUGUAGAUGGUUUCUUCUGGAAUCUCUUGAGUCUUUUUAAGAUAACAAGAAGCUUAUACAUAAGGGAAACUAGUGAAGCUUGUAAGGUUAAUGGGUAAGCUUAAGGUAUCAUGCGGCUGGAUGUGUUUAUGUGUAAUCAUUUAAGCAGUCUGCCUCUUUGAAUACUGUGAAGCUCUUAUGACAUGCAUUAAAAACUGUUCACCUGGUUUGGUAUGAUAAGACAUACUAAAUUUUGAAAAUAAUGUAUGUGCUUCGUUACUCUCCAUGAUUUACAUGUUUGGAGGAAGCAAAAUUAAUAUGUUAUUUUUGUUGUCUUUAAUUUUUGAGUCUGUGUUUUCUCCUUCUUUAGCUGCCUUUGCAAGUAAUAUGUGACCACAGAGGCAUGAGAAAGUGGUAAAUCGAGCCACAGGUUCCUUGGAAGGAGUCUAGAAGGAAGAAAUAUAUAAAGUGGUUCUUAAUGAUAAUUAAGAAACAUUGCCUAUGGUAGUCUGAAAAUGGUUAACUGUGGUGCUUUCUGUUUAAUAUAGCCAAAUUGAAUUCUUGAAUCCUGACAUGGGAAUCACUAACAUUAGUUGCACAAAAAAUUUAAUAACUUGUUUAUCUAUUUAUGGUGGCAUUAUCUGCAUCUGCAAGGAACCUGCAUAAUUUCUGAUACCUGUGUUGUACUUUUACUUCUUGCAUGAAGAAAUUUGUUGAAGCUUUUUGGAGUUAUAGUCUUUAUGGGAAUAACUUUAACUGCUUUUCAUUGUUCUUAGCGAGAGUGCAGGACAAGUCUUGACAAAUUUUCUAACAUUUUGCAGGGCAUCGCAAUAUUUGUUGGUGUAUAUGAACCCACAAAGCAAAUGCUUUUGAAGAGCUUCCCUGAAAGUCUCAGCGCCUUGGCUUAUUUGGUUAGUUUUGAAACUAUACAAUAUAAAAGUGCCAUCUCUUUAAUGGCGUAUUACAGUUGCUGCUUCUUUCUAAAUUGAUUUAACUGCAAAUUGUUACAUUGAUACAACAAUGAAGAAAUUAAGGAGUUAUCUUCCAGUAGCAGAUUCUACUCUUUGAUUUAAAUGCCUCCUGUAGUUCCUAUUGGGAUGGCUAAUUUGUAAUUCGAACUAAUCAUCUUCAAGAUCAUAAUUAACUCCUGUCUCUUUACUUUUCUGCUAACUCCAUUUUUUUUUCCUGAUCCAGGAAAUCUAAUUAUAUCUGCUCAAACUUUUUCAUUAUUGUUUAAAUACCUUUUCAUUUGGGGCAAAACUAAGUGUAGAUAGCUGAUAGGAGUUGUCUAAUAGCUUUAAUUGUAUUUCUAUAGUGAUGAAAUGAGCUAAAUCAAAACUUUCCUAUGUCUUAUUGACUGAGACAAAAAAGAAAUAAUUGUCUUCCAUGUUUUAAUUUGCAAUGUUUAAAGAUUUUGAAUGCUUUUUCAGACAGCAGGUGCUGUGGGUGGGGUGGCAUCUUCUAUUGUUCGUGUUCCAACUGAGGUAUUCAAAGUUGGUUAUUCUGUUUUAUUUAUGGGUGUUGUAUGAAAUCCUUAUCUUUUAUAACUACUUAGGUUGUUAAGCAAAGGAUGCAGACUGGACAAUUUUCAUCUGCCCCCAAUGCUGUGCACUGUAUUGUAGCAAAGGAGGGCUUUAGAGGCCUCUAUGCUGUACGCCAUGCUCUUAUCUUUCAGGGUCUAAAUCUUUGUUUAAGGUGCUAUAGGUUUUCCAUCUUUUGAAAGUCUUUUACUGCACGUUUGCCUUCACCUUUAUCUUUACUAUUGCAGGGAUUUGGAUCCUUUCUGUUGCGAGACUUGCCUUUUGAUGCUGUACAGUUCUGUAUCUAUGAGCAGCUUAGAAUAGGUUAUAAAUUAGCGGUAAGAGAUCCAAAUAAUUAUUCUUUCAUUUACUAAAGAGGCCUAAUAUUUUCCCGUGGAAAUGAGAUUUUAUUUCCUACUUUGAUGUAGCAGGCUUAGAAGCAUCUCACAAAGUUAUAAAAUAGCCAAACUAGUCAACCUCUAACAAGAUAAACUGAGCACAUUCCCAUAUCUUUUGAAAAAAUGAACACUAUUGUUGUUCAACUGUGCCACCUGAUAUUUCCAUCUUCUUUUUUUGGUAAUUGGUUGAUCUCUGGAAAGAUGGCUUGUGUAGUGUCACUUGAGUAGAAAUCUAUGGCUUAUUUUGAUAAUGGAUCAUUAACAAGGACUAAAUUUGUCAUGACCAUAUAAAAGAUUUAUUGCCUUUGUUCUACAGCUUCUCAGCAUCCACUCUACUUUUGAAGUAUGGUUAUUUAUUGUUUUGCUAACUUUUUUGCAGGCUAGAAGGGAUCUGAAUGAUCCUGAAACUGCAAUGAUUGGUGCUUUUGCUGGUAACUACAAUCUUGUAGGAUUUUGUUUUUGAAAUGCAUAAGGGUUUCAUCAAUUAAUAUUUUCUAGUCUUCUGCAACGCUCAAUAGUGGUCAGGUUGUGAAAUUUUCCUGAUUAGUAUGGUUACAUAUAUUAGCUGUAGAGUUUGACUUUGUUAUGUUUGUCACCGGUUGCUUUUCCGUUUAAUCAAUGCUUAAGAAAUUGUAAGAUACUGCAAAAGCAAGGUUUGAAUGCUUAUGAAUGCUUAAGAGAGUUGACAAGACAAUGCGAAAUGAGAGGUCAAUGCUGUUCUAUCCCUUCCACAUUGACAAGACGGUGAAUUGACUUUCUUGGAAAAGGUAUUGUAAUGCUCAAACAUAGCAACUGGAAUGCACCUGCUAGUUGUCUCGUACCCGAAGCUGACUUAACAUGGUAAAUGUCGUUGAAGUUACCUUGAGAUUUGUCCUAAAACAAAACUAUUCUGUCUAAGUAAGAUGACUACAACUUCUACAUCUAUGAGUAUUAGUCUCUUCAUAUUACCAGUAAGGGACUGAAUUUCAUGUUUAUACCUUCCUGAAAAAUUAAAUAAAAAUUUAGGAAUUAUUCUGACAACUGCCCUUGGAUUUAAACACUGUCCGCAACACAACAUUAAAGACUGAGUCAGACAGCAGAAAUAAUGUGACAUAUUCAAAUUGAAAUGGUUUGUACACCAGUGAAGUACAAACCACAAUUAAUUCUUUUGUAGUAAAUGGCAAGUUGAUGCACCUGCUCCUGUCUUAGAUCUAUCAUGUCUUUGCUUGCACUUUUUAAACAUCUCCUGAUUAACCUUUCUAAUGAAAAUGAAUUCAUUAAUAAUAGACAAUACCAUGAUCAAUUUUUUUUUUCCCGAUACGAAUUCCAUGGUCACUAUAUUAUUGUUUGUGGUUGUGAUUCCUACUUCUACUCAGAGUGCUUUGAUUCCAAGCUCCUGUUAAUGUGGUGGUCUCCAUUGCUUUUCACAACUUCAAUCCCUGCUUCCUGGUCUCCUUUUUUUUUUUUAUAAUCCACUCCAUGUAUGUCCAUAGGUUCAUCUUUAUGAAAGCAGAUGCACUCCAUUUCACUAGCAGAACUGUCUAAUUGCCUUUUCUGCAACUCUAGUUCUAGAACGGUGGGUGCAUCAUCAGAGGCAUGUGGUUACAUAGUUGAAAUACAAGAGACGUUCAUAAGAACCCUUGAGAACUUUCCCCAUUAACCUUUUUAGCAUAACGCUUAUUAUACUUUUACCAAAAUAAAAAGCUCAAGGAUCCUUUUGUUAAUCUAGUUGCUGAUGCUGCAAUACUGCACAGGAAAUCUUGCCUAAUUUGCACACCAUGCUGAUCCAGGUAUUAUGCAGUCUGCAUCUGACUGCAAAAUUGUGAUCCUUUGGGUGACUAGCAGUGAAUUCAUUUUAGUCAUCUUACUAAUACCUUUCUCAAUGUAUUUGAAUUUGUGAAUUCUACUCUUGUGGCUCACUCAAUAUUAAAGAAUGAUUAACCAUGGUUCCACCUCUUCCGCAUGCAUAUCAGUGAAACUGAACAUCCAAUCUUAUAUGGGAAUCUCUUGGAUUUCUUUCUUGUUAAUCAACAGGUGCAAUAACUGGAGCUAUAACAACUCCAUUGGAUGUCAUAAAGACUAGGUUGAUGGUUCAGGUGUGCUUUAAUGAUUGAUGCUUAUGCGUUAAUCCUUCAUUCUUUCUUAAAUACAUACACAUGCUUGACCUUCAGUUGUUUACCAUUUUGUUAAUUCUUCAGGGAUCUGAAAAGCAGUAUGAAGGCAUCCUCCACUGUGUUGGUACUAUUGUCAGAGAAGAAGGCACCUCCACUCUUUUUAAGGUGUGUCUAUAUGUUACACAUAAUAUACCCUCUAUCCUUGAUUCACAAAGACUUUAGAUAUUGUUAGCCAAUUUUAUGUCUUUUACGUUUUCAGGAUUUCUAUUGAUAACUCAAAAGGAUAUAUUGAUACUUUUUUGAACUGUUAUUAUACCUGAUUAGUUUAAUAUGUUGAUAGCCAUAGAGGAAAUACCAUUUUCUUUCUUCUUCUCCUUCCAGUUAUCUAAAUUGAAUUCAUUUCGAACUCAAAUGAAACCUUGUUCCUUACCAUUUGAGUCAUGGAAUGAAUCCGCUUCUCUAAUUUUCAAUCACUUGGAACUAAAGAUGAUGUACUAAUGGAAAUUUAUUGGACUUGUUAGUUAUAGUCACCACUAUUUUGUAGGAAAGUGGAUGAUUCUGGUCUCAUCAGCUUAAAUGACGUGAGACCAUUGUUUUGACUGUUAUCUUGCAGGGCAUAGGGCCGCGGGUGCUGUGGAUAGGGAUAGGCGGUUCAAUAUUCUUUGGUGUUCUUGAGAGGACGAAAAAGCUGCUCUCUAACAGUGGCCCAAUUCACCCCAGUCCAGAUUCUUUGAAGCAGGACUAACAUAAUACUAUCAGGUUUAAUUAGUUCAUGAAAUUUACUUCCAAAAUGAGAUUCGUGGCAUCAUGUAAUAGAUUUGUAGGAAUUUGGUGAAUUUGGUGGAUUUUAGUGCAAUAUGAGUUCUGCCUCCUUUGGACCAUGUUUCUAUCAAGUAGCAGAGAACUGAGGGCCUUGUGUCUCUUUAUGGAAAUUUUACAUAAUUUUAUGAACUCGAUGUAUAUUAAGGGAGUACAGAGAACAUUAGUUGAAUCUUUUAGAUAGAGUAUUAUUUGAAAUAAUAUUUUUUGUUAUUGAUACGAUAGAUUAUCCUACACUAAGGGGGCGGAGAAGGAUCUAAAGAGAUCUAAAGGUAAUCCGGAGAGGAUUGAACUACCACCGGAUCAGCGCAUCCGUCUGGAUUUUUUAAGCAGAGUCACUUUUUAAAUGUGGCAAAUUGGUUGCCUCCCAUCCCACCAAGCUUUAAUGCAUUGGUGGUGGUCACCGAUCCAAAGACUGGUGGUUGUAUUAUUUGAAAUAAUUAUUGUAGCACUUUUUGUGAUGUGAUAUAUAUGAGAUAAACAAAAAUGAUUGAAAAUAUAAAAAGAUAGAUUGAAAAAUACGUGUAUAAUAUAAGUGAAAUAUUAUUUGAAAAAAUGUAAUUAUCCAAACAAUACUUCAGGAAAAAAAGGUGUUUGGAUAGGAGAUUAUUUGGGAUAAUUUUUUUUAAGAAAAAUACUGUAGUGUUUUUUUGAUUUGAUGUAUGUAAGAUAAAAAAAUUGAUUGAAAAAUAUAUUGAUAAUACAAGUAGGUUAGUGUGUGUAAAUAAUGUGAAAAUAAGGUGCAAUCCAAAUGCACCAUGGAAGUGUGCAGAGGGAGAGAGAUAUAAGAUUUAAAGAGGAGGAAAACAUUGGCAGCGUACGAAGAGGCCGAGAAUAUAAUGAGUAUCAUCCACGUCCCAGCCAACACAAGAAAGGUUUUGACCAAUAAUUUUAUGAUUUAUUCGUUUUACGAAUUAUAUAAACCUAGACACUCAAUUAGUGAUUCUAAUAGAACUAUGCCGAGAUGCUUGGUCGCCAUUAAGGUCUUCCAUUCAUAGAUUAGUAUAUUCUAACGAGUUGUGAGUACUGAUAUACGUCACAUGUUACUAGAUGAGGAUAUAUGAAACUUCUAUAAUUGUUAUUUUUAUCAAAAUUGCACUGCGAACCUUAGAGUUUUUCGUUCGAAAAAUUAGAGCAUAAGAGUUGUUGUUAUUUAGUGAGUUAAUCGAGUAAGGCCACAAGAUCGAUCAAAAGUAUUCAAUUAGUGCAAAUUAGGCCAUAAAUAUGGUCCUAAUUUGUCAAAUUGAUUGUGUUGAAAACGAGAUCAAAAAAGGAUUAGAGAGAACUGUUGGUCGCUGCAAGUUAUCAAGUUGAAGGAUUUGAUUUGUUUAGCAGUCAUAGACCGGAAAUUUGACAAAGGGAGAGAGGAACAACUGAUGGAGGUAAUUAAAAUUUUCCAGCAAUGAUAAUGGUGCAAAAAGAAUUUACUAAUGGUAAAAAGUUCAAAAUUUUGCACACAUUUAGCGGUGGCGAUGAAAUAUUCAAAUGAUCGAGAAUAACGAAAACAUAUCUCAAAAAGUGUGGUUUAAGUGAUGUUUUUGGAUUAAGUUUUAAAAUCGUUUGCCCAAAGAAGUUUGGAAAAGGAAGUUAAGGUUAUUUUUUAAAAUUAUGUGAAAAUCAAUAAUUGAAGAGCUUUACAAAAGACUUUUGCUCUGUUUGGAUUAACUGUAUUUGGAGGUGUUUUUAAAAAAUUUUAUUAUAGCAGAGUUUUUAUAGUAUAUGUUGAGAUAUUUUUAGAAUAUAUUUUGGGAUAUUUAAGAGUAACAGAGUUUUUAGAAUAUUUUUUAAACAUUAAAAAAAAUUGGACUACUUUUUAAAGUACAUUUUAGAGUACUUUGUAAAAAAUUUUAUAGGAUUUGAAAAAUUGAUGAAUCCAAACAAAGCAAAAUUGUCAUUUAUAUAAUGAUGGAAUUUUCACAUGAGUAUGCUUACAAGUCAAAAAUUGGUUUAGAGUGGAAGUUGGCAGGGAGAGAAGAAAAAACAUUUGUAUUAGUCUUUUUUGUCCUUGUUUUUCUUUCACAAUCACAAAUUCUUCAUAAUGUAGAUCAAAAUUGUCAUUCUUAUCAAUAUCUUCGUAAAUGACUUCAUCAUCGAUAUACAUGUCUGCAUUGAGAUUAAUUUUCGAAUUUUAAAACCAAUUUUAGACCUGUAACCAGGCCUAUACGGAAAUUCCAUCGUGAUAUAAAUGACAUUUGAUCUGAAAAUUUGAGGUGCUCGAGAUCAAGAAAAAGUAUUUUGUAAAGCUCUUCAAUUAUUGGUUAUCGCAUGAUUUUGAAAAAUAAUUUUGCCCUCCUUUUCCAAACUUCUUUGGACAAACAAUUGUUGAAAUUUAUUUCAAGAAUAUCACCUAAACCACACUUGUUUAGAUAUCUUUUCAGUAUUCUUGACCAUUUGAAUUUUUCACCACCACUAGAGGUCGUGGAAAAUUAGUGACUUUUAGAGUGGGAAAAAUCCACUUUUCCUCCGUAAACUUUGAAUUAGGAACACAUUUCAUCCCCAAACUUUUAGAAGCAGCACAUUUAAUACAUGAAUUAACAAAUUCUGACCACAUUUAGUCCAAAAAUAGUAAAUUGUUCAAUUUGGACGAAGAAGGCUAGCAUGUCUAGCACACGGCCAUUAAGUAAAAACAAUUUUUUAGUCAAAAUCAACGAUCAUGUGCCAAACAUGUGAUCUUUUUUAUCCAAAUUGAACAAUUUAUCGUUUUGGACUAAAUGUGACCAGAAAUUAUUAAUUUAUAUACUAAAUAUGUUGUACCUAAAAGUUUGUAGAUGAAAUGUGUCUCUAGUCAAAGUUUAGGAAUGAAAAAUGGAUUUUUUCCCUUUUAGAGUGGAAGGCAAUGUGGCAAUAAUUCGUAACAUAAGGAUGUAAAAUGUCAAAGAUGACAAGUGUGAAUGUAGAGAAGGCCUUAAAGUGGAAAGUGAAAUUUGUCUAAAAUCUUGUAGUAAUUGACAAUUGUAACAUUUAUAUUCCCAUUUCUUUUACUUUAUUUUGCUCAACCUAGAUACUUUCCACCGGUCUGGCUCCUGUGGAGGAGGAGAAUCUCCAAUACCCACAAAAACCCAAAUUUUGACCAAUCAAGACUAUCCAUCUCAGCUACAUUUACACUCAUAUCUCCACCUUAUCCACUCUCUACCACUAGUCUCCUUGCUCCAAAAUCUAAAAACCAUCCCUCUCCACACGCCUUCUUCUCAAUCUCCUAUACUCUCAUUCCUACCAUACUCUUCUUCUCUUGCAAAUCUUAUUUUCAUCCCACAAAAACUUAACAAAAAAUCCAGCAAAAUGUCUCUCACAAUUCCCACAAAUCUUUCUACAGCCAUUGCUACACCAAAGCUGAAUUCCCAGUUCAGCACAAAGCCCAGAGCUGCAACAAUUGUAUGCUCUGCUAAUUCUCCCAACCAAAGCACAUCAACCUCAGAGCAACCUUCACCACCAUCACUCAAGGCAUUUUCUGCAGCUCUUGCACUUUCUUCCAUUCUUUUAUCGGCCCCGGUGAUGCCCGCCUCGGCCGACAUCGCUGGCCUCACACCAUGCAAGGAGUCCAAGCAAU
rnacentral:lncRNA from 1 species